UGUCGAGCAAAAUUGAGGAAUUACUACUAGAUCGAUCAUCUCUAAACAACAACAUUCUUCAAAGCAUUGGUGCAUUGGCUUCUCUUAAAAUUUUGUCUUUGAGUGGUUGUGGGCUGUCUGGGACAUUACCUACCCAAGGUAAAUUAAUAAUUAUGACAUAAUUAUUUAGACAAUCUCUUGAUUAAUUAUUUUUUAUCCUCCUAGAAUAUUUAAAUAAUUUGUACAAAUUUAUUUUACAGGAUGGUGUGAUUUACGGAAAUUUGAGGUGUUGGAUCUUAGUGAAAAUGCUCUUAAAGGAACCCUCCCUUCAUGUUUGGCUAACUUGUCAUCACUUCAUUAUUUGGAUAUUUCCGGUAAUCAAUUCGUUGGGAAAGGUGCCUCCACUGCCUUAGCCAAUCUCACUUUGCUUAGAUUCAUUUCUCUUUCACGAAACCUAUUCGAAGUUCCUUCCAUUUUCAUAUCAUUUGCCAACCAUUCACACCUCAAAGUACUCUCCAGCAAUCAAAACAAGUUAGUCGAAGAGCCUACCAUUCCAACAUGGGUCCCAAAGUUCCAACUAAAAGCCUUCCGUUUGUCAAAUUGCACAACAAAGGAACUCCACACUGAAAUUCCGAAAUUCCUCUAUUACCAAAAUAACCUGGGUAUUAUUGAUCUUUCAUAUAAUAAUUUUGGAGGGAAGGUUCCUUUUUGGUUGUUAGAGAACAAUACAAGAAUAGAAGCAUUUUUAAUGAAGGGUAACUCUUUUAUGGGUCAUCUCAAUCUUCCAUCUCAUCCGAAUCCAAACAUAUCCUUUGUUGAUAUAUCUGACAACAAAAUACAAGGUCCAAUUCCAGCAAACAUUUGUUCAAUCUUUCCACAACUAAAUGGGUUAAACCUAGCAGGCAAUUCCCUUCAAGGUAAUAUUCCUCCUUGUCUGGGUAGUUUGACCACUUCGAAUUUAUUAUUAGAUCUGUCACAUAAUCAGCUAUCUGGAGGAAUACCAGAAAUAUUAGCUCAAAGUGACUCGUUGAGGUUUCUUAGGCUAUCAAAUAAUCAUCUAAGUGGAAAGAUAACCCCAACGAUCUUUUGCUCAACUUCAUUACGAUUGCUAUAUUUAGAUGGCAAUAACUUUGAUGGAAAUAUACCUAGCAUUGAUAUCUCAACUUUCCUUUCAUAUUCCCUUGUUGAUAUGGAUUUAAGUAACAAUAAUUUGUCCGGAGAGCUCCCAAGAUGGAUAUUGAAUGUGUCAAAUUUAAUGGCAUUGGCAGUAUCUAACAAUCAGCUCAAGGGUCUCAUUCCGAUGGAAUUGUGCUAUUUGGAUUCCCUUAGAAUUUUGGACCUUUCAGAAAAUAAAUUUUCUGGCCCAAUACCAUCUUGCUUCGGCACACAAUUUAUCAUACAUCUCCAUUUGAGCAAAAAUAGAUUAAGUGGCACCUUGACAAAUGCAUUCUUUAAUAGCUCUUCCUUGGUGACUUUAGAUCUUAGUGAAAAUCAGUUGAGUGGAGAAAUUCCAUACCAGAUUGGAACUCUUUCUGCUUUGAGUGUUCUCCUUCUAAAAGCCAAUUAUUUUAUUGGAGAAAUUCCCAUUGAGAUAUGCAAAUUAUAUUCUUUAAGUAUCAUUGAUCUUUCUCAAAACAAGCUUUUUGGUCUGAUACCUUCUUGUUUGAGUCGUUUAACUCUUGAUCCAAAUGAUGAAAAAUCUUCAACAAAUAUCUAUGUGGAGGGCUUUGGAGGAAUCUUUGAGCCGGGUAAUUACUUUGGAAUGACUGAAUUUGAAUUUCUCACUUUAAGAGGAUACGAGUCAUUAGAUGUAGAUUUCGAAAUUGAGAAUCAAAUGGAAGAAAAGGUGGAUUAUACAACAAAAAGAGCAUCUUACACAUACAAGGGAAACAUUCUUAAAUACAUGUCGGGAAUUGAUUUAUCAUGCAAUAGAUUAACAGGUGAAAUCCCCAUAGAGAUUGGAAAUUUGAGUGAAAUCCGAUCACUAAACUUGUCGCACAACAAUUUGACUGGACAUAUACCGUCAACGUUCUCAAAGCUCAAGCAAAUUGAGAGUUUGGACCUGUCUCACAACAACUUAAUUGGAAGAAUCCCUGUUCAAUUAACGGAGUUGUACACCUUAGCAGUCUUCAAUGUGUCACACAACAACUUGUCAGGGAGUAUUCCGUCUCCAAAAGCUCAAUUUGGAACCUUUGAUGAAAGCAGUUAUGUGGAGAAUCCUUUUCUCUGCGGGCCUCCCCUGCAUAAAAAUUGCAGCGACCUUGAUUCACCCCCGACAACAGCACCAAAGAGCUCAAACGAGGAAGAAGAAAGUGGUUUGAUGGACAAGUAUGUUUUCUGGGUGACCUUUUUUGUUUCUUACGUGAUUGUGUUACUGGUUAUUGUUCUCAUCCUGUAUAUAAAUCCUUAUUGGCGACAAGCAUGGUUUUCUUUUGUUGAACACUGCAUCAAGACUUGUCAGUACUUUCUUCUGCGAUUUUCCAUCUUCAAAAGGAGUGGGUAGCCUUGUAUUUUGGUGGUUUACAUUUGUAUGUAAUUUUCAUCACUCUUUUUUUAUUUUUCAAAGUUUGAUUGGAUUAUCUGCUUCUAAGUUUUUAGAGCUAGAAUGCAAUAUAUCUGUUAUGGAAAGCAAUAUAUAAAGUUAUGCAUUUUCAAUUAAAACAUUUAAUAUUGCUUUAUAAUUUUUAGUGUUCUGAUAAGAUGAUGUUAAAUUCAACAUAUUGUAGCAUAUAUAUUAAUAAAACCUAUAUUCAUCUAUACAAAUUUUUUAGUCAACCAAACCAUUGAUGUGGUGGCAAAAACUUCACAUUGUUUUCAAGUCUUCAUUGACAUUAGGUUGAGGUUUCAAACCCUAGCGUAAAAGAGGGGGGAGAGGGGUUGUCUGAACCAAAACUUCAUUUCAACAGAUAUCCUUUACCCACUAAAUCAUAUGCUCAACUGAAACUUUUAUAUAUAUAUAUAUCAAACAUGAAUGAUAUAAAUAGUCUUUAAAUUUUUAAAUGAUAUAAAUAUAUAUAUAUUUUUAAAAUGAACAAAAAUUAUAAUAAUUAAUAUGUAGUUUCAUUAUUUUAUUUAAACUCAAAAUAAUAAUAUUUAAAAAUUGAGUUUACGUGAUAUUUAUUUACUUUAAAAUUAAUAAAAUGUAAAUAUAAACUUUAUUUUAUUUUAUUUAUAUUCAAAUUUAAUAAAUGUUUAUCUAAUUUAUUUAAAUUUAAAUAAAUUAAAUAAAUAAGCACACAAUUUUUUUUAGAGAAAGUGAUGACUCUUUUUUAAUGAUGAGAUGUUAGAAGAUUUACCAUAUGUGUAAUGUGGAGACAAUAACCCUAAUAUGUAACUUUUGCACAAUAACCUUAAUUUAUAAUUAGUGAAUCAUCAAUUAAAAAUUAAUUAAUUGAGUAUUUACACUUGUCCAACCAUAUUUUAUUUAAUAAGUGUCAUGGAUCAUAGGUCAAAUAAGUAUCACAAUAAUCACAGUAAUACCUGCAAAAAUUGAAUCCAAAUAAACAUAUCCAUAAAUUGUUAAUGAAAAUUUGUUCGCAGCGAGAACCUUAACUAAGAUUGGAAGAAUUUAUAUGUUUUUGUCUUUUUGCUAAAAUGAGUAUAAAACAUAUAAAAAAUAAAUUAUGAAUGUUCAUUUUUUUAAUAGUUCAAAAAAAUAUAUUAUAUAUAAUAUAUAUUAUUGUUUUGCAUUUGCUCCUCAAAGAAAAUGGAAACAAUCGUAAGCCUAUGGCAUCAUUAGAAACACCAUUAAUCUUGAUGUGUCGCAAAUCUCUAGAAAGUUAGCCAAAUGAGUAUUCAGAUCUUCAUCUUGCAACCUAUCAAACUGAACAUAUUGUUGUACCAUCUGAAUUGUGUUCGACUUUAGCUCAAAAUUAUUUACAGCAAUAGUCAGUCUGACAAUACUCGAUUCAACCCCAAUCAGAAUAGACUUAGCAUAAUCAUACAUAGUCCGAAGAGUAGGAGCUGCAGGAAGCUGUUGAUUAUUUUUAUGAUUAUCCAUCUCCACAUUAAUAUCCUUUUCCUCUUGAUCGUCUACUAAAAUCUAUUUAUCUUGUCUUUUGCUUUUCUAACCUCUCUAAGAUUUCUACGAGCAGUCUUUUCAACUUCACUAUAAAAAAUUAAUGUUUCUGACGAGUUUCCUCUAGUCAUAAACCAAAAGACUCUAUCAUAAUAAAAAAAUGAAAAAUUAGAAUAUUGUAAAAGUUAAAUUAAAAACAAAAAUAUCAAAAUAAAAAUAAAAAUAGCUAAAUUAAUAGAAAUAAAGUUUUCCUAAUAUUUUAGUCCCCUGGCAAUGGCGCCAAAAACAUGAUGCAGUCAUAAACCAACUAAAAAUCUGACUAAGGCAAGUGUACCUAUCAAUUAAUUGUAUAGUUACGAUGAGCAAAUAAAUCGUUCCCACAAAGACUAAAAGUAGUAAUUACUGUCUUUCUAUUAUUUAAUCGAUAAACUCGAGUAAUUGAUUAAAACUAAAAUUAUUUAAAUUAAUUAACAAUGAAUGUGACAAAUAAUAAAUCAGGAAAAUAAUUGAAUAAUAACCAAGAAGCAAAACAAUACCUAGGAAAAAAUUCACCUAGAUUUCAUCUGUCAUUAUCAAUCUAAAUUCCACAAUUUCUUUACUUAGUAUCUUAAUUCAUAGAAAUCCCUAAAUCAUGCUAAUAUCUCUCUUCAAGAAUAAGAGCAAUAACUUUAGGCUGGUUAAUUGAAAUUUCUUUCUAAUUAAAACCCUUAUUAUCGCAUUAAAUCGCUUUAUGGAUUUCCCAAUUACAUUUGACUCUAAUUCGGUGGAUUUAUAUCAUCCUAUUUCUAAGAUUGCAUGCAACUUCACUCAAUUACGCUAGAUCUACUCUUAAACAAGGUCUAUUCCUUCUCUGAUUUAAGCACAACAAACAUGGAUCAACAAUCUAGAAAUAUUAAACCAAGAGUAAAAUACACAUAAUUGAGAGCAAGAUCUAAGUAUUUAUUGUGUAAAAAUAGAAAUCAAAUAAUAUAAUUCAUCCUAAAGCUUAUCUCUCUAGGUAUUUGGAAAAUUAGUUCAUACUUGCAAAUAAAAACAUCCCAAAGACAAUAUAACCAAAAGAAAUAAAGAAGCUCGUGAUAAUCUCCUAAGAAAUCAACUGUGAGUCUUCAAUCUUGACUAAAAUUUGCUUCAGAAUCGGCUUCAAUGGUGUUUUCGAGUUGUUUUAUUGAGCAUUCUAUGACGGCUCUCUCCCCUCUUCUUAUAUUUGUCAUAUAUAGGUCUUAGAAUGCUCGAAAAACCUAAACAAAAGUGUUUUUCCGCAAGUUUGAAGUGUGACUCGUGAUUUCUACGUAGUCUCGCACAUGACCAUGUAGAAGCUCGUGUGGCCACACGGUCGUGUGUCCAGCCCAUGUGGCUCCUGAAACUUGCUCCAAUUUUCACUUAUUUUUCACUCUUUUUGCUCUAAAAUGCUACUAAGUAUAGAAACAUGAAUUUAAAGGAUUAGGAGCAUAAAAUUCACCAUUUUAAUUCGAAUAAUAAUCCAAAAAUGCAUUAAGAAUGAGGCUAAAACAUGUUACUUUUGGCAUUUAUUAAUUUUGCCAACACCCAAAAUAGUUGCUUAAAGGUACAAAUUUAAACAACCCAAAAAAGGGUCAGUAUAAUCCAAAAAGCGUUGUGUUAGGCUUUUCAUAUGAUAACACUUUUAUAUAGUUGGGAAAGGUAUAACAAAAGUCGGCAUAGUGUUGGAUAAAACUGAUUCUUAUUUAAGCGUUGCCUUAGGCAUGCAUAUCCCAACCUUUAUACAAAGAGUUGGCCAAAGCGUAUGUUAACAAGUCUAUCCUAACACUUAGGAAAGUGUCAGCAUAAUGUUGGACAAACUCGAAUCUUAUUUAAGUGUUGCCUUAGGCAUGCAUAUCUCAAACCUUAUACAAAGAGUUGGCCAAAGCAUACGUCGACAAGUCUAGUUAUUAGCUCAAUAGAUCAAACAGGAAUUGCUAAGAGGGGUGAAGUGGCUUUUAAAAAAAUGUGAAAGCUAGAAAGAAAAUUGAAAGAUGAACAUAAUAAUUUAGAAUGGUUUAGCCCCAAUUGCCUACCCCACUACCUUGACUUUCCACAACUAAGGAUUUUCCAAAAUUCACUAAAUUGAUAACCUUUAAGGAUAAGGUUUAACAUUACAACUCUAUUAAGAUUUCUGUAACACCCCAAACCCGGCUAGACGUUAUAACCGAAUCUGGCGAUGUCACAUGGAAUGGGAUUUGAAACCUCGUUGUUACGAUGAAAACAUUCCAUGCUAUUAUCUUUAGUAAACCUUUGUUAGAACUUAGGAAGUCGUCUUUAUUCAUUUAAAACAUUUGUUUUGAAACAUGCCUCGUUGUGGAAGCUUUAAUAAAACAGUCUAUGUGAUCAUGCGUUUAGAAAAUAAUUUAACUUUUUGAAAACGGAAUUUCCUAAGACCCGCAGGUAUAAAUCCAUAAAGUAAAAUAAAUAAAUAAAAACCCAAAUUUAAAACCAAAAUCCUAGAAGGUCCUUAAAUUACAUCCCAAAUAAUCAAUAAUAAUCAAAUCAUAAAUCGUAAAUUGAAAACCAUGAAGUCGAAAAAUUACGGUGGUUACCGCUAAGUCCUCCGUCGCACCGAUCCAUCUAAGUCUAGGGAUUAACUAUGCACAUUAAACAAAAAAUGUGAGUUUACGUAAACUCAGUGUGUAGUCCCGUAGAAACAAACAAACAAUCAGUAUUCACAGUGCACAGUUGAACAGUCUUGGGCCUAAGCCCUUUUCAGUAUCAGUGACAGUUUGGGCCUUAGCCCAUCUCAGUAUAGUGUCAAAAAUGCAGUAGGUCCUUAACCCAUCACAGUAUUAGUAGCAGUAACAAUUAUGCAGUAGCAAAAUCCUACCCAACCAGCCUCUACACACCAUCUUCGUCUAACCCUACAUUCUAUGUGGGGAUAUAAUCAACCUACCCAUCCCUUUUUAAUAAUAACCCAUGCUAGCUAAAUAUUCUAUGUUUUCACUAUUUACUUAUAUGUUCAUUUAAAGCUGUCUACUUGAGUCAUUGUCACUAAAUUAUUUACAUCUUAAGCUACAGAAUUCCAAAUUAAGAUCUGCUUGAUGUUUUCAAAACUGGACUCAGAUAUCUUUCUACCAUAAAUUUUCAAAAUUUAUAGCUUAUCAAAUAAGUACAGUAAAAUCUUCAAAGUUAUCCCUAUUCUGCCAUUUGACAGCUUCAACCUUUUCCUUACUAAAAAUUAUUAAUCUCUUAGUACGAAAUUUGAAUGAUGUUUCCAUUUGUUUCUCUUGAAAGUAGACUUAUUAAAGAUUUAAAUGUAUAAAUUUAAGCCCCUAAUUAUUUGUUUACAAUUUUUGAUAAUUUUCUAAAAUCAGAACAGGGGAACAAGAAAUCAUUCUGACCUUGUCUCAGAAAAUUUAUUAUAUCUCAUAAUUUACAAUUCUAUUGCUUACACUGUUUCUUCGAUGAAAAACUAGUCUCAAUAAAAUUUAAUUUAAUAUUUUAUUCAACCCUUAACUCAAUUUUCACUAUUUUUGAUGAUUUUUCAAAGUUAAACUACUGCUACUGUCUAAAACUAUUUUUGUGCAAAAUGUUGAUUUCCAAGGUUAUAACACCCUUAUUUCCUUUCUCUACAAUUUUUUUCGCAUCAUUUUCUCUUAUGUCUCGACAGCAAGCGAUUUUGACUUUUUGCUGAAUCCCCUUUUCUGCGUUUCGGGUACACACCUGGUUUCGUUAGAUGCUAAAAUAGUCCCCGAGCACUCCAAAGCCUAUAAUUGAACAAAUAACAUCAAUUUAAUCUCACAUAACGUGAUCCCAAAUCAAACUCAUAUCGAGGUUUUAACCCAUAAGCGACUAAACCUUACCUUCAACUGAUAAUAGUAGUUCCCACACAAACUAAGACUCCGAUUGGUGAUUACAAGCCCUUGAAUCAUCCCCUAAUAGGCAGAAACAAAACACUUUAGAAGAAAGUUAACAAAUAGAGACAAAUCACUUAUCUAAAACUUGUCGAACGAUCGCAGACAAACAUGGAGCGACACGAGGCAGAGUGGGAAAAAAAUCAAGAAGAUGAAGGGUGAAAGAGAGCAGAAAUUUGGCAAUAAUGAAGAGAAAAACAGCAAAAGGGUGGAGGGAUUUUGGGGAAAGUAAAAAAAAAGAAAAAAAAAAUUAACAGAAUAUUUGAUAACCACCCCAAUCCCUUAUUUCUCUCCAUCAAACUCCCCACAAAUCCACUACUCAGAUUUUUAGUCCAUCUCAAACUCUCUUGGACACAUGAGCAAAAAUAAUGCCUAUGCUAAGAUUCAAACACAAGACCUCUUUCACACCAACACUCUACUUAUCCACCAAACCAGCAAGCUAAUUUUGUUAAUUAUUUGCCAACUUUUACUUAAAAGUCUACUGACCAAAUAUAGGACUUAUUCAUAAAAAUACCAAAAUUUGCCCAAGUUCUGGCUUGAACUUGGGACCUCCCAAACACACCUAAAAUACUUAACCACUGAAGUAGAUACACAAUUGUGUCACACAUUCACAAUACCCAAAAUUAAAAUUUUUAGGUGUUACAGUGCUUCUUUUACUGAAUUAAACUAUAACCUUACUAACCUUAUAAAAUGCAUAAAAAACUAAUAAAUCACUUGAUUACAAACUCAUUAAGUAUAGAAUCAAGCUUAAUUUGCCACAACGAAUUGUGGUUAAUCAAUUGUUAAUAUGAAAUUUAUUUUUUUAGAACACCAAAUUCUUUCAACCGCAUUUUGAAGCAGUGGUGGAUCCUAGGACAAAGUUUGGAGGGGAGGCUAGUAAAAUUUUUAGGAAUUAUAAUAUAUAUAUUUGCCAUAACCAUCUAAUACUCAUACUUGUUUAUGCUUAUAAUAUAAUUUUUGUAACUAGUAUAAAAAUAAAUUUUUAAAAUGGGAUUUGAGUGUAAUUACGUAUGUAAUCAUUUUAAUUCUCAGUCCCCUAAGAAUUAAAAAGUGUAAUUGAGUGCUCUAAUUACAGCCAAUUCGUGGGACUCACCAAUCAAUGGUUACCCAAACAUGUCAUCUUUGUGUAAUUACUAGCAAUUACACCCAAAUUCAAUUACUAGGUGAUUUUCCAAACACUGUGUAAUAUGUCGCGACAUCUAAGCCCUUUUGUUUUGUACUUUUUUUAACUUAAUUUUUAAGAGUCCAAGAAAAGUAAAUUACUUAUUUGGUAACACUUAUAUUUAGUCAAGCUAAAAAUAGCUUAAUAAAUUGAUGUUAUUUACUAUAUUUGUCAAACCAUUUUAAAACUAAUUUUGGCUAAGUCAAAAUCACUUUUUAUUCAACUUACCUUUACUAUUUUUAGCCAAUUGAAGUCUUAUAAAUACCUUGUUCAUUUUCAUAAUAUACACACUUGCUCAUCCUUUCCAUCCUUUUAAGAUUGCUAAGUAUUUUUUUGUUGUGAUCUAUUAUUGAUUCCUACUCCCUUUUUAUAAUGAAAGAACUUAUUAAUACCUUAAUAUUUUACUAUUGGUUCUUUCUCACUUUUGUUUUAUUUUCAUCACUUUUAAAAUGUUAUUGUAGCGACCUAAAACUUUCUGGGCACGGGCGCUAGUCGAAGUAAUUAUUGAAGGUUUGAAAACAGUGUCUCGAUUUUAUUCGAAAAAGGGAGUCGCCACCGAUCUUUUUUUUUAGGUGUGAUCGGACACCUACAAAAUUCCCUUUUUAGAAGAAAAAUUUAUUUUUAAGCUUUUCUAAAAAGAGGUAAUUUUAGGUCCACGUAAAAAUCCAGAGAAAAUUAGGGUUCGGGAGUCGGUUACGCGCGAGGAAGGUAUUAGCACCCUCGCGACGCCCAAAAUUGGUAUCUCGUUAAACGCAUGUUGUCUUAACUUUCAAAAAUACGAGUUCCAUUUAAUAUUUAGUCGUGAUCCGAUUGAAACACGAGAAUUUUGAAACACAACAACCCCUUUUUUUUGAAAACACGAAAUUUUUUUAAAACGCAAGAAUUUUAGAAACACGAAAUUUUUCUUUAAAAAAACACGAAAAUUUUGAAACACGAGAAUUUUUUCAAAACACGAAUUUUCUUUUUGAAACACGAAAAUUUUGAAAACACAAAGUUUUAUUUUGAAAACACAAAAGAUUUGAUAAAUUACGAAACAUGAGAUUUUUUUUGAAACACGGAAAUUUAUGAAACACGGUCAAUUUUUGAAAACACGAAAAUUUUUGAAAGACGGGAUUUUUUUUUGAAAACACGAAAAUUUAUAAAACACGGAAAUUUUUUCUAAAAACAAGAAAAUUUUCGAAAAACGAGAAUUUUUGAAAACACAGGAAAUUUUUGAAAACAUGAAAUUUUUUGUUACACUAGAAUUUUGAAAACACGAAGAUUUUUGAAACAUGAGGAUUUUUGAAAACACGAAGCUUUUUGAAACAUGAGAAUUUUUUGAGAACAUGAAAACAUGAAAAUUUGUCAAACACGGGAAUUUUUUGAAAACACGAUAACAUCAAAGAGUAGUCAAGAGAGUUUUUUGAAACACGGAAUUUUUUUUGAAAAAAAGAAACACAAAUAUAUUUUUUUGAAACACGAGAAAUUUUUUGAAAAAAAGAAACACGAAUAUAUUUUUUUGAAACACGAGAAAUUUUAUUAUUAUUAUUUUGAAACACGAGAAAUUUUGAAGACAUGAAAAUUUUUGAAACACGAUUUUUUUAAUAAUACCAUAUUUAACACGAAUCGAUGAUAUUCACCCCGAUAUGGUGAUGAAAUCGUCGUAUUAGUGUCAAAACAAAUCAAAUUAAUAUUUAAUCAGGAUUCUAAUAAAACACGAGGAUUUUUAUUAAAACACGAGGAAUUUUGAAUAUUUUCGAUUUUUAGAAGGGCGUCCCGUAUUUAACACGAGCCAUCGAUAUUCACCCAACAUAGCGAUGAAUUCAACGGCUUGAUGCUAAAUCGGUUCGUUGCCUUAUGCAUUAAAAUAUUUUUUCUAUAAAAAAAAUGCAAAUAAAAUUACAUAUAAUAAUAUUUCUAAACUAUUAAAAAACUAAUUUAAUUGUAAUGGGGAAAUAUUUAAAUAAAUGGACUUAAUUAGAGUGGGUUUAAAAAAUUACCAAAAGCCCAAAGUUAUGGGCUUGAAUUUUGGGCCUCCCUUUUCUUUUUUUUCUUUCUCUUUCUUUCCUGGGCGUUGGGCUGCCGGACUGGGCCGAGUCUGCUGGCCCGCUGGUUGUUGAAACAGGCCUGCUACCGCUGCUGGAUCGAGUACAGGCCUUCGUGCGGGUCGGGUCUGCCUCCUGGACUGGGUCGUGGCCUGCUGUCACUGCUGGGCUGCUCUGCUGCGCGUGGGCCUGGGCUGCUGCUUAGCUGCUGGAGUGGCCUGCUGUUGGCCUGCCCAAGAUGGCCUAUUGCUUGCUGGGCCGGUCUGCCACUGCUGCUGGUGUGGGUGGCCUGCUGCUGGCUUGUUGCUGGCUGCUGGCUGGGUUGGAUCCGGGUCAUCGGGUCGGGUUGGCCCGGCUGUUAUUUUUUUUCUUCUAUUUUCUUCUUUCUUCUUUCUUUUUUUCUUUUUUUCCUCAUUUCUUUUUCUUUCCUUUUUCUUUUUCUUUCUUUUCUUCUUCCUUUCAAACCCUAGCCACCGUCUUUUGCUUGGUGGCGCGACAGUGCCGGCGCUUCUCCCUUCUCCCUUCUCCCUUCUCCUCCUCUCUCUUCUUUCUCUCUUUUUCUUUUUCUUCUCUUCUUCCUCUCUUCCUUACUUCUUUACUGUUUGGGUUGCUGUUUUUUUUUGUUUUCUCUUUGCUUGUUUGUAUAGGUGCGACGGUGGUGGUGGUGUCACAACGGCGGUGCGACGACGGUGGUUGCGGGAGGAUGGUGGUGGAGGCUUUCGGCUUGCUGCUAUUUUUUUGUUUUUGAAUUUUUUCUGCUCUUUUUCUUUUGGUUGCCGAAAAACCUUUUCUUUUUGUUUCGGUUUCCCUUGGCUUUCUAGGUGGCGGUGCGGUGGUUGCGGUGGCGGGGUAGUGGCGCGACGGUGGCGAUGGCUUUUGGGCUGCUGUUUUUUGGAUUUUUUUGAGUUUUUCUCUGCUCUUUUUCUAUUUUUUUUUGGUUGCUAUCCGACCCCCUUCCUUCUCUUUUGAUUUUCUUUUUAAUCUCUUCAUUUUUUAUCCUCUUUCUUCUUGUUUUCAGAUGGCAUGGAGGUGAGGAGCAUGGCUGAUUGGCGGUGUCAGGCGUAGGGUGUGGUGCACGCCCAAAUGCUGGUUGGGGGGCAGUCUUGUCAUUCCCAGAAGGACUGAAUUGUAGAGUGUGCAAAGUUUUUAGGGCAAAAAUGUGAUUUUAGGAAAAUAUAGGGACAAAAUGUAAUUUCUAGAAAGUUUAGGGGCCUGACUGUAAUUUAUAAAAUAUUAGGGGUCAAGAUGUAAAUUUAGACAAAGUUAGGGGUCAAAAAAUAAUUUUUGAAAAGUUUGAGGGCCAAAAUGUAAUUUUUAUUUUUUGUAUUUUUAUUUUUUUCAAAAUUUUAUUAUGACUAUUUUAUUAAUAUUUAAAACAAAAAUUAAAAACGGACUAAAGUAAUUCCAAAAUUAAAUCCUAAUGGGCUCGAUCAUUGGGCCCAUACGAGACCGACCCGGCCUAAAAUUCAAACCGGGCAAAAUUCAGUGAUUACAGCUGCCCCUCUUUGCUCAUCGCUGUAAAACAGGGAUAGAGCAAAGACUUAAAAGCACUGAAUUUUGCUCGAUUGUCUAAUUUUUUAUAUUUUUUGAAAGCCUGAAAUUGAAAAAAAAAAGCUUGGUGUGCGAUCCGAAGUUCAACUCACUUUUCAGAUUAUAAGUUGACCUUUGAAAAAUAAAAAAUAAAAAUACCUCAGCUUGACUCGAGGCUCAACUCACCUCUAGGAUUAUGAGUUAAUAAUUUUUUUUUUUGAAAACAUAAAUUGAAAAUACCACAGCGUGACCUGAGGCUUAACUCACCUCUCGCAUUAUGAGUUGAUUUUUGAAAAACGAAAAAUUGAAAAAUACCUCGGCAUGUGACCCGAGGCUCAACUCACCUCUCGUAAUAUGAGUUGAUUUUUUUUGAAAAACAGAAAUUUAAAAUACCUUAGCGUGCGACCUGAGGCCCAACUCACCUCUCGCAAUAUGAGUUGAUUUUUGAAAAACAGAAAUUGAAAAUACCUCAGGAUGACCCGAGGCUCAACUCACCUCUCGUAUUGUGAGUUGAUUUUUGAAAAAAAGAAAAUUUAAAAGAAAUACCUCGGCGUGACCCGAGACUCAACUCACCUCUCGCAAUAUGAGUUGAUUUUUUUGAAAAACAGUAACUUAAAAAUACCUCAGCGUGACCCGAGGCUCAACUCACCUCUCGUAUUAUGAGUUGAUUUUUGAAAAACAAAAAUUAAAAAAUAUAAUUCUUGAAAGAAACAGGGUUUCAAAACAUCAGGUGAAACUAAAGCCUUCUUCUUCGUUGAUUCUGUGCAACUUUCUCUCAGUAUUCCCUGCUCUACUAAGAUACCUGUAUAUGUCAUGUAUGAUGUUAUUAUGAUAUGCACGUGUUUGACCUAAAUGCUUUUAUGCCUACAUAAUCAUGCCAUGAGCCCUGGGCUGUUUGUCUCAUGCCUCCUUUUCGUGAGGGACUGCAUUCAUUGCCUCAAUCAUUGACUUCUCUCUUCGGUUUUGUACUCAUCUUCAAGUUUGUCGGGUGACCCACAUGUCCAUAUUUCCCCUUCUUGCCCCUUUUGUUGAACUUUGUUCCUGCUUUGGGGUCCUUGUACUUAUCAAAUUCUCAUCCAGGUAAUGCUCAACAUUCAUUUUGUUUAGAGUAUGUCAUCUUACUAUUUAUCAUUUAAAUGAAUCAAACACAAGAUGCAUAAAUAAAAUGGCAAAGUAGGCAUGAAAGAAAUACCUCACAUCCAUUUCAUUUUCAAAACCAUCAAACAAAGAAAAUUGACAAGGAAAAAGUUCAAAGAAAGCAUCAUAUAGAAAGGAAAGUGAAUUCAAUGGCCACAAAUGCUCUAGAUAUCCAACGUAUGAACUUCUCCACGUUUCUUCAUCCUGGAUCCUUUCGAGCACGGCUUCUUGUGUAGAAGAUUUCGAGCUUCUGAGAAUGCUUCAAAUAUUGCGACUUUGUCAUUCAACUCUCCGUUCAAGUCACUUUGCUCCUUUAAGCUCGAGCCCACUUCAUUAGGACGCCCUUUCAGGUUUCCAUCCUAAUUCUUUUUGUUUAUCAAAACGCCCUUUUCAGGUUUUCAUCUUGAUUUUCUUUUUCUUUUCUUUUUUCUUUUUUUGUUUUUGUUUUUGUUUUUUUUUGUUCUUUUUGUUCUUUUUGUUCUUUUAUUUUUUUAUUUUUUUUUUGUUUUUUUAGGCAUAAUAUUUCUUUACAGCAUCUGAGUUCACUGGAUUAGGUAACUCUUUCCCGUCCAUCUCAGUGAGAAUCAGAGCCCCUCCUGAGAAUGCCCUCUUUACAACGUAUGGUCCUUCCCAAUUUGGUGACCAUUUUCCUCGAAAGUCCUUCUGUAUUGGGAGAAUCUUUCUCAGUACGAGCUCUCCUUCGCGAAAUUCUCUUGGCCGCACCUUUUUAUCAUGGGCCGUAAUCAUUCUCUUCUGGUACAUCUGUCCAUGACAAAUUACCUUCAAGCGUUUCCCUUCAAUAAGGUUUAGCUGAUCAUAUCGAGCUCGAACCCACUCUGAUUCCUCUAACCUUGUCUCCAUCAAGAUGCGCAGGGAUGGGAUCUCUACUUCGAUAGGCAGAACGGCUUCCAUUCCAUAGACUAGAGAAAAAGGAGUUGCCCCCGUAGACGUCCGUACCGAGGUGCGAUAUGCGUACAAAGCGAAUGGUAGCUUAUCGUGCCAGUCUUUAUAUGUCUCAGUCAUCUUCCCAAUAAUCCUCUUAAUGUUCUUAUUAGCGGCUUCUACUGCUCCGUUCAUCUUUGGGCAAUAGGGCGAAGAAUUAUGAUGUUUUAUCUGGAAUUGCUCACAUACUUCUUUCAUCAUCUUAUUGUUCAAAUUUAAAGCAUUAUCUGAAAUGAUUCUUUCAGGCAGACCAUAUCGGCAUAUAAUCUCCUUUUUUAAGAACCUACAGACUGUAGCCUUUGUCACAUUAGCAAACGAAGUGGCUUCUACCCAUUUUGUGAAGUAGUCUAUAACCACAAAGAUGAAUCGAUGCCCAUUGAAAGCUUUCGGGGAAAUUGGCCCUAUAACAUCCAUGCCCCACAUAGAAAAAGGCCACGGAGAAGUCAUGACAUGAAGGGGUGACGGAGCUGCAUGAAUUUUGUCGCCAUAAAUUUGACAUUUGUGGCACUUUCGUGCGUAACCAAUGCAAUCCCUUUCCAUCGUCAGCCAAUAAUAACCAAGUCUCAUAAUCUGCCUGGCCAUGGUGAAACCACUGGCAUGUGUUCCACAAAUUCCUUCAUGAACCUCUUCAAGUAUCUUUCUAGCUUCAACAGCGUCCACGCACCUCAGGAGCACUUGAUCUUUUCCCCUUUUGUAUAGAAUAUCCCCGUCAAGAACAAAUCCAAUCGCCAUUCUCCUGAUUGUUCUUUUGUCAUUCUCGUUUGCUUGCUCGGGGUACCUUUGAUUCUUGAUAUACUCCAAGAUAUCAUGGAACCAUGGUCGUCCAUCUGACUCCUCCUCAAUACUAAAGCAGUGUGCGGGGGUCUCAUAUAUACUCAUUUGGAUGGGCAUUAUCUCAUUUUCUCUGUUUGCCUUGAACAUCGAAGCCAAGGUGGCUAGGGCAUCAGCCAGUUGGUUCUCCUCUCGUGGAAAGUAGUUAAAAGUCACUUUAUAGAACUCCUUGAUCAGCUCUGCAACGAGAUCAUGAUAUUUGACUAAUUUUGGAUCUCUCACUUCCCAAUCUCCACGAAUUUGAUAAAUGACUAAUGCUGAGUCCCCGUGUACCUCUAAAAUUUUGAUUUUUCACUUGAUAGCUGCACGAAGUCCCAUGAUGCAAGCCUCAUAUUCCGCUAUAUUAUUUGUACAGAAGAAAUUCAAUCUGGCAGUAAGCGGGUAAUGGUCCCCUUCAGGUGACACUAAGACUACUCCUAUCCCAUGCCCCAAUACAUUUGAUGCACCAUCAAAGCUCAUCUUCCAUGACUUUCCUUUUGAUGACUCGCCCUCUUUUUCUGAAAUACACAUCAAAUCUUCAUCUGGGAACUCAAAUCUCAAAGGCUCGUAUUCCUCCAUUGUUCGACUUGCCAAGAAGUCAGCUAUUGCGCUUCCUUUUAUCGACUUUUGGCUCACAUAUACAAUGUCAUACUCAGUCAAUAGGAUUUGCCAUCGGGCCUUUCUCCCUGAGAGUGCAGGUGACUUCAUCAUGUACUUUAUUGGGUCCAGUUUUGAAAUUAACCAUGUCGUGUGAUACAGCAUGUAUUUUCUGAGCCUUCGAACUGUCCAAAUCAAUGCACAACAAAACUUCUCAAUUGACAGGUACUUUGCCUCAUAUUCUGUGAACUUCUUGCUGAGGUAGUAAAUUGCCUUCUCUCUUUUCCCUGACUCAUCAUGUUGUCCCAGUACGCAACCCAUUGAGUUCUCAAACACGGUCAGGUACAAUAUUAAGGGUUUUCCAGGGGUCGGCGGUACUAGCACAGGAGAAUUAGAUAGAUACUGUUUUAUCUUGUCGAAGGCCACUUGGCACUCCUCGUUCCAUUCUCCCGGAUUACGUUUUCAAAGGAGUCGAAAAAUUGGGUCACACUGAUUGGUAAGUUGAGCAAUGAAUCGAGCAAUGUAAUUCAACCUUCCUAAAAAACCUCUGACUUCCUUUUGUGUACGCGGGGGAGGCAAUUCUUGUAUAGCUUUUAUCUUAUCUGGAUCAACCUCGAUACCUCUUUCACUAACAAUGAAACCUAGCAGUUUUCCUGAGGUAGCCCCAAAUGUACAUUUGGCCGGGUUAAGCUUCAACUGAAACUUUCUUAAUCUUUCAAACAACUUCCUAAGACUCCCAACAUGCUCUCUUUCUUCCCGAGAUUUGGCAAUCAUAUCAUCGACAUAAACUUCUAUUUCUUUGUGCAUCAUAUCAUGGAAUAACGUCACCAUGGCUCUCUGAUAUGUUGCCCCAGCAUUCUUUAAUCCGAACGGCAUUACCUUGUAGCAGAAGGUUCCCCACAUUGUUAUGAAUGUAGUUUUCUCCAUAUCUUCGGGAGCCAUCUUUAUCUGAUUAUAUCCUGAGAAACCAUCCAUGAAAGAAAACAGAGAAUGCUUUGCCGUAUUAUCCACCAAAGUGUCGAUGUGCGGUAAAGGAAAGUUAUCUUUAGGGCUUGCUUAAUUCAGAUCAUGAUAAUCCACGCACAUUCGCACCUUGCCAUCUUUCUUCGGCACUGGGACUAUAUUAGCUACCCAUUCUGGAUACUUUGAGACUUGUAGGAAGCCAGCGUCAAAUUGUUUCUUGACUUCUUCUUUUAUCUUUAACAGCAUUUCGGGUCUCAUCCUUCUUAAUUUCUGCUGAACGGGCUUGCAUUCUGGUUUCAGUGAGAGCUUGUGGACCACAAUAUCCGUGUUUAAUCCUGGCAUAUCUUGAUAAGACCAGGCAAACACAUCCUUGUAUUCAUGGAGCAAGGCGAUCAAAUCUUGCCUUGUGUUUUUUGAAAUCGAAGUCCCAAUCUUCACUUCUUGUUUCUCUUCUUCAUUCCCCAAGUUCACUACCUCAACAGAUUAUUGAUGGGGUAGGAUUUGUUUCUCUUCUUGUUCCACCAUUCUCAGUAAGUCAGGAGAUGAGACACAAUCUUCAACAUUUUCGUCAGCUUCGAAUUCUCCUAAACAAAUAACCUUCUCAAAAUUGAUUUCAGGAUUCAUAACGGGAUUAUUCAUGCCAUUGAUAUCUGAACACCUGAAAGGUGAAUGGAAAAAGGAUAUAGAAGAGUAUUGAGGUAUUGUAAUCAACACACAAUGAUAUGAGAUGAUAUGAGACAUAUGCCAGAAAAGGAUAUGAACAGAAGGAGUAGUCGCAAAGUUAAUGAAAAGAAUAUGACAAUAUAAAACAAAAUGCAUCUUCAUUAAUGUUCAUUGAAAUGAUAAAGAGCAAACAUAAGCUCUUACAAAAGGAACCCUACUGUUUAAGGACACACAAAAUGAAGGGUUAACAUUGAGCAUUACUCUGAAGGGGACUUAAAAACUACAAGGAGGUCCUCAGCAGUCCAGUUGUUCAAAACAUAUCCUGGAGGACAAUGGCGUAUCAUUGAAGCAUUCUUAAUUUCAUCAUUCUCAUUGUCAAUAGCAUUUAGGCUGAGAUUCUGAAGACCCUUUUCAAUCAAUAAUGUGGCUUGCAAAUUGUUCUGCCCUGGGUACAUCACUCCUGCUGAUGUAAAUGUUCUCGACAAAGGAGGAUACGCCAACGGCCCCCAUUCUAAUUCCUGGCCCGAAGCUCUUGCGAUUCUUCUUUCUCGAUUUUUCUGAAAUUGUUUUUAUCUUUGAUGUACAUCUGGCUUGAACCCCAAACUGUAUCGACCCUUAUGGUGCGUUGGUUUCAAAGCUCUAACCAUCCUUUGUUGAUAUUUUCCCAAACCUUUCCUCGCUCGAGCUCCUUUUCCCACAGUCAGCUUAAGUCCCAUCUUGGUAUUCCUCGACAGUUUGGGAAUGGGGAUCUUAUUCCCUUCAGUAACAAAUGCAGCAUUGAUAAAUUUCAAGAAGCGAAAAGAACAUUCUACAGCAUCUUCGCUUAUUUCGAUGUAGGGUGCAUCAGUAGAGAUAGAUGCGACGAUGUCUUCCUCGCCACCAACAGUAAUCAAACGACUAUCCAUGAUGAACUUUACUUUCUGAUGGAGAGAUGAAGGAACUGCCCCAGCAGAAUGGAUCCAAGGUCUUCCUAACAGGCAAUUGUAUGAAGGUGUGAUGUCCAUGACCUGAAACUCGAUAUCGUAUGCACAUGGCCCCACUUUUAAAGGAAUUUCGAUAUUUCCCAUGACCUCUCGCCGUGUCCCAUCAAAUGCCCUUACUAUAGAAUGACAAGGCCUCAGAUAGGACAUAUCAACCGGCAUCCUAGAAAGCGUGGCCAAAGGCAUAACAUUGAGUGCAGAUCCAUUGUCGAUGAGCACAUUUGGUAAUAUGUAACCUUUGCAAUUGGUUGUGAUGUGCAAUGCUUUUAUGGAGCCCCUUCCAUUUGGCGGUAUUUCGUCGUCACUAAAGGAGAUGAAAUUAUCUGCAUUUAGAUUAUUUGCCCACCUAUCAAGCUUUUCCACAGAUACAUUGUUCGCCACAUAAGCUUGAUUUAACACUUUUAACAAGGCAUUCCGAUGUGGCUCUGAAUUCAACAAUAGAGACAGUACCGAGAUACGGGCUGGCUGCUUGUUUAAUUGUUCUACAAUGCUAUAUUCACUGUGCUUAAUGAACUUUAAGAACUCACAUGCUUCCUCCUCAUUCACAGCCUUUUUAACUUCUUCCUCGGGUGGUAUUUCAACAUCAUCCUCAGCCUCAUACAUUGGUGCUUUUCUUUUUUGGCUCGGACCAGCAACCUUCUUCUUUGGCUCAACCGUCUCGGGAGAAUAACAUCUUUCGCUACGAGUAAAAUGUCCUACUCCGCUAACACCUUCACUCACAACCUUGGACUUUUCACCCUCAGGUACAAUGAUAUUGACAUCAUAAUUCUAAGGCACCGCCUUGUUGUCCUUAUAAGGGAAAGGAGCAGGUACUUCAAUUAUCAAACUUGGUUUAACUUCUCGACUAACUUCUUCCUUCUUUGUCCCGUAAUAAAUCACCAAAGGUCUAUCGACGCUAUAAAGGGAAGCCAUUGAUUGAUUAUUAGAGGCACAUAUUUCUCCUUCUUCGGCCCCCUCCACCCUAUCAAAGACCUUGACCUCUUUGUUAUCCAUCAUGUCUUGAAGUAAUUUCCUAAAUUCCUUACAAGAUUGGAUGUCAUGCCCUUGGACGCCAUGAAAAUCACAGAAACUCUGGUCUUUUGUACUUUCUUCUUUAAGAAUCUUACUAGACGGACAGAGCAAGCCAUUUUCAAUCAUCAUCUCCCAUACCUUCCGUAAAGGUGUCUUUACUUCGGUAACACAACCUUUGGCUUGACAAUUGUCUUCAUUUGUCACCGCAUUUACAUUCCCGUCAGUAUGGUUAGGAAGAGGAUUUCCUGUCACAUUGCUAACAUCGUCGAACCGUAGAACACCGGCAUCAAUAAGACCUUAAACCCUCCUUUUAAAAGCAAGACAGUUUUCUGUAGAAUGUCCCUGAUUCCCAGCGUGAUACAUGCAAUUAGCGUUAGGAUCAUACCACUUCGGGUAUGGAGGCUUCAGGGGUGCCAUGUAAUGUGGGGAUAUUAAUUGUUUUUCCAACAGCUUUGGGUAUAAUUCUCCAUAUGAUACAGGAAUUAGAGUAAACUGAGGUCUUUCAAGAUUGGGUCUUGCCGGUCUUUGUUCAUUUUUGGGUUGGCUUUGUACAGGUAUGGUGUUUGGCGGGAACACGGUGAAUGGUCUUUGGUUAUUCACAGCAUAAACGGGGUAAGAUAGGGGUGCUUGAUAGUAAGGACUUUGAGGAGGAAAGUAGAAGUUUGAAGGUGGGCGGUAAUGAGGUCGUGGUUGGGUGAGGUACGGAUUAGGGGUACAUUGGCUUUCAGUCCCAACCAUAUGGGCCUCUGCCUCCUUUUUCUUUGCGGGUACUGUCCUCUUCGAACUCUCAGGACCUUCCAUUCUCCCACUCUUGACGGCGUUUUCGAUAAGUUCCCCGGAUAUUACAAUAUCUGCAAAGUCCUUUGUGGCACUUCCCACCAACUUAUCGUAAAAUGGCGCUUUUAGAGUGUUGAUGAAGAGGACCGUUAUCUCUGUCUUAGUUAACGGAGGCUCCACUUGAGCCGAGAUAUCCCUCCAUCUUUACGCAUAUUACCGAAAAGUCUCUGUCGGCUUCUUUUCCAUCAUUUGUAAGGUUAGUCGAUCAGGCACCAUAUCUGUUACAUGCCUAUAUUGCUCACAGAAUGCUGAAGCCAAAUCCUUCCAUGAUCGGAUUCUCUCUCUACUGAGUUGAUUAUACCAUCGAAGGGUUGAGCCAAUCAAACUAUCUUGAAAGUAAUGCACCAACAAUUUAUCAUCGUUUACAUAACCAGUCAUCUUUCGGCAAAACAUGAUCAGAUGCGCCUUUGGACAUCUUGUUCCGUCAAAUUUCUCAAAAUCAGGUGCCUUAAAUUUUGGUGGUAGGACCAAAUCAGGUACCAAACUGAGCUCUUUGGCACUCAAAGCAGAGAAAACUUCAGCGCCUUCUACUGCCUUGAUCCUCUAUUCCAGGACUCUAUACUUAUCCUGAGCGUUAUUGUCAUCAAUUCUCAGCCUUGCUACUUCUACAGGAUCAUCUAGGUCUGGAACAAUUGGAUCUGAAGGAUUAGCCCCAGGGUUCGAUACAAACAUUCCUUGUCCUAAAUGAGCAGAUGGAGCAGGAUGUUGUUCCAGGCCUGUAGGUUCCCUUUGGGGGUAUCCUCUUUGCAUUGCGUGGACAUGAGGUGGAGUAAAUCCCGGGGGAUAAAGUGGGUCUUGAUUAGCUCUUGACUGAGGCGGUUCUACGACAUUAGGGCUCUGUAUAGGUCCCUUUCCUUUGACCAAAGCCGUCAUCAUUUCUAUCAUUUUAGCCAUUUGAUCCCUUUGCUCGAGCAAUUCUUCUCGAGAUCUCACCAUCAAAUCUCUUGCCUCUUGCUGCGACUUGGCCAGUUGCUCCUGCAACUCUCUUUGGGUUCUUUCCAUCCUUUCCAUCCUUUCAUUGAGUUCAGCAUCCAUAGCUCUAGCUCUUAAGCGCGUCCUAUAAGAGUGACGUGAUUCCAGACUCGUAGUGUAGUAACUGUGGAUUAGAUGGUUUUACCCUUAGCGAAUGAUUAAGGUGAUAUGAGAAUACAAUGAAUAAAUGAAUGAGUAACUAAUGAAUGUUAAUCAUGCGUAAAUAUGCAAAAAAGGGUGUUGAUUCCAAAAUGGCCCCAUACUUGGGCGUUUCAUUUAUCAAAAGAGUCCGUUACAAAAAGUUUUGCCAUCCUAGUUCAACAAUUACACGAAUUUCCUAGCCACAUCGCCUUGCUUCUUCAUACGUUCCAAGAACUCUGAUAUGCUUGAUCUUUGGCUAGGAGGGUAUUGGCAACUGAGAACUUCCGCUUCAUCUGAUAAUUGUACUAUUUGUGCAGCCGCCUUACGAAUUUCAUUGAUCAACCUACCGAGAUGCAUAUCCUUUUCUUGGAGGGCUCUUUCAUAAGCACGAAUGUCUCUGUCAUGCUGAUCAUUCUUCUCUUCUAAAGCUCUCAAGAGGUCAUCCAGAUGUUGCUGAUGAGCUUGCAGUGUACUCUCUAGACUUCAGAUUUUUCCUUUUAGCCCUUGAUGCUCAGACUGACUAGCCGUUAGUUCUGCAGUCACAGUUUCGUAUUCAACGUUCUUCUUCCUCAACUCUAUCAUAGCACAUGCAGCUCUUUCCUCUUCUUUCUUUGCUUUGGCUUUCCAGAAUUCCAUCCCACCUUUGAUAUUACUUAGUUCCUCUUUCCAUUCUGCUGAUGCUUUGCCCAAUCCACUAUUUCUUAUAGUGCCCCUUAAUUUCUUGUUUUCCAAAUGAAGGUCCCUUAAAUUCUUUCUCGUAACUUGAACUUCUUUUUGGACUUUUUCGGCUCUGGAUUUUUCAAUUUCGACAUCAAUCUUCAGCUGGUAGUUCUCCUCCUGAAGAGAUUAAUAUCUCGCAACAUUUUGGCCUUUUCACGUUCAAAUUCAUGUCUUGCAAUUUCUAGCUCGGAUGGGGUUUUCUCUGAGAACGGAUUCUGGCAAGCUUCAUUAAUUGGUGGGGUUACUUGACUCUUCACUCGUUGUUGCCUCCAUAGGUCAUAGUCUACAGUGAUAGUAUCAGCAUAUAGAGCCAAUUCCAUUAGGUAGAUUCGCCUCCAAGAAUUCGCAGUAUCUCAAACCUUUUUCAUGUAACCCUCACCCAUAAAGGCAAACUCCGAUUGUGCCAAUCCAUCGGUAACUGGUACAAACUGUCGCGAAGCGAACUGUCUUUAAACCAACAAUGGAGCAUAUCCAACUCCUCCCCAUAAUCCUAAUAAAGGUAUCCAGUCUUGGUUUCCACACUUGUAUAACAAGACAGAGGGACGAAUCCAAGGUGCUCUCCAAGUUAUAUCUUCGACACGGAGGUUCUGAAAGACCGAGACCCAGUGUUGUUCAGUGACAUCUUUCGGCCAAUCUUUUCCAAGGUGUGCUUCCAACGGGGCGAAUGUCUUUGAAAACAUGUGGAAAGGCGUACGCUCCACCCUCCAAAAAUGGCUAAAGAUCCAAACAUUCAGUAACUGAGCGCAUUCGAUAAAACGUCCUUCCCCUUUUCUCCUACAAGCAUUUAGAGAUCUAAAAGUCUCAGCCAAGAUGGCUGGGACCGGGUUAACUCUUUGCCUCAACUUUUCGAAGAAAUCCACAACCGCAACUUCAAUAUGCCCAAGAACCUUCGGGAAGACGACCAGUCCGUAAACAGCCAAGGCAAACAAAUCUACUCUUUUUAACACAUCUGGAUGAUUCUGAACUAACUCCCGCAGAGAAAACCACGGGACACAACUGACUUCAUUCUUCUUCUUUAUCUGUUUUUCAGCCCAUGUAUCAGUCAUUCCCGUCAACUUCAUUAGCUUUUUCUUGAAGGUCAUUGGUUUAGGCUCCUUCACAUAUAUCUUGUUGAGUUGCACAUUAUCGAUGCGAAGCAAAGCGGCAUACUCUUCUAUGGUCGGAGUCAUAUCUUCCUGAUUGAAAGUGAAACACUGAUAGGCUGGGUCCCAGAAUCGAACCAUGGCUUGGAUCAACUGCUCGUUCACAUCGAUUGCUAUCAAGUGAGCUAUAUCCCCAUACUUUUCAGUGGAGAUGCUUCUAGUAUCUGAGUCCCACUGCUUCCAAAUCCUAGUCAAGUCUUCGAGAUCAUUUUGACGAGCAUUCAAAGUCACACGCUCGGGAAGAUCAGAGGUGUAUCCUUCCUUCAAACUGUCCCCUUUCACUUUUUGAGUUCUCAAAGACCAAUCUCGGACUACAGCAUUUUUCUCGGUUACUCGUGUAAUUGACUCCUCCAUCAGAAACCCGUUUUUGGCAACCAAUAUUUAACCAACACCUUCCUAAUGAGAUGUCUACGAUGCAUGAUGGAAAAUAAGAUGAAAAACAAAUAACCUUGGUUAGAGAUCACAACAGAUAUAAACAAAAGAAAAAUGAAAAAUAAAGACUAUGGAAAAUUUAACAAAUUAAGCUAUUCAAUCAUGCAAUUUGGUGGAACAGACCCACAUUUUUUUUUGCCCCAACAUGCUUUACAAGAAACCUACCCCACAUACCAUCAGACCAUCUAUCCGACCCAAUUUAUUGAAUAGACUCAAUUUAUCUGCAAAUAAGUGUAAAUGUAAAAGAAAUAAAAGGUAAGAGGCGUUUCUCCCGUGCACUUAUUUUGGUAACUAUCAAACGGACAGAGGUUCUGUAUGGCUCUACUCGGGUGGCCUAUACGGUUCACUAUAUGUAGUUUCGGUUUUAGAAAGGUACUCGAAUUGUCCAUACUAUCACCUACUAAGGUUAGUACAGAGCUUCGGUUAUCGCCCGUCAGGGCUCGCGAGCUCAAUUCGAGGGAUUACAUUUACUUAUGCCUAUGCGGAGGGACAAGUUAACUCACGAAAGCAUAAGUCAUAUGUAACCCGAAAGUAAUUACUAGCCUGUGCGGAGGGACGAGUUAACUCACGAAGGCGUAGCGUUUACUUCCACUUAAACGGACAGAGCCCGGGUAGAGAGCUCAUGUUAUGCAAAAAAUGCAAGUGCACUGUGUGUGGAGAGAAACUCACAAACCUUUUUAUUUUUACUUUUACUAAAAAAAACAAACUAAAACCAUAAAACUUAAAGCUGAAAAAAACACGAAAAUAAAAAAGGUUAGAAAAAUAUUAAUUUCAAAACUGAAUACGGAUGCAUGAUUUUUUUCAAAACAAAAUUCAAGGAUCACGAUUAAAAAUUAAUUUGAACAAGAAAAUUUGAAAAUUUUGACAACACACGUUUAACAUCAGACUCGACUCUCAAAAAAAACUCCCCAGCGGAAUCGCCAGCUGGAGCGACCUAAAAAUUUCUGGGCACGGGCGCUAGUCGAAGUAAUUAUUUAAGGUUUGAAAACAGUGUCUCGAUUUUAUUCGAAAAAGGGAGUCGCCACCGAUCUUUUUUUUUAGGUGUGAUCGGACACCUACAAAAUUCUCUUUUUAGAAGAAAAAUUUAUUUUUAAGCUUUUCUAAAAAGAGGUAAUUUUAGGUCCACGUAAAAAUCAAGAGAAAAUUAGGGUUCUGGAGUCGGUUACGCGCGAGGAAGGUAUUAGCACCCUCGCGACGCCCAAAAUUGGUAUCUCGUUAAAUGCAUGUUGUCUUAACUUUCAAAAAUACGAGUUCCAUUUAAUAUUUAGUCAUGAUCCGAUUGAAACACGAGAAUUUUGAAACACAACAACCCCUUUUUUUUUUUUGAAAACACGAAAUUUUUUUAAAACGCAAGAAUUUUAGAAACACAAAAAUUUUCUUUAAAAAAACACGAAAAUUUUGAAACAUGAGAAUUUUUUCAAAACACAAAUUUUCUUUUUGAAACACGAAAAUUUUGAAAACACAAAAAAUUUGAUAAAUUACGAAACAUGAGAUUUUUUUGAAACACGGAAAUUUAUGAAACACGGUCAAUUUUUGAAAACACAAAAAUUUUUGAAAGACGGGUUUUUUUUUUGAAAACACGAAAAUUUAUAAAACACGGAAAUUUUUUCUGAAAACAAGAAAAUUUUCGAAAAACGAGAAUUUUUGAAAACACAAGAAAUUUUUGAAAACAUGAAAUUUUUUGUUAAACUAGAAUUUUGAAAACACGAAGAUUUUUGAAACAUGAGGAUUUUUGAAAACACGAAGCUUUUUGAAACAUGAGAAUUUUUUGAGAACAUGAAAACAUGAAAAUUUGUCAAACACGGGAAUUUUUUGAAAACACGAUAACAUCAAAGAGUAUUCAAGAGAGUUUUUUGAAACACGGAAUUUUUUUUUGGAAAAAAGAAACACGAAUAUAUUUUUUUGAAACACAGGAAAUUUUUUGAAAAAAAGAAACACGAAUAUAUUUUUUUGAAACACGGGAAAUUUUAUUAUUAUUAUUUUGAAACACGAGAAAUUUUGAAGACAUGAAAAUUUUUGAAACACAAUUUUUUUAAUAAUACCAUAUUUAAUACGAAUCGAUGAUAUUCACCCCGAUAUGGCGAUGAAAUCGUCGUAUUAGUGUCAAAACAAAUCAAAUUAAUAUUUAAUCGGGAUUCUAAUAAAACACGAGGAUUUUUAUUAAAACACGAGGAAUUUUGAAUAUUUUCUAUUUUUAGAAGGGCGUCCCGUAUUUAACACGAGCCAUCAAUAUUCACCCAACAUAGAGAUGAAUUCAACGGCUUGAUGCUAAAUCGGUUCGUUGCCUUAUGCAUUAAAAUAUUUUUCUAUAAAAAAAUGCAAAUAAAAUUACAUAUAAUAAUAUUUCUAAACUAUUAAAAAACUAAUUUAAUUGUAAUGGGGAAAUAUUUAAAUAAAUGGACUUAAUUAGAGUGGGUUUAAAAAAUUACCAAAAGCCCAAAGUUAUGGGCUUGAAUUUUGGGCCUCCCUUUUUCUUUUUUUUUCUCUUUCUUUCCUGGGCUUUGGGCUGCCGGACUGGGCCGAGUCUGCUGGCCCGCUGGUUGCUGGAACAGGCUUGCUACCGCUGCUGGAUCGGGUACAGGCCUUCGUGCGGGUCGGGUCUACCUCCUGGACUGGGUCGUGGCCUGCUGUCACUGUUGGGCUGCUCUGCUGCGCGUGGGCCUGGGCUGCUGCUUAGCUGCUGGAGUGGCCUGCUGUUGGCCUGCCCAAGAUGGCCUAUUGCUUGCUGGGCCGGUCUGCCACUACUGCUGGUGUGGGUGGCCUGCUGCUGGCUUGUUGCUGGCUGCUGGCUGGGUCAGAUCCGGGUCGUCGGGUCGGGUUGGCCCGGCUGUUAUUUUUUUCUUCUAUUUUCUUCUUUCUUCUUUCUUCUUUUCUUUUUUCCUCCUUUUUUUUCUUUCCUUUUUCUUUUUCUUUCUUUUCUUCUUCCUUUCAAACCCUAGCCGCCGUCUUUUGCUUGGUGGCGCGACGGUGCCGGCGCUUCUCCCUUCUCCCUUCUCCUACUCUCUCUUCUUUCUCUCCUUUUCUUUUUCUUCUCUUCUUCCUCUCUUCCUUACUUCUUUACUGUUUGGGUUGCUGUUUUUUUUUGUUUUCUCUUUGCUUGUUUGUAUAGGUGCGACGGUGGUGGUGGUGUCACAACGGCGGUACGACGACGGUGGUUGCGGGAGGAUGGUGGUGGAGGCUUUCAGCUUGCUGCUAUUUUUUUAUUUUUGAAUUUUCUCUGCUCUUUUUCUUUUGGUUGCCGAAAAACCUUUUCUUUUUGUUUCGGUUUCCCUUGGCUUUCUAGGUGGCGGUGCGGUGGUUGCGGUGGCGGGGUAGUGGCACGACGGUGGCGAUGGCUUUUGGGCUGCUGUUGUUUGGAUUUUUUUGAGUUUUUCUCUACUCUUUUUUUAUUUUUUUUUGGUUGCUAUCCGACCCCCUUCCCUCUCUUUUGAUUUUCUUUUUAAUCUCUUCAUUUUUUUGUCCUCUUUCUUCUUGUUUUCAGAUGGCAUGGAGGUGGGGAGCAUGGCUGAUUGGCGGUGUCAGGCGUAGGGUGCGGUGCACGCCCGGAUGCUGGUUGGGGAGCAGUCUUGUCAUGCCCAGAAGGACUGAAUUGUAGAGUGUGCAAAGUUUUUGGGGCAAAAAUGUGAUUUUAGGAAAAUAUAGGGCCAAAAUGUAAUUUCUAGAAAGUUUAGGGGCCAACUAUAAUUUACAAAAUAUUAGGGGUCAAGAUGUAAAUUUAGAAAAAGUUGGGGGUCAAAAAAUAAUUUUUGAAAAGUUUGGAGGCCAAAAUGUAAUUUUUAUUUUUUGUAUUUUUUUUAUUUUUAUUUUUUUUUCAAAAUUUUAUUAUGACUAUUUUAUUAAUAUUUAAAACAAAAAUUAAAAACGGACUAAAGCAAUUCCAAAAUUAAAUCCUAAUGGGCUCGAUCAGUGGGCCCAUACGAGACCGACCCGGCCCAAAAUUCAAACCGGGCAAAAUUCAGUGAUUACAGUUAUUUUAUUAUCUUAAUUAUUUUUCAAAAUUAAUAGAAUUUUAUUAUAAAUUAGGGCAGUUCUCAUUUAAUUAAAAAGUUUAUAUAUAUUAAAAUUAUAAAAAUAUAUUAUUUAGUAAAUUAAAAAAUAAACAAAUACAUAGUUUAAUUAACAGUAAUAUUGUAUUUUCUCCAUUAUGUGGUAUUUUCCCUAUAAAUACAUAGUUUUAGGUUUAUACCUAGAGUUAGCCACCUUAGUAUUAUUUUGCUUUAGUGUUUUCUUUUGUCCAUGAAUUUCUAAAUCAUCUUUUCUAGUCAAAGGGAUUUUGAACUUUGAUUGUAAUAGUUUGUAAGAUCUAAUUGCUCUUCAUCUAUUCUUUGUUCUUUAGCGCUUGCAUGUGUUCUAUUUUAAUUACAAAUAUUCAAGUUUGUUGGAUAUUGGUACCAUAUUCAAUUGCUUAGAACAUAGUGACAAAUAACAUGAUUACAUAUAAACUAUGUAUGCAAUUCAUGUUAUGUGGAUACCCGAUUUAAUCUAAAUGAACCCCGUUGGUGUGUGUUAGUUGGUCAGAAAUAGGUUUCUCUCAUUCUUAAUACUACCUAUAAUUAAGCUAAAUCCUAGGCACGAAGUUAUAGGGCCUCUUGGUUAUCGAAAGGUAAUGAGAGAUUGUUUAUAUGGUUCUUAAUGCUAGGUGCGACAUGGGCAACUAUAACUAAUUUAUUAAAAACACUAAAAUUAUAUUUGCAUCAUUGAUCAAACUCAUGAAUCAAAAUUGAGAUUUUACCUUAGUUAGACUCUCAUUAUAUUGAUUUUGCUAUAUUUUAUUUUGCAAUCUUUUUCUUUUACAAAGUUUUAAUUUUAAUUUUAAAAAUCCUUAUUUUUAUUUUACUUGUUUUUUUAAAGAAUUAGAACAAUCACUAGUCUUUGUGGAUAUGGCUCUACUCACAGUCAUCUACAAAUUUAUUUUUUUAGUAAGAAUUUAUUUUUCUAGGUCACAACAACCAUACAACUUUUGACACCAUUGUUGGGGAUUGGUGUCAAUAAUUUUAUUUCCUUUUAAAUUCAAAUAAGAAUUUUCAAGAAGAGUGAAUGAGGUAAAUAUUUCUUUUUCCUAAUAAUCAUUGAGACCAAACGAUAACAUUAAUGAUGACCUUGAUAUUUGUGGGUGUCGAAAUAUCCCUUAAAAAAAUGUAUUUCAAAUUUUAACUUUCCUGAAAACAUAUAUUAUAAAUAAUAAAAUAUCUAAUAACAUAGUAAAAAAAAUCCAAGUUUUGGUUCCCCUAUAAUCGAUGGCCCAGUUUGCCUUUAACGAGCACUACACCAAAACAGGCUUUUAGCGGCGUUUGAAUAAAAAAUGCCUCUAAAGAUCGAGCAUUAGCGACUCUUUUCGGAAAACGCCGCUAAAUAUCGAACUUUAACAUCGCUUUAUGGAAAACGCCGCUAAAUAUAAGCAUUAGCGGCGUUUUCUAAAAAGCGCCGCAAAAAACCUAUGCUUUCGGGGUUUUAGCGGCGUUUUUAAUGAAGCGCUGCUAAUGCUCAGGGCUUUAGCGGCAUGUUUUGGGAAGCGCCGCUAAUGCUUAGGGCUUUAGCGGCGUUUUUGAGAAAGCGCCGCUAAUACUCUAUUUUUAGCGGCGUUUUCUAAAAUGCGCUGCUAAUGCUCAGGGAUUUAAAAUAAUCUAAAAUAUUUUUUAAAAAUGGAAAAAUUAAAAUACUAUAAGUUCUUUUAAACAGAAUAUAUGGCAUAACCUAUAAUAUGGAAUAAAAGGCGGCAUCACGUGUUAAUUUAAUUUAAUUAUUAUUUAAAAAUUUAUAUAAAUAAAAUAGACAUAAUGAUUUAUUUAUCCUUCUAACUUUACAAAAAAACCAUUACAACCCUUUAUUUAAUUUUUAUCUUUUUAACCCUUAAAUUUAUAUUAUUUAUUAAAUCAGCUCAAAAUAGAUGGGAAAAUUAUUCUUUAUUAACUUUACUAAACAUGGAAGCCAAAGGCCCUGAAAUGAAAACAAUUUUCACCAAAGCGUUUUUAUAACUUAUACACUUUUAAAUUAAUAAUGAUAAAAUUACAUGUUAACCCCCUAAAAAUGAUAAAAAUUUUAUUUAAUCCUUAUAAAAAUAUAAUUAAAAUGGUAAAAUUACAUUUUUAACUAUCCUAAAAUAUACAAUUUAAUUCCAUCUCCUCCAAAAAAUAAAAAUAAAAGAAAAACAUUACCGUUAACCCAGUUCAUAGGAGGCUGAAAGUGAUACCCGGUUCGAUGAAGUUGUUUUACAGUAAAUGCAGUUUUAGAUUAUAAAUGUGGAUGAAUCUUAUGAAAUGCUUCAACGAUGCCAUUCUUACUUAUUAUCUCACAAAAACACCCAAUUAUUAAAUAAACUAACAAAAUAUUUUUUGUAAACUCCAUUGAAAUUUCGAAAGCCGAAUGUUGAAACAGGAUGGUGAUUCAUUUAUAUAGGACUGAAAUUUAACAAUUUCAAAAAAAAAAUAUAUAUUUUAAAAUGUUUAGAUAAAAUAGUUUUUUAUUUGAAUUUACCAGUAAUUUAUAAUAUCAACAUUAAAUCUACAAUUCUUGAUUUUCUUUUUUUAAAAUAAUUAAAAUUUUAUUCUUAUAGUAUUUAAAUAAUUAGGGAUUAUGAAUUGUGGUUUAUGGUUUAAGGGUUGGGGUUUAAGGUUUAGGGGUUAGGGGUUAGGGGUUUAGGGGUUAGUGCUUGCUGAUUUUUUUUAUUGAUCUUCUACCCCUUGUACCUGGAUCCGACCUGACCUGGAUUGUUCCUUGUGUUCUUUUUCUGCUUUCUCAGCAGGGAGAUCCCAUUCUGCAGACAAAGAAGAACACAAAAGAUCAAAGGUAAUUUUAUUUCAAUUUGAUCCAUUUUUCUUGGUUAUCUUUUCCGUGUUUUUUUAUUUGUAAUUUGUUAUGUUUUCUGGGUUUUGCUUAUAAUGUCUGCAUUAAUAUUCAUUUCACAUUUUUUGUUUGUAUUUGCUUUUGUUUCUUUUUCCCAUCACAAUCAAAGUUCUAAACUAAUUUUUUCCCUGUAAUUUCAUUUUUAGAUUCAAAGUUUCUUUUUUUUUUUAAAUUUUUUUAUUAAUAGCAUUGACUUUUAAUAUUUAUUUUGAUAGUUUUUUUGGGGGAAGUGUGGGGGGGGGGGUCAGCAUAUUUGCUUUUGAACAUAAGAUUGAUUCUGCCUGUGUUGUGUAUUUGCCAAAUUCCAGUCCUGGAUUCAAAGUUUGUAUGUGUUUCUUACCAUUUUCUAAGAAAUAAAAAAUAUGUUAUUAAUAUUGUCUUUGUUAAGUCUUUUUCACAUAAUAUUCUUUGAAGUUUGAACAUUGUUUUGCUCCUUUUCAUUAUGGAAAAACAAAUCUUUUUUUUCCAAUUUAGUCUUUGUUUUUAAUUAUUUUAUAUAAUUAAAUUACUCAAAGUUUAUUUCCCUUUUUUUGAUCCAAACUUUUCUUUUGUACAAAAUUACUCUCUUUCUUAACUUUUUAUAUUAUAUAUAUGUUUUAUAAUAUUAGCUUUAGCUCUCAGUUUUCACUUUCACAUUGAGUUAUUUGAGCAUUUUUCAUAUUUCUUGCUAAUGUGGGACAGAUUUCAUUUUCUUAAAAGGAAAAAAAUUAUGUUGUUUUUGUUGCCUCAAUCCUCUUUAUUUGUCUCUUUAACCUCAUUGGAUAUGGAGUCUAUGUUGUCUUUUCUUUUCAGUUUUUCCAUUUUAGAUUUAUAGGUAAACUUCAAAGUGGUUCUUCUUCAAGUUAAAACAGUGGGGUUUUUUACAUUGAUCAUCUUAAGUUUUCAGAAAAUAUUUUUCCUGUUGAUUUGGAUUUUUUAAGGUUAUUUUUGUCUUUCCUUCCUAAAAUACUUUUUUUUGGAUGAUUUAAUGAAUAUGGCAGGAUUAAGCUUUAGAAAUCCAUGAUUAACUGAGGACUCUAUAUUGGGUCCUCAGUUCAGUUGUUUAAAAUCUAUAUAUUUUUUUAUAAUAUGCUAUGUUAUUCGGACUUGGAUAUGUCCUUGGAGGAUCAUAUCCCGGUACUUUUGUUUGCAUAUGUGCUGGACACAGAUGCUUUAAAUAAAAUGAAGAGUGCUUGCUGUCAACUAGGAGUUUUGAUGAUUAUGAUCAUGAUUGUUUCAUAUAUAUAUAUAUAUAUGCUCUAUUUUUCACCUAUAGUAACAUUAAUUUUGUAAAGAUAUUUUCUUCAAUUCUGAAACUGCUUUAAUAUCUCUUAUCUUAAAAGUUUUGUUUAUCUUGGUAAACUUAAUUUUGCAGCUGCUACUGGAUUUUUUGAGCUUCUCUGCUUCUAGCUUUUCAUCUAUGGCCAGAUACUCAGUUGUGACUGAUAAGGUCUCAAUAGAGGUUGUUGAAGAAUUCAUUCUAGUACAGUUGAAUCUGACAAAAGGCACAAUAUCUGAAAUUAAGGUACCUAAUUCUUUUUUUUCCUUCUUAGCCAUUAAUCAUUAUUGAGUGUUGACAUGGGGGAUCUAUGCUACUAUAUCUAUGUUACUCUAACUCAUCAUUUUUUCUGAAGUGCUCAUGUUUGACACUUGUGUUUGAUGCAUAUUUGGACAUGGAUACAUGAACAUGAUCCUCCAAAUAUAUGAAAAUCCUUAAAAAAGUUGAGCAUACCUAUGUGGGAUAUAUACCUUAUCUGAAAAUAAAGGUUAUGCCUUUUUAAAAACCUGUUUAAUACAUUAUAUAAAUUUCUUCUUAAAAGUUUGUUAGGGCUGAAGCAUGCAUUAGUCUACUAUAAUUUGCUGCAUAAAUGGAAAUUAGCUAGGUGUCCACUGCACAACCUUCAAUUAGACUUUACAUAAAAAAAUUCAUUAUUCAAGGCAAACUGCCUGGCUUGCUGAAAAAUGAUAGUUACAAACUGCCUUCAUUUCUCCCAUAAAGAUCUGCCGAAAUAUGUUUCAUCUAACAAGAUUUUGAUUGACAGCACAUUCAUUUGACAGGAUAAUUUGGAAACCCUGUUGCAAGAGGACAUUCAGGCUGAUCUAGUCUGCUGCUUGCAGCAUUUGCAGGUAUUUUGUGUAGUUUAAGUUGUGAACAUUGGGUUUUGAUUUGUCAUGUGAACAAAUAUGAUGAAUCUGAAGUGCAUUUCUAUUCUUCUAUUUGCAGUUAAGAUUUGAAAUUGAAGACAAAGCAAGGAGACCUCUAAGUAAUGUGUCAUUUUUGUUGAAACCAGGGGGUUAUUUUUUCGGUAUUACUCCUGAAAAAGUGAUUGCCAAAAACUGUUGUUUCUGGAUUUAUGUAUUUUCCUUUUUUUUUCUUGUGAUUACUGCUGCACCUGUUUCUGGGAGGUGAUUGUGUAAACAUUUUAGUGUGCUUUAAUUAUUGUAAGAAUAUUAAAUUUUAACAUUGUUAAUUUUAAUAUUAUUGUAAGAAUAUUUUGAAUUAUAAUUCAGUUAUCAAUUAAUAUCAUAUAUCUUUCAUUGAAUUUGAAGUAUCAUUUAAAUUUACUGUUUUUGGUUGGAUUUUAUGUUACAAGAAGAUUUGUAUAUGGAUGAAAAUCGGCAAAUUUGUCAAAAUUAGUGGCGUUUUCCCAUAAACGCCGCUAAAGUACGUACUUUUAGUAGCGUUUGUGAUGAAAGCGCCGUUAAAGAUAAUGUUCUCUAGCGGCGUUUGUGGGUCAAGCGUCGCUAAAGGUCAUGUUCUUUAGCGGCGUUUGUGUGUAAAGCGCCGCUAAAGCUCAUGUUCUUUAGCAGCGUUUGUGGGUAAAGCGCCAUUAAAGGACAUGUUCUUUAGCGGCGUUUGUAGCUAAAGCGCCGCUAAAGGUUAUGUUCUUUAGUGCGUUUGUGGCUAAAGCGCCGCUAAAGAUUAAGUUCUUUAGCGGUGUUUUUUUCACAUAAACGCCGCAAAAGUUAGCGACGUUCUCAAUAGCGGCAUUUUUUGCGGCGCUUUUGUGUAGUGGAGGAUGAUGAGGAAAGUCUUGACGAUGUUGUGGAUAGCUCGGUUCAAGUUUAGGGUGCUUCUAAUAGUGCUAAUGUUUCUUCUAUUGUUCCAUCGACUGGGAAUCCUUCUUCUAUUAGUGUAGCUGCUGAUACAGUUACCUCUACUUCAAUAAGAGAUGAGACAAUACAGAUUGCCUGGGUCAUGUUUAGUCUUUUUGUAAAACUUUGGUAUUUAAUGCAAACUUUAUCCCUUAUUUGGAUUCCGUGUUUAUGUUAUGCAUCCUUGCAUUUCUUUAUCAACUUAUUGUAUUGAUCUUGUGUAGCUUUAUCAAGCUUUUAUUUUUACUACUUGGAAGAUGUAGGGAAUUUUAUUCUUUCCUUAUUUGUUGUAUUGUGCUUUUAGAUUAACUUAGUGAGAAGUACCCUUGGCUAAGUCUUUCAGAAGGCUAGUAGUUUUAUUUGCUAUUAAUUUAACGGGCAGUAUCCUUGGAGGGUCUGUGCUAAAUUAAUGGGCAGUAUCCUUUUUUAGUUGCAAUGUGACACCUCACACUCGAUUCGGACGACGAAUUUAUAUAUAAAACAUCACAUUCAUUAUCGAAACAACUCAAACAAACAAGAAACUGACGUCAAAGCCAAAUCAAGAAGCAUAGCACAUAAUUCAUAAUUUCCAAAACGCUAAUAAUUAAUUUGUAACUUUUUUUAAUAUAGUUAAUUUAAUGACUAAUGCCGUAAUUAGUCUCACUUAAAAAGAGCCCACCAUUUGACUUGACGCAGAGGUCAAGAGAUAUCUCUAAAAAUGGGAAGCAAUAUAUGAUGUUUAUGGUUGAUAUUGUUCUAUGUGAGGUGUUCAAAUGGUUGAUUGAUCAGUUAACUAAAUCGAACUAGUAUUAAUUGAAUUAAUCUAACUUUUUAAUCUUUAACUGUUAAUUAAAUCGAUUUUUUUUCAAAAAGAUUAACCGAACAAAAAAUAUUUCAAUUAAUUCAAUUGGUUAACCAAAAUUUAUAUAUAUUUUUUGUUUAAAAUGAAUAUAAAACAUAUAAAAAAAUUGAUAAUGUUCAUUUGACUGAAUUAACCUAAUUAAUCAAAUUAGUAAUAGCCUAAUACAUAUGACAUAUAAUAUUAUUUAUUAAGUUCAGUUAAUUCGGUUAAUUACUCGAUUUCGAACUGAAUUAACCAUUAACUGAAAUUCCAAAAAUCAUUUAAUCGAUUUUUAACCAAAUUAAAUCAGUUAACUGAUCAAUUAACCGAAUUAAAUCAAUUUAAUCAAUUAAUUUAAUUUUAACCGAAACUUAAACACCUUUUUUAACUCUAUGAAUGCCAAAAUCCAUAUAUAGACUUAUUUCGGAUGUUAGAAUUUUCCACCAAAAACCAAGUCUUUGUGGAAUUAAAGUUUUGUUGCUAAGACCCACUGGAUUUUUCAUAACCACUAUAAUUAGAUUAGAACUAUCUCUCCGCGUAUGCUCGAGUUUAAAAUUUUUUAAUUAAAUUUUAUUAAUCUAUUUUUUAAUUAUUAUAAUAUUAACAUAGAAAUUAAAAUUGUGAUUAUUGUUUAUAAUAGAAUAUAAAGUCUUAAAUUAUAAUGAUAAAAUCAUGGAGAAGAUAUUUUAAUUUAAAAAAUGUAUAAAAUUUAUAUAUUAUCUCUUCAAUAAUUUAAAUUAUAAUGAUAAUUUUUAUAUAUUAAAAUUAAUAUAUUAUCUCUUUUACAAUUACAUAAAAAAUUAUAUUAAUAUAUAAAAAUGAUAAAUUAAAAGAAAUUCUCUUUUAAUUGUUUGCCAUUAGAUAUCUAGUGAACUGAUGCCACUAAUUUAACUCUCAAAAAAUGGAAGUUUGAGAAAGCUAAAGGUUGUUAAAUUAGACAAAAAGAAACAAGAAGCCAUGCCAAUAAUUCCGUUAACAAUUUAACCGGACCAAAGUAGAACUAAAUGAUAACAUUAAUGAUGAAAUUAAAAGUUUUUUGUAGUUCAAUGACAAAACAAAAAUACGCUAAUAAUUGAGCCAUUCAUUGUGCAAUUUAGACUUAAUUUAUUUUUGGAAGAAAUUGUAUUUAUGUGAUAAUAAUAAAUUUUAAAAAAAUAUUUAUUUUGUCAAAAAUUUGUAAUUAUAAUCAUUUAAAUAUAUAUAAAAAAGUAUCCAACAAAUAUAUCAAAUUAUUGCAAUAAAAGGAUGAAGAAAUCAUAAUAUAACAAGACACCAAUUAGAAAUAACUUCAUUUCAAAUAUAAAUGAAAUUUAAUAAUGAAACAAAUUUUAUUAAAGGCAAGGACUAAAUUAAAAAAAUUAAAAUCAAUUAUAGACUAAGGGUGAGUUUGGAUGGGCGGUGUGUUUACCUGUGGUUAGAGUAAAAACAGCGGUGGUGGUGAGAUUAGAUACUGUAGCGAUACUGUAGCGUGAGACAAAAAAUAAGUUAAACGCACCGCACCGCACCCAAUCGCCCAUCCAAACUCACUCUAAGAUAUGAAUAUAUAAAUAGUGAAAAGCGUAAUCAUAAACUUUUAAAAUAAAAAUAUUCUAGAAAGCAAUUAUUUCUAAAAAGUAAAAAUCAUCCACCCUCUUUUGUUUAUUAUACUUUUAUAUUGAAUAUACUAUGUCUUUUUACUUGCUGAAAAGGUUACAAAGUUAUCAUAAAUUUCCUAAAAUCUUAUAGCACUUUUCCAAAGAUCCAAUACAGCAUGAUACAAUAGCUGAAUUAUACCAUUAAUUAUUAAAUUAUAGAUAAUCAAACAAGAUUAUAAUUUAGUCAUUAAUAUUUUCAAAAUUAUUUUUAUGGUCACCUGAUUAAGUGGCACUUUUUUUUGUUAGUAUGAUAAUAAUUUUAUUCUUUGAUUUUUCUAUUAAUUUGACUCUGAUUCUAAAUAAAAAUUAUAAAUAAAUAAAUAAAAAGACAAUUUCAAAAAUAGUGGUAAUCAAAUUGUAACGUUUUUAGUUUAAUGUCAAAAACAAAAAUUUAUCUAUAAUUAAUUUAACGCAUAUAUACCCUUUAUUUUUUGAAAGGAAAUCUUACUUAAAAAUAUCCCACCACUUGACUUACACACAAGUCAAGUAAGGAAAGCAAUAUUUGAUGUUUACUGUUGAUAUUAUUUUAUGAAUGCCAAAAUCCAUAUAUAGACUUAUUUCGAGUGUUUGAAUUUUCCACCAAAAACGAAGUCGCUGUUGAAUUAAAAUUUUGGUGCUAAGACCCACUGGAUUUUUCACAACCACUUUUAUUAGACGAUAAUUAUCUCUUCACGUAUGCUGGGGUUUAAAAAUUUUUAAUUAAUAAAUAAACAGAGAUAAUAAAGAACAAAGAAUAUGAGAGUUAACAAAAGAGAGUGUGUGUUUUAUUGAUCAAUCAGAAUAUUUACAAAACUUUUUCAAAAUCUUUAUUUAUAGGUAUAAAAAGUAUAAAUGAAGUAGAGAUCUCCGGAUGACUAUUAAAAUUUAAAGUACAUCAAAACUUUUCUCGGUUUUAAUGGAUAUCCGUUUAAUAAUAUAUCCAAAACAUUUAUUUAUUUUUAAAAAAUAUUAUAAUAUUAACAUAGAAAUUAUAUUUGUGAUUAUUGUUUAUAAUAUAAUAUAAUAUAAAUGAUAACAUCAUGGAUAAAAAUAUUUUAAUUUAAAAAUUGUAUAAAAUUUAUAUAUUAUCUCUUCAAUAAUUUAAAUUAUAAUGAUAAUUUUUAUAUAUUAAAUUUAAUAUAUUUAAUCUUCCUUUAAACGAAACAAAUUACUUGUUGAGUUAUUGUAUUUAUUCUAUGAAUUAAUUUUAAAUUUUAUUUGUUAAUCUUCACAAAAUUAUUAGACACUUUGAGCAGUUUAGAAAAUCAUUUAAAAGUAGAGAAAUUCUAUUGAAGAAUGAUAUUUUUGAUUAUUGAAAAUAUUUGCUUAUUGAAGAAUGAUAUUUUUGAUUAUUGAAAAUAUCUGCUUAUUAUCAGACGGAUGAUAUUUUAAAAACUCAAACUAAUAAAACAAUAAUUUGAAACAGUGAAGAAACUUAUAGAAAGGGUGUAGCAAGAGAGCUAGAGGGUUGACACCAGAAGUCAAGAGAUAUCUCCAUAAUGGUCACUUGUGUUGAGUGGUCUGGGGUGAUUGAAUUUUGUACAUUGAAAACGAAGGUAGAGGACAAUUGCUUUCUUGUCACUAUUGCUACAAAUGCCAUUGAAUUUCCACAAGAAAUUUAUCCCAUAUUUAGUUAAGGGAACCUCACUUGACUUGACACGUGACACAAGUCAAGAUAUAUCUCUGAAUGUAAGUAUUAUAGAUUUUUAUUUUUUUUCUAUUAUAUCAAGUAAAUUUUUUAUAUUUAUGUCAUGUAAUUAUAUUAUGCAGUAAAACGUACAAGUCUAAUUCAUAAUGACUUUCGAUAUUGCCUCACGUAUCAUCAUGCCUAUGCUAUUUUUGUAUUAUCCUUGUUUUGAAGGCUAUAUAUAUUUAUAUAAAUUUUGUUUUAGGUAGAUUUUAACAUGUUUUUUCUUCAUCUCAAGUACAUUUUUUUUUAUUUUUUUUUUCAUAUUUUAGUUAUUGAAUGUUGGGCUUAAAAUAUUAUAAACAUUCCUAAUUAUAUAUUAAUUUUACAUUAAGUUUUAACAGAUAAAUUUAGCAUUAUUAUAUUAUACUAUAAUAAAUUUCUUAGGUCAAAAUUAUCUUUGAUUUUUUAUCCAAUUAGAUAUUCCUACACCUUUUUUUUUAUUUCUAAUAACAAAUUCAAAAUUAUCUAUAUCUAUCUAUAGUACAAACUGGCUCUUAAGAGAGUUUUAAGAGUAAAUGGGUUGAUAAUAGUGUUUUUCAAUUUUAUACAUAUUCACAAUUUUUAUCUUUAAAGGUGUCAAGGUUCGUUCAUUUAUUUUCAUAUAAUUAUGUUCAUUUAUCUUCAUACCAGGCUUUCUUGCAGGCUUACAAUCUACUCUAGCUUAUUAUUACUUUAAUGCAAGCUGCAGGACAGGAUUAUGAGUGUAACACCCUAAAUUCGGCCUAGACGUUAUAGUCGUAUCUGGUAAUGUCACACGAUAGUGUUUUUGAAACUUCAUUGUUACGAUGAAAACAUUCCAUAUUUUUUAUUUUAUUUUUUAUUUUAGUAAACCUUUGUUAGAACUUAGGAAGUCGUCUUUACUCAUUUAAAACAUUUUUUUUGAAACAUCCCUCGUUAUAAAUUCAUAAAGUAAAAUAAAUAAAUAAAAACCCAAAUUUAAAACCAAAGUCCCAGAGGGUCCUUAAAUUACAACCCAAAUAAUCAAUAAUAAUCAAAUCGUAAAUCGUAAAUUGAAAACCAUGAAGUCCAAAAAUUACUAUGGUCACCGCUGAGUCCUCCAUCACACCUAUUCAUCUAGGUCUGGGGAUUACCUGUGCACAGUAAACAAAAAGGCGAGUUUAUGUAAACUUAGUGUGUAAUCCCAUAGAAACAAACAAACAAUCAAUAUUCACAGUGCACAGUUGAAUAGUCUUGGGCCUAAGCCCUUUUCAGUAUCAGUGACAGUUUGGGCCUUAGCCUAUCUCAAUACAAUGUCAAAAAUGCAAUAGGACCUUAGCCCAUUACAGUAUUAGUAGCAGUAACAGUUAUGCAGUAGUAAAAUCCUACCUAACCAGCCUCUACACACCAUCUCCGUCCAACCCUACACUCCAUAUAGGGAUAUAAUCAACUCACUCAUCUCUACACUCUAAGUAGUACCGAAUGAGGCACAAAACAGUAGUUUGCAACUGAGCUGCCAGUAAAUUUGGCUAAAAGCCUUUCAGUACACUUCUUCCGAAUAACAACCCCCAAUCCAAUGCAAUGCAACAUACAAUGGAUGACAUGCUAUUAUGCAAUUUCAGUACAUAUAUUCAAUUCAAAUAUUUUCAUACUCAGUACAGAUAUCAUUCAGUCAAUUUCACACAUUUAGGGAUCUAAGUAGCGUUUACCGACCCUACAAUAGGUUCACAGUCGACUUGGGUGACCCGUGCAACCUUAGAAACAUUUCGAUGAAAAUGGGCUCACAUACCUAUGUGAUCUGCCCCUGUGGGCCCACAGGCCUGUGUAGCCCACUCGGCCCAAAUUGGCCUUGGUCGUGUGAUCUAUUUUUAAUGUAACCCAUGCUAGCUAAAUAUUCAUAUAUGUUUUCACUAUUUACUUAUAUGUUCAUUCAAAGUUGUCUACUUGAGUCAUUGUCACUAAAUUAUUUAUAUCUUGAGUUACGAAAAUCCAAAUUAAGACCCGCUUGAUGUUUUUGAAACUAGACUCAAAUACCUUUCUACCAUAAAAUUUUCAGAAUUUAUAGUUUAUCAAAUAAGUACAUUAAAAUCUUCAAAUUUAUCCCAAUUCUGCUAUUUGACAGCUUCAACUUUUUCUUACUUAAAAUUAUUUAUCUCUUAGUACGGAAUUUGGAUGAUGUUUCUAUUUGUUUCUCUUGAAAAUAGACUCAUUAACGAUUUAAACAUAUAAAUUUAAGCCCUUAUUUAUUGUUUUUCAAUUUUUGAUGAUUUUCCAAAGUCAAAACAGGGGAACCCGAAAUUAUUCUAACAUUGUCUCACAAAAUUUAUUAUAUCUCAUAAUUUACAAUUCAAUUGCUUACAUUGUUUCUUCCAUGAAAAACUUAAUAAAAUUUAAUUUCUAAUUUUAUUCAACCUCUAACUCAAUUUCCACUUAUCUUGAUGAUUUUUCAAAGUUAGACUACUACUGUUGUUCAAAACUAUUUUAGUGCAAAAUGUUGAUUUCCAAGUUUAUAACACCCUUAUUUCCUUUCUCUAUAAGUUUUCACAUUAUUUUCCCUUAUUUCUCUUAUUUCUCGAUAGCAAGCAAUUUCGACUUUUCGCCGAAUCCUAUUUUCUGCGUUUCGGGUACACACCUGGUAUCGUUUUGCUGCAAAUACGCUCUCAGGCACUCCAAGACUUAAAAAUCGAUAAUUAGAGCCCAAUUUAGAUCACUAACGAAAACUCAAAACUAAAAAUCAUCUACAUCAAAAUCAAUAGCAAACCUAAACACUUACCGACAACGAACUAAAAUUUCUAACGCUCAAUUUGCUUGUGAAGCCGCAACUGAUUUCUGAUUUUCGCCUAAACCAAGAGAGCCAAAACAAUCCUUUUUAGGAACUAGCUAAGAAACGAUAAAAUAGAGACAAUUAGAUACUUACAGAACCAGUGUAUACAAUUGCUAGUUGGAAAAUAGGCUAGUAAAAAAAUCAAAUAGAGAGGGUGGGCUAGGGAACAAAAAUUUGGCAAAGCAAAGAAGAAGAGGACGGUAGAAAAAUUGGGGAAAAAAAGAGAAUGCCGAAAUUUAGGAAAAAUAAAAACCAAAUAGAAACUUAGAUGAUAUUAAUAACUACCCUACAUCCCUAAAUUUUCUCCCACCAAUCCUACUAACCUACAACCACUCCAGAAUUCCACUCUGCCGAAAUACUUGUCCAUCAUUGCGUAAAAAUAACGCCUAUGCUCCAGCAUAGAUUCGAACUCAGGACCUCAUAUAAUUAAACACUCUACUUAACCACUAGACCAGCAGACCCAUUUUGUUAUUUAAUUACCAACUAUUAAACUUAAGCUUUUUAGGCCAGGUUAAGGCUUUAUUUAUAAAAAUACUAAUAUUUGCCCAAGUCAUGGCUUGAACUUGGGACCUCCCACACACUUCCAAAACACUUACCCAUUGAAGCAGACAAGUACUUAUAUCACAAAAACAAGAAUUAAAAAUUUUGGUGCAUUAUAAUUCUACCCCCAAGAGAAAAUUUCAUCCUCGAAAUUUACCUGAUCAGAACGAAUGAGGAUGCUGCUGACACAUCGCAUCCUCAAGCUCCCACGUUGCCUCCUUAGUAUUAUGGUUACACCACAGAAUCUUCACCAGAGGGAUAGACUUCCUCCUCAAAACCUUUACGUCUCAAUCCAUAAUCUGAACCGGCUCCUCCUCAAAGGUUAAAUCUGGCCUAACCUCAAUCUACUCUAUUGGAACAAUAUGUGUAGGAUUAGAGAGGUAGCACCUCAACAUAGAAACGUGAAACACGUCAUGAAUUUGAUCCAACUCUAGAGACAGCUCCAAUUGAUAAGCGAUCGGUCCCACUCGUUUCAAAAACCUAGAGCUCAACUUGCUCUUACGACCAAACCUCAGACUCUUCUUCAUUGCAAAACCUUGAGGAACAUGAAGUCCCCCACGGAAUACUCAAUCUCUUGACGCUUUAGAUCCGCAUAGGAUUUUUAUCUGUCUGAUGGCAUUUUCAGACGAUCCCGAAUCAGUCUAACCUUAUCUUUAGUCUCCAAUACUAACUCAGGAUCCAGAACACGUCGUUUGCCCAACUCAGUCUAACAUAAAGGAGUGCGACACUUAUGACCAUACAAUGCCUCGUAAGGUGUCAUCUAGAUGCUAGACUGAAAACUGUUAUAAUAGGUGAACUCCGCCAGUGGCAGAUAAUCUUUCAAACUACCUUAAAAAUCAAUAGCACAGCUCUUGAAUUUGAGCCUUAAGCUCCACAAGCUCCUUCCGUGCCUUUCGAUAGGGAGCGAUGGACACCAGAGCUGUACCUGGAAGUAGCUCAAUCCCAAAUUCCAACUCGUGAUUCGGAGGUAACCCAAGUAGCUCUUAAAAAAAGACGUCUAAAAAAUAUUUUACCGUUUCAAUAUCCUUAAUUGUAGAAUCCUUAGAAUCCAAAACACUUACGGAAGCUAAGAAUGCCUCACAUCCCUUAUGAACUAUUUUCUCUGCCACCAGUAUAGAGAUCACAUUAGAUAAGUAAUUCUGGCAUUCUCCAAUCAUGACUACCUCUUUAUCCUUCUUAGUCCUUAGUACGACCCUCUUAGUCGCACAGUCUAAGCUAACACGAUGCUUGACCAAUCAGUCCAUCCCUAGAAUUAGGUCAAACUCCCCAAAUAGAAGCUCCAUCAAAUCAGCCAAGAAGAUUGCCCCUUGUACCUCUAAAGGAAUGUCCUUAUACAGUUUACUAACUCUAACAGAUUGCCUUAAUGGGAUCAGUACCGUAACUUCACUCGUAGUGCUCUCAACUGGAAUUGUUGACACCAUUUUUGGAUUAAAAACGGGGUCGACUUGGGUUUUGAAAAUGAAAAUGAAUAGAGGAGUCGCCACCAAUCCUUUUUGAUGAGGUGCGAUCGGGUCACCUCGAAUUAAUCAUUUUAAUAAAAGUUAAGAUUUACUAAAACGAUAAUUUUUUUUGGUCUACGAAAAUCAGAAAAUGAGUUCGGGAGUCGGUUACGCACGAGGAAGGAUUAGCACCCUCGAUACGCCCAAAAAUUGGUACCUAGUUGAUUAAUUAGUGUCUUAGUUUCGAAAAUUGAAAACUUAAAAUACUUUGAAAUACGAUCCAUCUCUUUGUAAAAAAAACUCAAAUAUUAAAGACCUUCUCAUCUCUAAGUGAUAAAAUAUCACAUCCAGUAAGUUAGGACACGACAUCUCGAGCUUUUGAGAGUGAGUUUGUCUUUAUUUAAAAUUCAUGCAUUUUAACUUUUUUUUAAAAAGGAUGUUCGGUUAUUUAGGGUAAACGAAGAAAGUCGAAACCCAGUAAGUUAGGGUACGUUUUCUCGAAUUUCCUAAAAACGAAAUAUUGCCUUAUUUUGAAUUUUUUUUUGAAUAAUAGCAAAUGCAACAUUUAGAUAGUGUGCAUUAUUUGUUUGGAUUAAAAUAAAACAAUUUAUUGGAUAAAUGCAACGAGACUUGAUUCAUGAAGCGAUGAUAUAAAAUAAAAAUAUAGUAAUAAGCCUAGAACAAUGAUACAUGAACACAACAUUAUAUGGAUGAAUCACAAUAAUGCAAAAAUACGAAAUAAACAAAUUAAAAUACACAAAGACAAUAAUCAUACAACAUUUAAAUAAUAACAUCGAUAGAUAAAAGACCAAUGAAUUAAAUAAUAAUUUUUUAAGAAAAUAAAUGGCAUAAAAUAAAUUAAAAUAAAUAAUAUAAAACAUUUUAAAAUGACAAUAAUAAGUUUGAAAUAAAUAAUGUGAAAAAGGAAAUUUAAAAAUCAAUAACACACUAAACGAUAAAAAAUAUGUUUAUACAAAAAAUUAAGAUAAACAGUAUGUAUAUAUAUGUAUAAAAGUAUGAAGUGAAUGAUAUAAAAAGAGCAAAUAAUAGCAGUAAAACAUUUCGGAAUAAAUAAAUAGGAUUCAAAAUAAGAUACGUAUAACAAUUUAAAAUAAGCAAUAUAUAAAUAAAUAGAGUUUAAAAUAAAUGAUGUAAAAAAAAAAAUUUAUUUAAAAAAAAGGAACAAUAAUAUACGAAAAAGAAAAAAAGAUAUAUGAAGAAUAGAAAAUAUUUAUAUAAUAUGUGCAAAGAAACCAAAAUAAAUAAUGUAUGUAGAGUAGUUUAGAAUAAACAAUAUAUGCAAAACAACUUACAACUUUGAGUAAUUGAUACAUAAAAUUGGUUAAAAUUAAUAAUAUAUGAAAAUGAACCGUAUAUAGAAUAUUUUAAACACAUACAAUAACAGUUCCUUUUUUAAGAAAAAGAAUUAAACAGGUGAAGGAUUAAUUCGAAAACAAUACAAAAUUCUAGGUAAAAAAUAAAAAGAUACUGCCAGGAUUAAAAUGAAGUGCACCUAAAAUCAUAAGGACCAAAUGGGAUAAAAACCAUAGCCCUAACAUGCGCAUGAGGCCCGACAGAUCAAAAGACUGAUUUAAAAAACAAGCAAAAUCUAACAACUAAAUUAAGAGAAAAAGCAAAGAUAAAAUAGGGCCUGAUCAAAGGACGCUAAAGAUGGAGGGACCUCGUGUGCAAAUAUCCUAAUAAUUGAGGAUACAUGAAUCCCCAUCCCCACCAACGGCACCGUUUUGUUUGGUGUUUAAAACACCCAUUCUCUUUAUUAUUUCAGCCCUAAUUUCAUAGAAGAAAAGAAAAAAAGAACAAAAAAAAUAGAAUGUUAAAGCUUCUCUCCCUCUCCUCUCUUACUGAAUCGUGAGCCCGUCGCCGUUGCAUCACCGCGCCCCCACCGUAUCGGUGGCUGGCGAUGCUCAAGGGUGGGUUUUUAGCCCCCGAUUCAACCAGGUAUGAAGGCUAAGAUUUUUUAACCAAGAAAACCCGAAAAUGAAGGGAUCUCCACCCGUUUUGGGUUCGGCUCCGACGACUGAGGGAACCGCCGACGGUGUGACCCAGGGGUUCGGGUAAGUUUUCUCCCCGUCUUCUUUUUAUUUCUUGUUCUUGAAGCUUAAAAGCAAAAUCAAAAAUGAAAAAAGAAAAAAAGAAAUCAGAAAUUGAAAAAACGUAACCUUUUUCUUUUGUUUUUGCUCUUUUAUUUCUGAAAUAUGCGUGUGUACAAGAAUGGGGAUCCCUUUUUUACAAUUGCUUUCGGCUUCUGUUUUUAGCCGAAUGAGAUAGAAUCCAAAAUCUCCCCCUUUUACAUUGAAAAUGAAUGGCUCUUUAUAGCCGAUUAUACAAAGUCCUAUUGUUGUUUUGUUACUGUUUGCUGCGUUUCUGUUUCUGUUGCUGCUUCCGUCAUGUUUGCAGGUGUUCAAGGAGGUGAUGGGAGCAGGUGGAGGAGAGAUGGCGAUGGGACGUGCGGCUGACAGAGAGCAGCGGCAAGUGGGAUACUAGGGUUUCAGUUUCUGAAACCCUAGUCUGAUGUGGGCUUGGCUGUUGGGCCAGGGUGCUGGGCCUUUUAUUUCUUUCUUGGGCCCGGGCAAAUGGGCCUGCAACAGCUGCCCCUCUUUGCUCGUUGUCGUGUAACGAUAACAGAGAAAAGACUAAGAAAGGCCCAUUUUGCCCGGUCUCGCCGAGUCUUGACUUGUUCUGGUACUUCUCCAUUUCAAGUAGUUUCAUUCCAGUCCACUAGGUCUUGUUGCUUCGAUCCAUUCCACUGCAUUUUAGAGAGAUGCGUCCUGUAGCCUUUAUCUUCUUCGUAGCAACUUCAGGGGGACGAGGUUUGUGGUUUUCAAUCUAUUCCACUGCAUCUUCAGGGAAAUAAGACUUGAUGCGACCUACUCUGCUGUAACCUCAGAGAGAUAAGAUCCUUUAUUUUAACCCACUCCACUGUAACUUCAGGGAGAUAGGAUAGUGUCUUCGAUCUGCUCCGCUGUAAUCUCGGGGAGAUAAGAUCUCUGGCUUCAAUCUGCUCCACUGUAACUUCAGGGGGACAAGAUCUGUAAUUUCCAAUCUAUUCCACUACAGGUCAGGGAUAUAGGACUUGUGGUUUGAAUCCGCUUCCUUACACUUGAAGAUAAGAUUUGCUGUCUUUGAUCUGCUCCGCUACGGCUUAGGGAGACAAAAUCUGUAACCUUUAACCAGCUCCAAUGCAACCAAUGGAGGCAAGGCUUUGUUUUUGAUCUGCUUUACUGUUAAUGCAGGAAGGCAAGAUCUGCUUCUUUAACUAGCUCCACUGCAAUCGAUGGAUGCAAGGCUUUGUUUUCGAUCUGCUUCGCUGUUAAUGUAGGACGGCAAGAUCUGCUUCUUUAACCAGCUCCACUACAACCGAGAGAGGCAAGGUUUGUGUCUUCGACCUGCUUCAAUGUCAAUGCAGGAAGGCAAGAUCUUUUGUCUUCAACCAGCUCUAUCACAACCGAAAGAGGCAAGGUUUGUGUCUUCGAUCUGCUUCGCUGUCAAUGCAGAAAGGCAAGAUCUUUUGUCUUCAACCAGCUCCAUCACAACCAAAGAGGCAAGGUUUGUGUCUUCGAUCUGCUUCGCUGUCAAUGCAGAAAGGCAAGAUCUUUUGUCUUCAACCAGCUCCAUCACAACCGAAAGAGGCAAGGUUUGUGACUUCAUUGAUCUGUCCCUUGGGGAACAUGACCUGUAUGUUCUAUUUUAUGAACCUAAUUGUGCCUAGUGAUUAGGAUGACAUAAUCAGAAUGAAUCAAAUGCUCCUAACUAGAUAUGUAUGAAUGACAUUUGAAUGAAUGCAAAAUGUCAUGAAGAUGAUUCCUUAAUGCUUAGGUUAACAUCACGUAAAAACUUAUUAAGGUUUUAUCACUGACGUACUACAACGCCUUUUUGCUCGUCUGGUAUAUCCAAAGAAACACUUAAUCUGGUUGCCCCCCACUGUAAACCUUAAAGUUUAAUCUAUUAGGGCACAAAAUUUGUACCAUCAUUCUCCCACUACAAUCCAAGGGUAGAAAUAUGGUUUUUCCUCAAUCCUCUUUUAUCACAAUUCAAGGAUAUAGGAUCUUAAUCUUUCUGGUCCCCCUUUACACCAUUUCCAGGGUGUCGUUUCAAAGACUCAUGCACAAAUGAAGGCUCUCUUCUCCGAGGUAACCUCUUCCUAUUGCCUAGUGAUCAUUGCUUGCUUGUUUAUUUAAGCUUUUUCAUUGACACGACAUCUUGUCAUUUUGUUCAAUCAAUGCAUUUGUCAACAAAAUCCAAAGAGAAAGUCUAAACUUAGACUCUUCCUUCUCAAAUUUCCAACCUUCAAAUUUGGCAUGUUCUAAACAAUAGUCCUGUUUUAGGUUCCUGUAUUAUUUAGAAACUUUUCAGAGUAAUAUGCAAAACUUCCUUUGUGAAAGUUUUAUUAGUCCAUUAAUCAUUAUUCCAAUGCUUGCAAAAAGGUCAUAACAAUGGAUAAGAAUAAAGUUGGUUCUGAGCAUAGCUCGAAAGAACAAAUUAUCGAAAAUAGUGAAGAAGGACAACAAAAGAAUUAAUUGGGAAUGUAUAUCUUGGAAAGAAAGAAAAAGUAUUCCAAGAACAACAAAUAACAUGAGAAUUGGGUGCCCCAGAUAUCACAGCUUGAACUUCUCUAUACAAACUUUCUGAAGACCCUUUUGAGUUGGACAUGUGUUUAGGAGAUCUACAAUGCUCUGUCGAUGCCCCCAAGAUGUCGCCUAUCCUUUCCUGUUGAUUCAGGCAUGGCAAGAUCAACACAUGCCUCAAUAUGAACAAAACUUGAGCAGCUUAUAUCACCCCAUGCCCCAUUUUGAUCAGUAUUUGAGCCGCCCUUUUCGGGUUUUCAGCUCAGAUCCCCUUUGGCCUAAGGCGCCCUUUGCGGGUUUUCCCCUUAGCCUCUCCAUUUUACUCUUUUCAUUUUCCAUUUUCAUUCUUCAUCUUUUUAUUUUUUUUGAACUUCAUUGUCUUACAAUACAGUGACAAACUGUGAUGUCUGAUUUUGAACCGAUUACAGCCCUCAACUAUCAUGUUGUCAUUCUAGUUCAAUACAUUUUCCCAUACCAUCGUCUCUAGAAUUCUAUAUUGGCAUAUGAUGACAUUGACGCAUGCUGUAGCCUUUAUCCAUUUGAUGAAGUAAUUAAUGAUCUCAAUAGUGAAGCAAUGCCCAUUAGAAGUCUUCGAUAAUGGUGAUGUCCAUGCCCCAUUUUGCUCAAAAUUUGAGUCACCCUUUUUGGGUUUUCCACUCAAAACCACUUUUGGUCACAAAGCGCCUUUUUGGUUUUUCGCCUUGGCCUCUCCUUUUCUUUUCUUUGCUUUUCGUAUUUUUAUUUUGACUUUGAUUGAUUUCUCUUUGUUUUUAUUUUUUAUUUUGAUUUUGAUUUUGAUUUUGUUUUUUUUUUUCAUUUUUCCUUGUUUUUUGAAUCGGAUCUAAACUCUUGGGAUUAGGCAAGUCUUUGUUAUCCCCUUCAAAGGAUCUUCUCUGAUAUCGAAUUUCCUUUAUAGAGCCUUUUAGGGCAAAACUACAACUGGAAACUUUUGAUCUUCUUCUUCCAUCGGGAUAAAAUCUAGCAACAUCUUGAAGGAAUAGAAACUCGACUUCAAACGGGCAAAGCUAUGCUGAAUUGACGAGAACGGUAUUGCCCCGGCAAAGAAUUGUAUCAUUCAUACGAGUUUGGACAUCGUGUUGUUGUGCAGAUUUCAUUAUCAGUGCUUAACCCAGCAUAUCCUGGUAUGAUCCUACAAAGACAUCUUUGAACAAGGUCUUGCUUCAUUUUUAAGGACAAGUCAAUUCCAAGCUCAGAAUUCCUAGUGAUCUGUCUAUCCUCCUACUCAACCAUCCUCAAUAAGUUUGGGGGUAAGCUACUAUCUAUGUCAUUUCCAAAGUCAUGAGAUCCAUCUAAGCACAUGCCUCACUCAAGUGGAAAAUCUGAGUUUGCAGCAGUUUCAUUCAUGUUAUUGAUAUCUGAGGACUCAUAAUAAGCACCGAGGAAUAUACAAAAGAAUGUAUAAAUUUAUGAAUGAUUAUUUACAAUAUGAUUAUGAAUGAAUGUUGUGGAAGAAAAUCCAACAGAAUGAAAUAAUCAAAAAUAAUUAUUAAAAAGAAUGAAAGAAUAUUGGCUCAAAAAGGAACGCAAAGAUGUAUUUUAUUAGAAUAAUAACGUUCAGACAUUAGCCUAUUUCACAAAGGAAUUUCUAUCGCUUCAGGCUAAAAACAGCAAAAAUGUUCUGAACAUUACUCUAAAUAAGCUCUAAAAACUACAGGGAUUUAUUCUACAAGCCCAUUGCUUGGAACACUCCAGGUUUAUAAGGGCAGACAUCUAACAAGAUCCCUUUUCAAUUAUGCCUUCAUAUAUGGUAUUGAUGUGAAAACUUCCCAACACUUUCUCAUAUAUUGCGUUCACCCCAUUGUUAAUCAUGAUUGGGUGGCGAAUUUUCUGCAUUAGAUGAGUCACCAAACUUGACGACACCCAUGUUGAUGAGCUUUUCAACCAGUUUCUUGAAGGCUAUGCAGUUCUCUAUGGAAUGCCCCGUAUUUCCCGCAUGAUAUUCGCAAUGUGCAUUCGCAUCGUGCCAUUUGGGGUACGGUGGCUGUGGAGGUUUUGAGUAGAAAGGAGAAACAAUGCGUGCAUCGAAUAACUUUUGAUACAGCUCAUUAUACGACAUCGGGAUUGGCGUGAACUGGAGGUUCUCAGUACCUUGUUUCACACUAAUUUCUUGUCUAGAUGAACCUUGCUGACUAGCAGUCACCUUUCUUGGCUGUGUAAUCGAUUUGUUGUAAGUGUUGACAUUGCUCACAUCAUUUUCCUUCUUCUUUAAGUCUGACCUUCUAUUAUUCUCCCCAGCAUCAAUCUUUCCACUUCUCACGGCACUUUCAAUCAUUUCACCGCUCAUGACUAUGUCUGAAAAACUCUUCGAAGCACUUCCUAACAUGUGGGUGAUGAACGGGGCCUUCAAUGUGUUGAUGAAGAGCAUCGUCAUUUCUUUCUCUAGGAGUGGCGGCUGAACUUGGAUAGCGACCUCCCUCCACCUUUGUGCGUAUUGCCUAAAACUUUCAUUAGGUUUUUUCUCCAUAUUUUGCAGGGUUAUUCUGUCAGGGACCAUAUAAGCUACAUGACUGUAUUGUUUCAUAAAGGCUUGUGCUAAAUCCCUCCAAGAACUAAUCUGGAUACGCGUCAAUUGAUUGUACCACUUAGACGCUGUCCCUGUGAGGCUAUCUUGAAAGCAGUGUAUGAGCAGUUGGUCGUUGUUGACGUAUCCGGCCAUACGCCUACAGAACAUAGUAAUAUGAGCUUCUGGGCAGCUGGUCCCAUUAUAUUUCUCGAAUUCCGGCAUCUUAAAUUUGUAAGGGAGCACCAAGUCCGGAACCAAGCUCAGAUCCUUUGCAUCUAUUCCAUAGCUUUCGAUGCUUUCUAUUGCCCUAAACUUCUCUUCUAUCCAUUUCCAUUUCUCCUCAAAUUGUUUUGGAAAUUCCUCCUUCGCCUUAUCCUUUUCAACCAUCUCGUCAAGAUCUGGGACAGCAAUAUUAUUCGGGCUAUCACCGGGAUUAAAGCCCGCUCCGGGUUGAAAAUUCAUUGGAAUUGAAGCAUCGCCUUGGAACUGCUGGGGCCUAACCGACACAGAGGGUCUCCGCGGAUGCAGCUCAGUCUGUACUUGCGCAUGCGGAGGCGUGAAACCUGGAGGAUAAAGUGGUUCACCAUUGUUUUCUUCUUCACUAACAAUCACAGGACCUUUACCCUUGUCUACUCCCUUCAAUAAUUGCGUCAUCUUAGCCACCAGAUCAUUUUGGGACUCCUCCAUCUUUUGCACCAUGUCACGCUGAAUCUUUUCUAUUUGCUCUUUCAUUUGCGCCUGCAACUGGUCUUGCAUUUCUUUUUGAAGUCGCUCUAGCUUCUCCAACCUUUGGUCCAUAAUUUUUGUCUUAGCUCGGGUGCCGUAACUUUGUUGGUUUUCCAGGUUAACUGAAAUGAUUUUAUUCGAUUAGGUUUUUAAUGGUCAUUAAUGCAUGUGAUGUGAUGCAAUGCAUGAAAAGAAUGCAAAGAAAAAGAGGCACUGAUUCUAAUUCAACUUCAUUAGAAAACUUUACUAGAUAAAGAGUUUCUUUACAUAAAAUAGACUACAUAUAUGGCUUUGCCCUCACACUCAAAGCCUUAACCUUUCUAAGAAGCCAAGCUAAUUCUCGGCCCCUGUCCGACUCUGACUCAUACUUCAAACUUAAUAGAUCAGCCUGAACCGCUAGAGUUUGCAGAUGAUCAGCUACUUCGCGCACUUGAGUCACCGCCUCUCCCAUAAUAUAAUCUCUUUCUCCAAUCUGCUCUUGAGACCGACGGAAUUGUCUUUGCCACUGCUCAUUACUUUCUUCCAGAAGCUCUAUCCGGAUUUCACUAUUUUGUAAUGCAUUCUCUAGCCCUCAUAUCUGUCUUUUUAAUUCUUCAAUUUUGUCUAAGCUCACCCUUAAUUCAACCGUAGCAUUACGAUUACAGUACUGGUGAAGCGAUCUUUCUAGUUCAGUUAUCCGGACCUUCAACACCGUCUUCUCGUCUUGGCAAACUAGUAGACUCUUUCCCAAGGCGACUUCUCGAGCCCGAGUAUCCUGAAAUUUCUUUUCCCAUUGAUUAGCUUUUGUCUUUUCCUCCUGAAUUUCUUGUCGCCAUUGUUCUGGUGUUUUACCCAAGCCAGCGGCUCUUACCGACUUACGCAACUUCUUGUAAUCUGUCUUCAGGCUGUCCAAAUCUUCUUCUGCCUUGUUCUUUCCUUUUCUCAAUUUGUUGGCCUCUAAUCUUUGAAUGUCCACAUCCAGUCCUAACUGCAUUUUUUCUUCCUCUAGUUGUUCUAUCUUCUUCCCUAAUUCUAAACUUCUUUUUUCGAAUUCUUGUUUGAUGAUUUCUAUUUCAGAAGGCAAAACUUGUAAGUGUUCCUCUAAAGAUCGAGCAGUUUCUGAAUUUGACGCCGGGAUGUUGUCAUUGAUCCUUUGAUCACGCCACUGACCAUACUCGGGGGUAAUUGUCGGACCCACGGCUAAGAUCUUCAUUCGACGAGUCUGGUUCCAGGCACUAGAUAUUUCUCGAACCUUCUUCUUGUAAUUGUCCUUCCUAUAGGAAAAAUCACUAUAAGCCAACCCCUGGGUUGCUGGUAUGAAUUGUCGUGAUCUAUACUGUCUUGAUACGAGUAGAGGAGCAUAUCCGAUAGCUCUCCAUAUCCCGAGCAGCGGAACCCAGUCAAAAUCUCCACAUCGGUACAAUAUCUCAUCAGGAAUUAACCAAGGAGCCCUCCAUUCAAUAUCUUCAUCUUGGAGAUUCUGGAGUAUCUCUAUCCAUUUUUCUUCUGAAAUAUCAUCUCGUCUUGGCGUGGCCACCAAUUCUCCUAGAGGGGAGUAGCUAUCAGAGAAUACCCGAUAAGAGACCUUUUCGACUUUCCAGAAGUGGCUAUGGAACCAUGCCAAUAAGAGCUGCGCGCAUCCAAUAAACCUUCCCUCCCCUACUUUUCGACACGCAUUCAAUGAUCUAAAAGUUUCAGCGAGUAUUGCCGGAACCGGUGUAACCCCUUUACUAAGCCGAUCGAACAAAUCAGAUACAGCCUCGUCUAUGUGUCCUAAAGCUUUGGGGAAAACCACUAGUCCAUAGAUACCUAAAGCGAAAACAUCGACCCUUUUCUUUAAGUCAGGAUGUACAAGCACCAAAUCUCGCAAACUUUUCCAAGGAACACAUUUACUGUCGCCCUUCUGUUGGAUCCGGGCAGCGACCCACUGCUCGCUCAUUCCAGUGAUGUUCAUUAAUUUCUUUAACAACGGAGGGACACAAGCAGCUCUGGAAUAAGCCUUGUCGACUUGAAUCUUUGGGCACCGAAGCAAGGUCGUAUACUCCUCCACAGUAGGCGUCAAAUCUACCUUCCCAAAAGUGAAACAACUGUAGGCAGGAUUCCAAAACUGAGCAAGGGCUCGGAAUAAAUACUUGUCCACUUUGACACUAAGCAGGUAAGGUAGGUCACCGUAGUUACAAUAGAACAGCUGCUUGGCCUCGACAUCCCAUUGAUCCCAGACUUCUUUCAUUUCUCGAAGGUCAUUUUGGAUUACACUGAUACGGGUAAAAUCCCACAAUUCUGACACGUACCCUUCGGUAAGACUAUCGCCUUUCUCCCGUUGUGUCGUUUCAGCCCAUAUUCGCACAGCCGCAUUAUCCUCUACUUUAUCAACAAACCCCUUUUCCAUGAUAAGCUUUCUACCAAGAAACUGAACGUAAAUCGACACCUCUUUUAGAAUGAAGAUGCCAUGCAAUCACAAACAAAGUAAAUUAGCAUUAAACACAGAAUAAGAUUUAAAAUAAGCGACAAAUAAAUACAACAUUCAUUUAGGUAAGCACUAAAAAUUUAGAGUAGCUCUACCUAGGUUGGUUCCUAUGGCUCAUUACAUGUGGUUUGGUUCUAAAGUAGGGUACCUGAACCAGCAAAUUCCUCGAUCCUCACCCAUUAUAGGCUCAUACGGACCAAGUUCGAUUCAGGGGGAUACAUUUCCCUAUGGCCAUGCGGAGAUGAAAAUCUCACGAAGACAUAGGUACGGAUGUAUCCCGAAAGCGAUUCACUAUCCCAUGCGGAGGUGAAAACCUCACGAAGGCGUAGUUUCUCACUCCCACUUAAAAGGGUGUGACCAACGGUCAUGCAAUGCAAUGUGCAGAAAGAUACAAAAACUUAAACUAACACAACAAUUAUAAACCACAACGAUGAAAAUUGUAAUAAAGAGCAAUGAAAUGCGAUGAAAGGAUCGUAUAUUUAAACCAAGUUUUGAUUUUCGACAAAAAGACAAAAAAUAAUCAACUCGUGGCCCGACUCACUUAUUGUGGUUGUCCCCAGUGGAGUCGCCAAGCUGUUGACACCAUUUUUGGAUUAAAAACGGGGUCGACUUGGGUUUUGAAAAUGAAAAUGAAUAGAGGAGUCGCCACCAAUCCUUUUUGAUGAGGUGCGAUCGGGUCACCUCGAAUUAAUCAUUUUAAUAAAAGUUAAGAUUUACUAAAACGAUAAUUUUUUUUGGUCUACGAAAAUCAGAAAAUGAGUUCGGGAGUCGGUUACGCACGAGGAAGGAUUAGCACCCUCGAUACGCCCAAAAAUUGGUACCUAGUUGAUUAAUUAGUGUCUUAGUUUCGAAAAUUGAAAACUUAAAAUACUUUGAAAUACGAUCCAUCUCUUUGUAAAAAAAACUCAAAUAUUAAAGACCUUCUCAUCUCUAAGUGAUAAAAUAUCACAUCCAGUAAGUUAGGACACGACAUCUCGAGCUUUUGAGAGUGAGUUUGUCUUUAUUUAAAAUUCAUGCAUUUUAACUUUUUUUUAAAAAGGAUGUUCGGUUAUUUAGGGUAAACGAAGAAAGUCGAAACCCAGUAAGUUAGGGUACGUUUUCUCGAAUUUCCUAAAAACGAAAUAUUGCCUUAUUUUGAAUUUUUUUUUGAAUAAUAGCAAAUGCAACAUUUAGAUAGUGUGCAUUAUUUGUUUGGAUUAAAAUAAAACAAUUUAUUGGAUAAAUGCAACGAGACUUGAUUCAUGAAGCGAUGAUAUAAAAUAAAAAUAUAGUAAUAAGCCUAGAACAAUGAUACAUGAACACAACAUUAUAUGGAUGAAUCACAAUAAUGCAAAAAUACGAAAUAAACAAAUUAAAAUACACAAAGACAAUAAUCAUACAACAUUUAAAUAAUAACAUCGAUAGAUAAAAGACCAAUGAAUUAAAUAAUAAUUUUUUAAGAAAAUAAAUGGCAUAAAAUAAAUUAAAAUAAAUAAUAUAAAACAUUUUAAAAUGACAAUAAUAAGUUUGAAAUAAAUAAUGUGAAAAAGGAAAUUUAAAAAUCAAUAACACACUAAACGAUAAAAAAUAUGUUUAUACAAAAAAUUAAGAUAAACAGUAUGUAUAUAUAUGUAUAAAAGUAUGAAGUGAAUGAUAUAAAAAGAGCAAAUAAUAGCAGUAAAACAUUUCGAAAUAAAUAAAUAGGAUUCAAAAUAAGAUACGUAUAACAAUUUAAAAUAAGCAAUAUAUAAAUAAAUAGAGUUUAAAAUAAAUGAUGUAAAAAAAAAUUUUAUUUAAAAAAAAGGAACAAUAAUAUACGAAAAAGAAAAAAAGAUAUAUGAAGAAUAGAAAAUAUUUAUAUAAUAUGUGCAAAGAAACCAAAAUAAAUAAUGUAUGUAGAGUAGUUUAGAAUAAACAAUAUAUGCAAAACAACUUACAACUUUGAGUAAUUGAUACAUAAAAUUGGUUAAAAUUAAUAAUAUAUGAAAAUGAACCGUAUAUAGAAUAUUUUAAACACAUACAAUAACAGUUCCUUUUUUAAGAAAAAGAAUUAAACAGGUGAAGGAUUAAUUCGAAAACAAUACAAAAUUCUAGGUAAAAAAUAAAAAGAUACUGCCAGGAUUAAAAUGAAGUGCACCUAAAAUCAUAAGGACCAAAUGGGAUAAAAACCAUAGCCCUAACAUGCGCAUGAGGCCCGACAGAUCAAAAGACUGAUUUAAAAAACAAGCAAAAUCUAACAACUAAAUUAAGAGAAAAAGCAAAGAUAAAAUAGGGCCUGAUCAAAGGACGCUAAAGAUGGAGGGACCUCGUGUGCAAAUAUCCUAAUAAUUGAGGAUACAUGAAUCCCCAUCCCCACCAACGGCACCGUUUUGUUUGGUGUUUAAAACACCCAUUCUCUUUAUUAUUUCAGCCCUAAUUUCAUAGAAGAAAAGAAAAAAAGAACAAAAAAAAUAGAAUGUUAAAGCUUCUCUCCCUCUCCUCUCUUACUGAAUCGUGAGCCCGUCGCCGUUGCAUCACCGCGCCCCCACCGUAUCGGUGGCUGGCGAUGCUCAAGGGUGGGUUUUUAGCCCCCGAUUCAACCAGGUAUGAAGGCUAAGAUUUUUUAACCAAGAAAACCCGAAAAUGAAGGGAUCUCCACCCGUUUUGGGUUCGGCUCCGACGACUGAGGGAACCGCCGACGGUGUGACCCAGGGGUUCGGGUAAGUUUUCUCCCCGUCUUCUUUUUAUUUCUUGUUCUUGAAGCUUAAAAGCAAAAUCAAAAAUGAAAAAAGAAAAAAAGAAAUCAGAAAUUGAAAAAACGUAACCUUUUUCUUUUGUUUUUGCUCUUUUAUUUCUGAAAUAUGCGUGUGUACAAGAAUGGGGAUCCCUUUUUUACAAUUGCUUUCGGCUUCUGUUUUUAGCCGAAUGAGAUAGAAUCCAAAAUCUCCCCCUUUUACAUUGAAAAUGAAUGGCUCUUUAUAGCCGAUUAUACAAAGUCCUAUUGUUGUUUUGUUACUGUUUGCUGCGUUUCUGUUUCUGUUGCUGCUUCCGUCAUGUUUGCAGGUGUUCAAGGAGGUGAUGGGAGCAGGUGGAGGAGAGAUGGCGAUGGGACGUGCGGCUGACAGAGAGCAGCGGCAAGUGGGAUACUAGGGUUUCAGUUUCUGAAACCCUAGUCUGAUGUGGGCUUGGCUGUUGGGCCAGGGUGCUGGGCCUUUUAUUUCUUUCUUGGGCCCGGGCAAAUGGGCCUGCAACAGGAAUCCCCAAGUUUCUAGAUAUGUUGCUAGCUAUGUAUGAGUGAGUAGACCCUAUGUCUAUCAAGGUAAUAUAUAGUACAUCAAGAAUAAAGAACGUACCCGUGAUGACGUUCGGAGCAUCUCUAUUCUCUCGGCGACAAGCAACAUAUACUAGGGCCGACUGCCUUGCCUCAGCCUGUCCAACACCUCUGCUUCGGUGCUCUCUACCUAUGACCCAUACCAUUACCACAUCUGGCCUGUCUAUGGCCCCUCGGUGGUUACUGUACUACCUUUUAUAACUAUACCGUACCAGUACCCGAAGUUUUCAUCUGAUCGGCCCUUAACGAACACUCCUUACAGUACUCUAAUGACUCAUACCGCAAGCACACCUCAGUCUUUCUCUAACACUCGCCCUGAUGGCGUCUACCACAAUCAGUACUUAGCUGCAGUUCAGUAACAGUAACAGAGGGCCCAGCUCUAACCGACCCAUCAACUCUGCCCUUUUUCUUAGGCCUCUGUGCAGAACUCGAAGGCUCUAAAUCCCUCUUAUUCUUACCUCUCUCACAGUAAUAGUUCUGGCGCUCAGCGCGCUUAAUCUCAUCGGUGAUCUUCGCCUUCUCCACUAGUGUAGAAAAAUCACCUCUCUCUACGGAGCUAUCAAGACUCUCAAAUUAUCUCUGAGCCCAUCCUCAAAACGAAUACAUCGCUCAUACUCAGAGGCCACCAUACCUCGCGUAUAGCGGCUCAGUCACAGGAACUCAGCCUCAUACUCGGCCACUGAUCAAUUUUUCUGAGUCAAAUUUAAGAAGUUCCUUUUACGGGUAUCCACGUAGCUCGCCCUCACAUAUUUCCCCUAAAAGGCAGUUUUAAAGAACUCCCAGGUUAGAUGUUCGGGCUGAGUGCCCUCCUUAACAAUGAGUCAUCACUGAUAAGCCUCAUCCCUCACCAGUGAGACUGCACCCUUUAAUUUCUGCUCUAGGGUGCAGUCUAAGUCAUCCAUGAUCCUCUCCGUGGCCUCAAUCCAGUACUCGGCCAUAUUAGGGGCAACUCUAGUGACACCCCUGAAAAGCUCAACUCCAUUGGACUAGAGUCGUUUCGUAUUCGAUCCUCGGACCCCUAAUCUAGUAUUGAUCCGAGCGACCCUCUCCAAAAUCCUUAGCAUAGCUUGGGAUAAUGCGUCGUCCUCAGCCAUGCGAUCUUGAGACCCAGUCUCAGUAGUAGGCGACACUAGCGUCUCACUAGUAUCCAAAUUCGGUAUGCUACCCAAUGAAGAGGACUCAGAUCGAGCUCCUUUGUGACCUCUACCUCAGCCUCUAGUACCCCGUCCACAGAUACAUCGUAUGCUCAUUGUCUAAUCACGUUUAUCUGUAUUAACAGUUUUAUGAAUCAGUUACGGUUUCAGUGUUUAUUAACAAAUGUUUUAUGUAAAAUAGUAUCGGUUAUUCAAAGUUCGUUUUGUAAAUCACAGUCUUACUAUAGUUUUUAGUUUUUUUACAAUUUUUAUUAUACACUAACUAGAGUGUUUUCAGUACAGUUUACUACCUAUAGUAGAUUCAGAAUAUACUAUCCAUAACAGUUUCAGUUUAAAACAAAUCACAGUUCAAAAUACUUACAGAAUCGACACCGGAGACUCGGUGUACCACUUACUUAGUACAAACAUUUCAAAUCAUUUAGAAAUUAAUCAACUUUUCGAAAGCUCAAUUUUUACAAAACCCAUAAUCCACUAUCGAGUUCUGUAACUUGGCUCUGAUACCACUAAAUGUAACACCCCAAACUCGGCCUAGACGUUAUGGUCGUAUCUGUUAAUGUCACAUGAUAGUGUUUUUGAAACCUCGUUGUUACGAUGAAAACAUUUCAUGUUAUUAUCUUUAGUAAACCUUUGUUAGAACUUAGAAAGUUGUCUUUAUUCAUUUAAAACAUUUUUUUUGAAACAUCCCUCAUUGCAGAAGCUUUAAUAAAAUAGUCUAGGUGAUCAUGCGUUUAGAAAAUAUAACUUUAUGAAAACUGAAUUUCCUACGACCAGCAGGUAUAAAUCUAUAAAGUAAAAUAAAUAAAUAAAAACCCAAAUUUAAAACCAAAGUCUCAAAGGGUCCUUAAAUUACAACCCAAAUAAUCAAUAAUAAUCAAAUCAUAUAUCGUAAAUUGAAAACCAUGAACUCAAAAAAUUACUAUAGUCACCGUUGAGUCCUUCGUCGCACCGAUCUGUCUAAGUUUGGGGAUUACCUGUGAACAUUAAACAAAAAGGGUGAGUUUACGUAAACUCAGUGUGUAAUCUCGUAGAAAUAAACAAAUAAUCAGUAUUCACAGUGCACAGUUGAAUAGUCUUGGGCCUAAGCCCUUUUCAGUAUUAGUCAUAGUUUGGGCCUUAGCCCAUCUCAGUAUAGUGUUAGAAAUGCAAUAGGGUCUUAACCCAUCAUAGUAUCAGUAGUAGUAACAAUUAUGCAGCAGCAAAAUCCUACCCAACCAGCCUCUACACACCAUUUUCGUCUAACCCUACACUCCAUGUGGGGAUAUAAUCAACCCACCCAUCCCUACACUCUAAGUAGUACUAAAUGCGACACAAAACAGUAGUUUGCAACUGAGCUGCUAGUAAAUUAGGCUAAAAGCCUUUCAGAACAUUUCCUCCGAAUAACAACCCCUAACCUAAUGCAAUGCAACAUACAAUAGAUGACAUGCUAUUAUGCAAUUUCAGUACAUAUAUUCAGUUCAAAUAUUAACAUGCUCAGUACAUAUAUCAUUCAAUCAAUUUCACACAUUUAGGUGUCUAAGUAGCGCUUAUCAACCCUACAGUGGGUUCACAGUCGACUUGGGCGACCCGUGCAAUCUUACAAACAUUUCGGUGAAAAUAGGCUCACACGCCCAUGUAAUCUACCCGUGUGGCCCACUUGGCCCAAAUUGGCCUUGGCCGUGUGAUCCAUUUUUAAUGUAACCCGUGCUAGCUAAAUAUUCAUACAUGUUUUCACUAUUUACUUAUAUGUUCAUUCAAAAUUGUCUACUUGAGUCAUUGUCACUAAAUUAUUUAUAUCUUGAGCUACAGAAUUCCAAAUUAAGAUUCGCUUGAUGUUUUUGAAACUAGACUCAAAUACCUUUCUACCAUAAAAAUUUUAGAAUUUAUAGUUUAUCAAAUAAGUACAGUAAAAUCUUUAAAUUUAUCCCACUUCUGUUGUUUGACAGCUUCAACCUUUCCUUACUAAAAAUUAUUUAUCUCUUAGUACGAAUUUGGAUGAUGUUUCUAUUUGUUUCUCUUGAAAAUAGACUCAUUAAAGAUUUAAACAUAAAAAUUUAAGCCCAUAAAUAUUUUUUAAAAAUUUUUGGUGAUUUUCCAAAGUCAAAAUAAGGGAACCCAAAAUUAUUCUGACAUUGUCUCACAAAAUUUAUUAUAUCUCAUAAUUUAAAAUUCCAUUGAUUACACUGUUCCUUACAUAAAAGACUAGACUCAAUAAACUUCAAUUUCAUAUUUGAUUCAACCUCUAACUCAAUUUCUACUAUUUUUGAUGAUUUUUCAAAGUUAGACUACUGCUGCUGUCCAAAACUAUUUUAGUGCAAAAUGUUGAUUUCCAAGUUUAUAACACCCUUAUUUCCUUUUUCUAUAAUUUUUUGCAUCAUUUUCUCUUAUUUCUCUUAUGUCUCGACAGCAAACAAUUUUAGCUUUUCACUGAAUCUCAUUUUUUGCAUUUCGAGUACAUAACUGGUAUCGUUUCGCUGUAAAUACGCUCCCAAACACUCUAAGACCUAAAAAUCGGUAAUUAGAGCCCAAUUUAGAUCACUAACUAAAACUCAAAACUGAAAAUCGUCUACAUUGAAAUCGAUAGCGAACCUAAACACUUACCUGCAACGAACCAAAAUUUCUAAUGCUCAAUUUUCUUGUGAAGCCGCAUCUGAUUUCUGAUUUUCGCCUAAACCAAGAGAGCCAAAACAAUCUUUUUUAUAAACUAGCUAAAAAGCGAUAAAAUAGAGAAAGUCAGAUACUUACAGAAUGAGUGUAUACAAUUUCUGGCUGGAAAGUAGGCUAGUAGAAAAAUCAAACAAUGAGGGUGGACUAGGGAGCAAAAAUUUGGCAAAGCAAAGAAGAAGAAGACGACAGAAAAAUUGGGGAAAAGAGGAGAAUGCCGAAAUUUGGGAAAAUAAAAACCAAAUAGAAACUUAGAUGAUAUCGUUAGCUACCCCACAUCCCUAAAUUUUUUCCCACUAAUCCUACUAACCUACAACCACUCCAGAAUCCCACUCUGCCGAAAUACUUGUCCAUCACUGCGCAAAAAUAACACCUAUGCUCGAACAUGGAUUCAAACUCAGGACCUCAUGCAAUCAAACACUCCAUUUAACCACUAAACCAGCAAGCCCAUUUUGUUAUUUAAUUACCAACUAUUAAACUUAAGCCCUUUAGGCUAGGUUAAGGCUUUAUUUAUAAAAGUACUAAAAUUUACCCAAGUCAUGGCUUGAACUUGGGACCUCCCACACACACCCAAAACACUUAAGCAUUGAAGCAGACAAAUACUUAAUAUCACAUAUACACAAAAACAAGAAUUAAAAAUUUUGGGGCGUUACAAUGAGAAGGAAAAACUUAACGAAAGAAAUUGAAGUUUCUUGGGGCUACCUUUGUAGAAAUAAGAGAUCAAUAGAGUUUCUUGGAAUUGAAGUUACAGUUUCAAAUUGUAUUAGCUUUUAUGUAGUACAACAUCAAUAUCAAUGUCCAUCAUCUUAUGUACUUUUUUAUUUGUUUACUUUUGUACAUUGAGUUGAAUGUUAGUGGUAUAUGUUAGUGGUAUACAUUUUAGCUAAAUGUUAGUGUAUUUUAAUUGUUGGAUCGAUUUUUGUAGUGAAUAUUAAAUCUUUAUUUUAAUUUUAAUUUUAUAUUUUUUUGUUGUAUUUAUAGCACAAUUCCUAUCAUUAUUCACUGUAAAUAUUUAUAAAAAUAUAUUAAUAUUGAAAUAAUAAAAAAUAGAAAAAAUUACAUUAUACGUGUCUAUUCCAAUCUUUUUAAGAUUACCUUAGACGGGUUUAUCCCAACCUUUUUUUAAAGGUUGCCUUAGACAAGAUUUAUCCCAACCUUUUUAAGGUUGCUCUAAACGGGUCUAUCCCAACCUUUUUUAAAAGUUGCCUUAGACAAGGUCUAUCCCAACCUUUUUAAAGUUGCCUUAGACGGGUCUAUCCCAACCUUUUUUAAAGGUUGCCUUAGACAUGGUCUAUUCCAACCUGUUUAAGGUUGCCUUAGAUAGGUCUAUCCCAACCUUUUUUAUAGGUUGUCUUAGACAAAGUCUAUCCCAACCUUUUUAAGGUUGUCUUAGACGGCUCUAUCCAAACUAUUUUUAAAAGUUGCCUCAGACAAGAACUAUAUCAACCUUUUUAAGGUUGUCUUAGAUAGGUCUAUCUCAACCUUUUUCAAAGGUUGGCUGUAACUAGGUCUAUCCCAACCCUUUUUAAUGGUUGGCCUUGACUAGGUCUUUCCCAACCCUUCAAUAAGGGUCGGCUUAUGUUGACUUAUGCUGACGUUUUUUCAAAAGUGUUGUGGAGCCUACGCCAACUGUAUUAUAGACAACCUUUUCGAAAGCAUCAGGAGAACCGUCGCGAAACUUAUGCCAACCUUUUUUACGUUGUCUUAGGUCAAAAAAAAGUGUCACGAUAGGCUUAUUUUAUUGUAGUGAUAGUAAUAUUUUUAGCUCUUAAAAAUCUAAAUUAUAUAUAAUAUGUAUUUACAACUCUAAAUAUUAAAGCUUGAUUAGAUAUAGGUUAUUUGAACUUUUCAUCUUAAAUAAAUUUGAGGAAAUUAAAUAUGGAAAUUUUAAUUAAAUUAUUUUAAUAUAUAUACACACCAUUAUUUUCAUUCAUUAAUAAUUUUAAACUAACAUUUUUUCUUCAGUAAAUUUCACUUUAAUCCCUUUCUUUACUUUUCUAAUGUUAUUUUUAUUUUUUUGUCCUUUAUUUUUCUUCUAUUUUAUAAAUUCUUUGAUCUUAUAUGUUUCAAGUAUCAAAGUGUAAAUAAAUAUAAAUAUUAAAAAAUGCCAAAUGUAACUCUAUGUGAUAUUAUUUAAUUGCUACUCAUUUCUUUUUGUUUCAAAAAACAAUGGAAAACUUAAGAAUUUUAAAGUUUUUGGUAUCAAAUAUAUAUAUCUAUACAUUUACAUUUUAAACUCCAAACUUAAAUAAAUAGAGAAAAUCUAAAAAUUUAAAAUAAAAAUAAAUAAAAAAUGAAUAUUUAACUUUUUUAGUACACAUGUAUCAUUCAGACAAUUUUAAUAUAACAAAUAAUCAAGUAAUUGGGAUUUAAUAUUUAAUUAAAAAUAUUCUUCUAAAAAUUGUAAAUCGCAUAACAUUGAAAGUCUUUAAAUAAUAUACUAAAGGGGUGAGCAUUCAAUCAAAUCGAAUGAAAAAAUUUUGAGUUAAUCGAGUUGACGAAUAAUAUUUUAUUAUCCUAACUAGAUUUAAAUUUUUCUCGAAUAGAGUCUAGUGAGAUGGAACUCGAAUCGAAUCGAAUAUAUUUGUUCGAGUUAAAUUAAGGUCCUUGUAAUCAUUGUCACCCACCGCAAUCAGAUUUGUUAUUAACUUUCACUCCCUCAUAAUUUAUUUAUUAAUCUUUUAUAUAGGGUUAGAUUCUUUGCUUGCUUAGUUGCUUCAAUUAUCUUCUGAUUUUGUCACUAUGUAUUCUGAAAUUUAAAAAUAUAUUAAAUGUAAAAAAUGUGAUUUUUUUAAUAAAAAAAUAUCUUAAAGGUAAAAUAUAAAAUUGAUACCAACAUAAAAUUUUAGCACGAAUAUUUUAUGCCAUCAUCAAUAAUUUAAUUUUAACAAAAAAAAUUAUAAAGAUUCAAUAUGAUAAAAUAAUUCAAUAAUAUUGAUAAGCUAUAAAAGUAACAUAUUUUAAUCUCAAUCUUAAUGUGUUUUUAGAUGAUUAAUUAUGCAAAUUAGUGAAUUUAAUGCUCCUAAUCCAUUAAAAUAAUGCAUGGUACUUUUGAUAUUGUAUAGUUCUUUUGAUGUCAAAAUAAUGCAUUAAAAUUUAUUCAACUGUCAAUUUAAGUGGAAAAAGUUGGAGAUGAAAUUUGUAAUUAAACCUUCUUUAAUUUACGUCUUUUUCCCUAAAAAUAUAUUUUUUAAAAAUAUUAAAUGUUAUAAAACUUGGGACAAAUAUUAAAUGUUGGAAAGUGGUUAAGAAAAUCAUUAUCAUUAUAAUUCAUCCUCAUUAUUGAUCAGUGUCACUGAAGCAAUGAAUUUCAAUGGGUUUGGUAAUGGAUGAGAGUUUGCUAAAAAUCUUCCUUUUGGUUUGUAACCAUUUUCACUUACAUAGUCUAGGAUAAGAAUGUUAAAAACCUAUGUUAUAUCCAUAGAAAUUGAGGGCUAUAUUUCUUAUCAUCACAACAAGCGCAAGCAUUGUUGGGGUAUAUCCACUUGUCUUAAACCACUAGAAUGUACAAGUAGCAAAAGAUAAUAAUGAUUAAAAGCUUGGGUAAUUAAUUUUGUAGUAUAUAGUCGGUCCAACACUGACUUAUAUCUAAGCAAAGUGCAUGCAUCAACUACAACAUUUUUUCUCUGAUUACCUUCUCCUUUCUUCUAUCAUUCUAGAGUGUAAACAAUUCACUCAAAGGCAAACAAUUUAUAGAAUUGUCUAACCAUGUGUAUUGCUGCUUUCAUUUGGCAAGCUCAUCCACUCUACCCUCUACUGCUUUUACAAAACAGAGAUGAAUACCACAACAGGUAUGUUUCCAUUUCACUUCAAUCAUUCUUCUCUUGAAAAUAUAUUUAUCUUAUUAAUAUAUAUGGGUGGAAUUGAAGGCCUACGAAGGCACUUGCAUGGUGGGAUGUUGAUGGUUGUGAGAUAUUAGGAGGAAGAGAUGAAGUAGCAGGAGGGACAUGGUUGGCUUGUUCAAGACAAGGCAGAGUUGCUUUUCUCACCAAUGUGUUGGAGCUUCAUCCCCGUCCCGACGCCAAGACCCGCGGUGAUCCCCGUCCCGACGCCAAGACCCGCGGUGAUCUUCCACUUCUUUUCCUGGAGGUAAAUAAAUCUAUAUGCCUUUUUUUUCUUCUUUUUAUUUGGUCGAAGCCAGCUCACCUAUCAAAAACGGUGGUCAUUCAUUAAAAGUAAACACACUGUUGUUGAUACAGAGCACAAAGAGCCCCAUGGAAUUUGCGGAGCAACUGGCCACCGAUGCUCAUCAGUACAAUGGAUUUAACCUCAUAGUGGCUGAUAUUCCUUCCAAAUCAAUGGUUUACAUCUCGAACAGGCCAAAGGGGGAACCCAUUAACAUUCAACAGGUUUCUCCGGGGCUUCAUGUUCUUUCAAAUGCCAAGCUUGACUCUCCCUGGCAUAAGGUACAUUAACUUGUUUCAUGUGUUAUAUUCCUAUAAAGUUAUGCCCAAAGGCAGAUGGACGCUGGAGAAUUGAUUCAUCCACUCCCAUUGUGCAGGCUUGGCGGUUAGGUAAAGGCUUCAAACAGAUGCUCAAUAGAUACGGUAAAAAUGAAGUAAACGUGAAAGAAAUGGUUGAGAAACUUAUGAAAGAUAAAGUGAAAGCUGAUAAAAGUAAGUUACCUGGCAUAUGUGAUCUCGACAUGGAGUUCAACCUUAGCUCCAUAUUUGUUGAAAUGGACACCCCACUGGUAAAAUUCCAAGUUCUAAACCAUCCUCCUACUAAAAUUUAUGUAGAACAAUGUUGAAGCCAAUAAAAAUUGUGGUUGUUUCAACUUACAUAUCCAUCUAUUUUCCGGAAUACAGGGGCUUUAUGGAACAAGGAGUACUGCAGCAAUAACCGUAGGUGCUGGUGGGGAAAUUAGCUUUUAUGACGAGUAUCUAGAAAAGGGUGUGUGGUUUGAGAGAACAGUCAAUUAUCAUAUCCAGAAGCUCAAGUAGAUUGAAUCCAUGUCAAAGCAAGGGAUUUUACUACUCAAGUUAUUUAUUGAUUUGCGAAUGUUAUAAGCAUUUUAAGUUUAUACUAAUUGUAACAUAGGAGUGAUGUAUGAUGUAUCUCAUUCUUAAUACUUUACAUUUUCACUUUAAACUCCAAACUUAAAUAAAUAGAGAUAAUCUAAAAAUUUAAAAUAAAAAUAAAUAAAAAAUGAAUAUUUAACUUUUGUAGUACACAUGUAUCAUUCAGACAAUUUUAAUAUAACAAAUAAUCAAGUAAUUGGGAUUUAAUAUUUAACUAAAAAUAUUCAUCUAAAAAUUGUAAACCGCAUAACAUUAAAAGUCUUUAAAUAAUGUCACAUACAUGAUUUUUUUUUUGUAAAUAUACAUGGUCUGUUUUUAUUUAUAAAACUUCCUUUUACCUCAUUUUUCUUCAUUAAUGUCUACAAAUUUGAAGGGAGUCAUGUACCGAUUAAAUUUGAAUCCUAUCAAGAAUGAGCUUUUGAUUGUUAUAUUUGAUGUUUUCCUAUUAGUUUAAGAUCCCCAAUAAUUAAGCAUGCUUUCUUAAUAAUUGGAAAAUAUUUAUUUAAAAUAUUACUGUAACAGCUUAAUUUUAGGCCUAGUCGGAACAGUAGUUUCGGGACCACGAAUCUGACGAGGAAAAUUUUAUUUUUUAUUAUAUUUUUAUAGUCUACAAUUUCACAGAAUGAUUUCGUGAAAAUUUUGUUCAAAAAUUUCGACGUUUGUGCACUCAAUUUAGCCAAAAGGACUAAAUUGUAAAAAGUGCAAAAGUUGAGUUCUACAUGUUAGAAGUGUCCAAUUGUUAUGAAAUUUUAAAUUGGAGGUCCUUAAAUGGUAAUUAGACCAUUGGUUAACUUUUUGGACAAAAAUGGACAAGAGAUAAGUGAAAUAAGAUAUUUUUAAGUUUGGGGCAUUUUGGUCAUUUAGUAAUUAAAAGAAUUAAAAAGGCCAAAAUAGCCAAAAAUUUGUCCAUCUUCUCCAUGGUGAACGAAAUCAGCAAGGGGAAGCCAUGGUUAGGGUUUUCAAGCUUCCAAGCUCCAUAGCAAGUGAUUCCAAGCCCCAUUUUUAAUGUUCUUUACAUUUUUGGAGUCUCAGUAACUUGAUUUAGCUUAUUCUAACAAUAAUUUAACCUAGGGUUCAUAUUUGGAAAAAUACCCAUAGGUGAAAUGUGUUUAUUUUGAUGUUUUAUGGUAGUGUAUGAAGCUUGAAAUUAUGUUAAAUAACUUUUGCUAGCCGAUUUUAAGUGAAAACGAGUAAAUUGACAUAAUCGAUAAAAAUACCUAAUGUUCAUAAGUAAGUGUUAGAGUGAGAAUUUGAUGUUGCCAUAGAAGGGAAAAAUGUUCAGCAUGUCAUAAAACAUAAGAAAAAGGAAUAACGUUUAAUCUCCGAGCCUAGGGGCAAAAUUAUAAUUUUGUAAAACUUUAGGGGCAAAAAUGUAAUUUUGCCAAAAUGUGAUUUUUGGACUGGAUUGAAUAAUGUGAGUGUUAAAUAAGUUAAAUAUGUUAUUAUAAGUCAAUAAAGACAAGGAAAUGACUUUGAUUAGUGAAAAAGAAAAAAAAAAGAAGAAAAACUGAGAAAUUUCCCGAUUGAACAUUCGGAAUAAAAAGGGAUAUGAAUGAAGUGACAGAAAUGAUCACAUGCGUGGCAUGGACUGUGUGUAGGCCACUAUGUGAAAGUGAAAGUGAUGGUCACGUGUGUAGUACUAUGUGCAGGCUACUACGUGUACCAGAAUGAUAGGUCGCAGGUGUAGUACUAUGUGCAGGUUACUAUGCGUACCGGAUAGCUUCGAUCACGUGUGUAGUACUAUGUGCAGGCUACUACGUGUAUCGGAUAGUGAUGGUCACGUGUGUAGUACUAUGUGCAGGCUACUAUGUGAACCGGUAUCAUUAAUUAUAAGGUGGUUGCUAUGUGUUAAUCCCACAAGAUAUCAUUGAUUACAAAGGGUAGUUGCUGUGUGCUGAAUCCAUCGUAUAUAUGUUAUUAUUCUAAACUGUUCAUCAGGAAAUUGACUAAGUGAAAAUACAUGAGAUCAUGUAAUGAUUAAGUGUGAUUGAAUGAUGAAUACAUGUGUGGAAUUGAAUUGAAUAAUGAUUGAAAGUGAAAAGUGAAAUUAUGAAAAAGUAAAACUAGCAACAAAUAGUUUUAGACAGUAACAAUAGUGUGACUUUGAAAAAUCACCAAAAAUGGUGGAAAUUGAAUUAAAGAGUGAAUAAGAUAUGAAAUGAAAGCUUAAUGAGUCUAUUUCUACAUAAAAGAAACAGAGCAAGCAAAAGAGUUAUAUAUUUUGAGAUAUUUGAAUUUUAGUGAGGCAGGGUUGGAUUGAUUUUGGAAUCCCCUAUUCUGAAUUUGGAAAAUAAUUAAAAAUUGUAAAAAUAAUAAUUAUGAGUUAUAAUUUAUAUUCUUAGAAUCCUUAAUGAGUCUAUUUUCAAAGGAAAUAAACAUAAAUAUCAUCUGAAUUCUGUAAAAUGAGAUAAUUUAUUUUUAGUGAAGAGAUGUCAGAGAUGCUAAGCAGUGAAAUAGGGGUGAGUUUAAAGAAUAAACUGUACUAAUUGGCUAAGAAAAAAAUUCUGAAAAUUUUAUGGUAAGAAUAUAUGUGAGUUUAGUUUUGGGUAAAAUUAACGGAACUUAAUUUGGAGCUUUGUAGCUCAGGAUAAAAAUAAUUUAGUGACUGUAACUCGACUAGAUAGCUUUUGAAUUUAAAUAUAAGUGAAUAGUGAAAUUAUGUAUAAUGCUAUUUAAGCAUGUUAUAUACAUAAAGGAUGUGGGAUGGAGAGGAGGAGGAGGACAAUAAAGCAUAUGCGUGUGGUAGAUUAGCAUGAAAUGAUGUCGUGAGUGGCUCAUGAAUUAACUCAUGUUGGUAAGUUGAUGCAUAAUUAUAGUAUUCAAAUAUAUUACAUAUUUGUAAUAUUUUGCUAUGUGAUUCGGAAAAAGGGGAAUAAAUAGCAUAAUGAAAAUUCGGCCAUGGUGCUAGUUUAUGUUAAAGGAGUGUUUUAUGGCAUAUCUUAAGUAAUGGAAUGUUAUGAAUUUUGAGAUUAAUUUGCUAGUCAAAUAAAUGACAAAUGAAUUGAUUGCGUAUUCGUAAUUUUGACAUAUGCUUGGUAUAUGAAACGUAAUAAUAUAUGCUUGAACAAACUUUAAGUAUUCGAAUGACAUGGAUUUGAUGGUGAUAAGAUUCGAACAUUGAAUUCAUGAAGCACAAGUGAUGUAUUAUUGUUGUGUGAUAGCUUGGUUUGAGAAAUUGGUUAGGUAAAUGGUAAGUUAAAGCAUUUAUGGAUAUAGAAGAAAAUUUGGAGUGAAUAUGAAAUUUAGCUCAAUUAAAUGAUUUCAUCAAUUAAACAUUGUGUAUACCAGAAUGUGUUAGUGAAUUACAUAUUCAUAAAUUGACAUUCGAAGUUCAGUUAGUGAUAUAUGAAAAUAACAUGAAAAGAUUUAUGAUUGUGAUUAAUAUUGAUUCUAACUUAAAGUGGAUUCUUCAAUAUUGGAUUGAUUUAACGGAUAUAUUGAGCAUAUGAAUGGGUAUGUAUUGGGCCUCGUAAACCUUAAUUAGCGACUCAAAGAUAAUAAUUUGAAAGUUUUUAAUUUGAAUGAAAUUUUAUAACUCAGUUUAAUAUGUUUAUAAGUGUAUUUAUUCUAAUAAUGCCUCGUACCCUAUUCCAGCGUAGAAUACGAGUAAGGGGUGUUACAAUGUGACAUCACUAGAUUCGGCCCUAAUGUUUAGGCCGGGUUUGGGGUGUUACAAUUACUUUUGAAAGUAUUUCUAUGAAGCGUGUCUCGUAUUUUCGGUCAAGCUAAAUGGCAAAGCAAAGGCAACAUUGAGACAUGGAGCAUAGGAUGUCACAAUGACGUGACGACAUUCGAAACUAAAUCGAAGCAGGGCCGACGUCACGAUGAGGGGACCUACGAUGUCGUGACGAUGCAACGAGGCAGCCACGUCUCUUGACAACUUAAUGGAUUUUCCUUCUCCCAGUUGAACUUUGAUUUUCGGUUCUCUUUUCUCAAUUUAACUCUAACUAUUCUAGGGAUAUUUUUGUAAUACCCUAUAUGUAGCACCUUUAACCCGUAUCCAUUGUCAGAUUAGAGUUACGAAAUAUUACCGAGUAAAACAAAACAUUUAACUUCACAACAGAAACAAUUAUAUUAAUUAAAUGUAAUCAUGGUAAAAAUAUAAUUACGGGUCUUAACUCGAGUUUACAGGGCCUUAAAAACAGUUUUGGAACAUUCAGGGAUCAAUUCGAACAAAUCAGAAAAUUUAAAAAAACAGGAAAAUUUUGAAAACAGGAAUCACACUAUCGUAUGACAUAGUUCAGAUCUUGUGGACAUUCGAAGUCUAGACACACAGCUUAUCCCAAGCCGUGUGAGUAUUCGGAAUAAGGCUACACGGACAUGUCAUAUGUCGUGUGCCAAAUCAUGUGUACUGUAAUAACCAAUUUUACCCGAGCUUAUUAAAAUUAAAUUAAAAUAAUAUAAAAAUCAAAUAAUAAUAAAAUGUCCAAUAACAGUCCAAUAAAAUAAACCCAUAAACCGAAUACACCCCAGCCCAAUAACCAAUUACAGGCCCAAUUCAAACCUAAUACCCAAAUUGCAACCCACAAGCCCAAAAGCAAGAAAAAUAGAAAACCCUAGACAGUAGCAGCUUCCAGCGCCGUUCUCCCUAUGUAGCCUCCGCGCGUGCUACGCCACCACCACGCGCGUUCCUCACAUGUGAACUAGGCCUCCACUCCAGCUUGCACCUGUAACAGACGUAACAAACUAGUAGAGAAAGCAAAGGAAAAAUGACAGCAAGGAAAAGGCAACACAGCAAAUAGGAAAGCAGUAAAUAAAAAAUGUAAAAAAUAUAUUUCGAUUGAUUUUAUUUUUAUUUUUAUUUUUAAGGAUUUCGGUUAUAAAAAGGCCAUUUGAGCACUAUAAAUGUGGACGCAUACAGAGAUUGAAUACAAAAAACAAAAAAAAAAUUCAAAGAAAAAGGUAAAUAGAGUUUUGUAAGAAAAAAAUGACAUUCUGCAUUCAUGCAAACAUCAUUCAUACAUUUGAAUUAUACAAGUCAUGUUCCCCCAGAGAACAAACCGGUGAAACUAUAAAGCCUGAGCAGCAGUGGAAUAGGUUGAAAAUAGCAGAUCUUGUUUUUCUGUACUGGCAGCGAAGCAGAUCGAAGAUAACAAGUCUUAUCUCCCUGACUUGCAGCGGAGCAGACUGAAGAUAGCAGAUCUUGUCUUCCUGUACUGACAGUGAAGUAGAUCGAAGACACCAGUCUUAUCGCCUUGAUGUUGCAAUGGAACAGAUUAAAGCUAAAGAUAGCGAAUCUUGUGUCCCUGCCGUUGCAACGGAGUAGAUUAAAGCUGAGGGCAGCAAAUCUUAUCUCCUUAGCGUUAAGACUUGGAUUAGCUGAAGUGGAGCAGAUUAAAGCUGUAGGCAGCGAAUCCUAUCUAUUUGGCAUUACAGUGGAAUAGAUUGAAGCUACAACAGCGAAUCUUACUUCCCUGGUGGUGUAGUGGAACAAAUUGAAGCUACGAUGGCGAAUCUAGUUUCCCCGACACUGCAGUUAAAUAGAUUGAAGCCAUAACGGUGAAUUUUACUUCCCUGGCGGUGUAGUGGAACAUAUUAAAGCUACGACGCCAAAUCUUGUUUCCCCGACAUUGCAGUUAAAUAGAUUGAAGCUACAACAGCAAAUCUUACUUCCCUGGCGGUGCAGUGGAACAGAUUGAAGCUACAACGGCGAAUCUUGUUUCCCCGACAUUACAGUUAAACAGAUUGAAGAUGGCGAAUCUUAUCUCUCUAAGGUUACAGUGGAGCAGAUUAAAGCCAAUAAUCCUAUCUCUCUGAGGUUGCAGUAGAGCGGAUUGAAGUGAUGAUCUUAUCUCUCUGAAGUUACAGUAGAGCAGAUCGCAUCCAAUUUUAUCUCCCUAAAGUUGUAGUGGAGCAGACAGAAGAAACCAAUCCUAUCUCCCUGAAAUUGCAGGGGAGCGGAUUAAAACUACAGAUCUUAUCUCUCUGAAGUUGCAAUAGAGCAUAUCACAACAGACUUAUCUUUUUAAAGUUGCAGCAGGACAAGUUGAAGCUACAAGUCUUAUCUCCCUGAAGUUGCAAUGGAGCAGACUGAAGAUAGUAAAUUUUUUUCUUUUGAAAAGACUACAAGUUACAAAUUGCAUCUCCCUAAUGUUACAGUGGAGUAUAUUGAAGCACCAAUUCCUAUACUUCUAAAGAUGCAGUAUGAUGGAAUGAGGCUACUUGAAGAAGAAGAGCACCAAGGUCCAGCAUGACCAGGCAAAAUUGGUCAUUUUUAAAGUCUUUGCUUUGUUCCCGUUACACGACAACAAGCAAAGAAGGGCAGCUGUAAUAACCAAUUUUACCCGGGCUUAUUAAAAUUAAAUUAAAAUAAUAUAAAAAUCAAAUAAUAAUAAAAUGUCCAAUAACAGUCCACUAAAAUAAACCCAUAAACCGAAUACACCCUAGCCUAAUAACCAAUUACAGACCCAAUUCAAACCUAAUACCCAAAUUGCAACCCACAAGCCCAAAAGCAAGAAAAAUAGAAAACCCUAGACAGCAGUAGCUUCCAGCGCCGUUCUCCCCAUGUAGCCUCUGCGCGUGCUACGCCACCACCACGCGCGUUCCUCGCAUGCAAACCAGGCCUCCACUCUAGCUUGCACCUGCAACAGACGUAACAAACUAGCAGAGAAAGCAAAGGAAAAAUGACAGCAAGGAAAAGGCAACACAGCAAAUAGGAGAGCAGUAAAUGAAAAAUGUAAAAAAUAUAUUUCGAUUCAUUUUAUUUUUAUUUUUAAGGAUUUCAGUUAUAAAAAGGUCAUUUGAGCACUGUAAAUGUGGACGCAUAUAGAGAUUGAAUACAAAAAACAAAAAAAAAAUAUUCAAAGAAAAAGGUAAACAGAGUUUUGUAAGAUUUUUUUAAAUUUUUCUUCACUUUUCUUUGUUUUUUUUUACUGCUUUGUUCAUUAAUAAUAUGUGUAAGGCCCAAUUUUUGUCCGGCCUGUUACAGAAAUAAAAAACCAAACAAAACCAAAAUGUUUCAGUCCAAUUUUGCUAAGCCCAAUAACCCAAUAGCACAGCCCAAAUCAAUUUAUCCUAAAACUAACCCAGCUACAAUCACCGAAACCCUAAAAUCCCUUAGCCACCGCCUCCAGCAAGUGUCCAAUCAGCGCACGUUUCGGAACCAGCCCUCUUCUCCGCGUCGUGCUCUCCACGUCUACCUGCGAAAACGGACUAAAAGAGUCCCAAUAUUGUAAAAUAAAAAUACAAAGUAUUUUCUUAGGCUAUAAAAAGCCUAACUUGUACACUGAUAAAAAUAAAAGAAUAGAGAACAGAAUAAAUAUUUUUACAAAGGUGAUUUUUUUUUGUUUUAUUCCGCAGUGACCAUUUUUUAUUUACAUAUGUUUUAUUUUCUUUUAUUUUCAUUUAUUUCGUAUAAAAUAACAAAGAAAAAAGAAAAGGAAAACAUACCUUUUGUCGGACUUGCCGGAUUGUUGCCAUCUCCAGCGCUAGGAGUUAGGGCUGAAAACCCUAGCAGAGGGCAUUUAGUUUUUUUUUUCCUUUCAUUCUGCUGCAAAUGUUUUUUAGAGAAAAAAAUUGUUUUAAAUAACAGAGCAAAACGGCGCCGUUUUACCCAGGCAUGACCCGCGCGGUGACCCGACCCGGAGGGAGGAUUCGCGCGUUUUGGUCGAAGGGAAAAUUUGCGCAAUUGGUCCCUCCCUUUUGCAAUGCGCUUCAAUUAAACCUGUUUUGUUUUUUUUAAUUUGGCCGCAUAUUUUAUUUUUGUUUCAAUUUGGUCCCUUGCUGCGCAGCAUUUUGGAGGGUAGGAUUAAUUUCCCUUCUAGUCCCCCAUUGUUGUUCGCGCGUUCAAGUUGGUCCUUUUUUUAUUUAUUUUUGAAUCUACCCCAUCUUUUCGUUUUUAAGUUCAAUUUAGUCCAUUUUUUAGCUUUUUCUUUUUUAUGUUUGUCAUUGUACCAUUAUUAUUAUUAUUAUUAUAUUAUUUGCUAUCAUUAUUGUUAUUGUAUUUUCUAUACAUAUAAAUACGCAUAUUUUUUAUAUAUAAUAUAUAAGCAUAUUUUUAAUAUAUAUAUUUAUAAGUACGCAUCUAUUUUAUACAUACAUACUUUUUUUUUUAUUUCCUAACCUUUAUGUACACGUAUAUAUACUUCUAUAUUUUGGUUUCAAAAUUUUUUAUACAUAUGCAUGUUCGUUUUUUCUUAUAUAUAUUAUUUUUCAUUUUUUUUACAAAACGUAUAUAUAUGUGUAUACAUACACAUUUUAAAAUACACACAUGUUUCCCAUAUUUUACAAUUCAAAAUACACAUUUUUUAUAUUAUAUAUAUACAUUCUUUAUAUUUUUGAGUUAUUAUAGACAUUUUUAUUAUUCUAUAUAUACUCCGUUAUUUAUGUACAUAUCAUACAUAUAUAUAAAUUUUUUAAUAUAUGUAUACAUAUUUUCAUGUUUUACCAAUACAUAUAUACUUAUACAUUUUUUUUCUGUAAAUAUAUACACAUAUACAUACUUUUAUAGUUUUAUUUUAUUUUCACGGUUUUCAAAUGCACAUACGUGCAUUUUUUAUGAGUUUUUGAUUGAUAUAUUCCAUUCCAUUUUUUUAUAUGUAUCCUUGUAUAUGUGUGUAAAAUAUAUGCGUACACAUAUUUUCAAAUUUUCUUGUAUAUUGUACUUGUAUGUAUAUAUUUUGUAAAUACAUAUUCAUAUAUGUUUUAAAUUAACGUUUUGUUUCAUAUUGUACGUUAACUUUUAACAUACCUUUUGGGAAAUAUAUUUUGGUUUUGUCAGUAUAUCAAAAUCAUUUUCUCUUGAUUCAAAGUUUUUUUGAAUAAAAGCAAUAUUCAAGUUUGAGAUUUUUGAGGAAAAUUGAGCCCUAACGUAUUGGGUUCUGAUUUUCUUUGUUAAUCUUAAAUAACCGAGGAUAUUCUUUAUUCAAAAUGCAUGAGUAUAAAGAUCAUUUUUGGGAACUUAACUUGUUGUGUCCUAAUGUAUUGGGCGUGACAUAUUACUUUCUCAAAAUGAAGAUUUUCACAUAAAAUAAAAGUGAUAUUCAAAGUUCGGGGAUUUUGAGAAAUUGUACCCUAACGUAUUGGGACUCGAUUUCUUUACAUGACUUGAACAAUUGAUUAUCCUUUUCAAAUUUCAUCAUUUAAGUUGUUUUAAAAAAAAUUAGCCCUCGACAUUAAGACAUUAAAUAAUUAAUUUGGUACAGAUUUUGGGUGUCACGAGGGUGCUAACCCUUCCUCGUGCGUAACUGACUCCCGAACCCAUUUUCUCAAAUUUCGUAGACCAAAAUACGUUUUAAGGUGAACUGAUCACACCUCAAUAAAAGAUCGGUGGUGACUCCAAUUUUGUUUUUUUAAAAAGUCGACAACUACAUUUUUGAUUUAGAAAUGGUUUCGACAGCUUGGCGACUCCACUGGGGACACUAGAGAGUCGAGCCAUAAAUUGAUUAUUUUUGUCUUGUGAUUGAAAAAUCAAAUUUGUUUUAAAAUCAUGAUUUCCCUUUACAUUCAUUGAUUUUCAUCAUGAUAUAUUUGCAUGAUGGGUCCGAGUCGAUUAAUUUGUAUUUGCAUUAUGCAUUGCAUUGGUUGGUCAGUGUUACCUCUUUAAGUGGGAGCGAGAAACUAGUCCUUCGUGAGGUUUUGACCUCCGUGCAGGGUAGUAGACCGCUUUCGGGAUACAUCCGUACCUAUGUCUUCGUGAGAUUUUCAUCUCCGUGCAGCCAUAGGGAAAUGUAUUCCCUUGAACUGAACUCAGUCCAUAUGAGCCUAUAAUGGGUGAGGAUCGAGGAAUCUGCUGGUUCGGGUACCUUUGCUCUAGAAACUAAACCUCAUAUACUGAGAUUUAGGGACUUGCCCUAGGUAGAGCUAUACCAAACCCUAGAGGAGUCCUGAAUAGGUUUUAUUAUUUCCUAUGUACGUUGAAUUAUGAUUUUAUGCAUGAUACUAACUUGUGUGUUUUGUUUUGGCGGUAUGGCAUUUUGACUGCAUGGCAUUUCAUUAUAGAAAAAAAAUGUUGAUUCAUGUUUGGUUGUUAAAUAGAGAGCUUGCUACGGAAAAUAGAUUUCUUGAUAAGGUGAAAGAUAAUACGGUUGUCUGAGUAUAGUCUAAGAAAACGUGACGCGAAAGGUAAUAGCGUAACAAGAGGAGUAUACGACUUUGCUGCGUUGCCCAAGGAUUCAAAUUGUCAAAGAUUAUUCAAGAGUCAUCAAACGUCCUAACCUCUUAAAGAAGCUCAUGGGCAUGAGUGAGCAAAGAGAUACGACCUAGAUCAAACAAAAUGGAGCUAAGAUUCGCAAAAUGCAUCUUAAUGUUCGAAUGGUCGAUGCCUUCACUUGGAGUACGAGCACAAAGCCGUAUAUAUAUAUCCGCUUUGUGUAAAGAGAUUUGUUUUCUAGUGAAGUUUUUCUAAUAAAGAAUUGAACUAGAAUCAACGUCUCUUUUUGCAUUUAUUUCAUGCAUUUGCAUUACAUUACAUCACAUGCAUUAAACACCGUAAAAGGAUCCUAAUUAACUAAAUCAUUGCUCAGUUAACCUGGAAACCAACCAACCAACCAAACACCAUUAUGACACUUGAGCAAAGAUUAAAGAUAUGGAUCAGAGAUUGGAAAAGCUCGAAUAGUACCAGAAGAAGAUGCAAGACCGACUUCAGCUGCAAGUGCAAGAACGGUUGGACAAGAUGCAAUAGGAUAUGUCAGAGAAGAUACAGGAAUCCCAAAAGGAUAUGAUGGCGAAGCUGACCCAACUAUUGACUGGAGGAAGUGAUAAGGGAAAAGGGACCUGUAGCUAAUGUCGAAGAAGGCAACGAGGAUGAACCUCUCUAUCCUCCAGGCUUUACUCCUCCACAUGUACGAACUCAAGCUGAGGUAUACCCGCACAAAUCUAUUGUCACAAUCAGGCCUCAGCAGUUCCAGGCCGGUACUUCAAAUUUCCAAGCUGGAUCGGGCUCUAACCCCGGGAACUACCCUAUUAACUCUGCCAUUCCUGACUUCGAUGAAAUGGCUGAAAAGGAAAAAAUAAAUGAAGAGUUACCAAGGCAGUUAGAAGAGAGGUGUAAAUGGCUCGAAGAGAAGUUCAAGGCGAUGGAGAUCACUGAAAACUAUCGUGGGAUCAACGCUAAAGAACUGAGUCUAGUCCUAAAUUUGGUACUCCCUCAUAAGUUUAAGAUGCCGAAAUUUGAAAAAUAUAAUGGGACAAGUUGCCCAGAAGCACAUAUCACCAUGUUCUGCAGGAGAAUGGCUGGAUAUGUUAACAAUGACCAGCUACUGAUUCAUUGUUUCCAGGAUAGCCUUACAGGGGCAGCAUCUAAAUAGUACAAUCAACUGAGCCAUACCAUGAUAGGUUCAUGGAGGGACUUAGCACAAGCGUUCAUGAAACAGUACAGUCAUGUAACAGACAUGGUUCCUGACAGAAUCACCCUUCAGAAUAUGAAAAAGAAGCCAAACGAGAGCUUUAGGUAAUAUGCACAAAGGUGGAGGGAGGUGGCUGUUCAAGUUCAGCCACUGCUCUUGGAAAGAGAAAUGUCAAUGCUCUUUAGAAAUAUAUUGAAAGCCCCGUUCAUUACGCAUAUGUUAGGAAGUGCUACAAAAAGCAUUUCUGACAUAGUUAUGAAUGGUGAAAUGAUCGAAAAUGCUAUAAGGAGUGGGAAAAUCAAUGCAGAGGAGAGUAACAAGAGGCCAGUCUCAAGAAGAAGAGAAAAUGAGGUGAACAACACGGGUUACUCUAAAUCAGUUACUAUGAGUCAGCCAAGAAAGUUGGUUGCUAACCAACAAGGUUCAUCAAGACAAGAAGAUGGUACAAGACAAAACACUAAGAGGCCCCAAUUCACGCCAAUUCCGGUGUCGUAUAGGGAGUUAUAUCAAAGAUUUUUUGAUGCACAUGUUGUUUCCCCUUUUCAUGUAAAGCCUCUACAACCUCCGUACCCCGAAUGGUAUGAUGUGAACGCACAAUGUGAAUACCAUGCGGGAAUUACGGGACACUCAAUAGAGAAUUACACUGCCUUCAAGAAGCAAGUUGAAAGACUCAUCAACACGGGUAUUGUCAAGUUUGGUGACUCAUCUAGUGCAGAAAAUCCGCUACCCAAUCAUAUUGAUAAUAGAGGUGAGAUUUUCACAUCGACGCCGUAUGUGCAGACACAACCAAAAGGGUUAUUGUUAGAUAUUCACCUGGAAGGUGCUAUAAAUAAUGGGACUGCAGAGGAAACCCCUAUAGUAUUUAGAGUCUGUUAGGGUAAUGUUCAGAACACACUUGUUGCUUUUAGCCUAGAAGCAAUAAGAACUUCUUUGUGAAAUAGGCUCAUGUCUGAACAUUGUUAUUUUAAUGAAAUACAUUAUUGCAAUCAUCUUUGAGCAAAUGUUCUUUCAUUCUUUACGAUUCUUUCAUUCUUUUGGAUUUUUUUUGCCAAACCAUUUUUUUCAUUCAUUCAUAUUAUUUAUAAAUUCAUACAUUAUUUUGUAUAUUCUUUGGUACCUACUAGGGGUCCCCAGAUAUCAAUGACAUGAGUGACGCUGCUAUAGACUCAGAACUUCCUUUUGAGUGAGACAUGUGUUUAGAGGGAUCUCAUGACUUUGAUGAUGACAUAGAUUGCAGCUUAUCUCCAGAUUUGACGAAGGUGAUAGAAUAAGAGGAUAAGAUAGAUCAUACCUCAUAAGAAAUUAUUAGAAAUUGUAAGCUUGGUGAAGAUUAAAAUUGACAUGACCACAAAGACGAAGUGGGACCUUAUGAAUUACCCUAAGAAUUCAAUGAUGUCUUCACAUGGUCAUACCCAGAUAUGCUCGGGUUAAGCACUGACUUUAUAAUCUGAAUAACAACAUGAUGUCAGAAAUUUGCAGUAGGUUCAGCAUUAAUGUUAUGAACGAUGCAGUGAAAUUUCUUUAUUGGGGAAAUGUCCUUCUCUUUGGCUUAUCAUAGCUUUGCUCAUUGAAGUUGAAUUGCCAUUUCUCUGUAUUUUUAUCCUAAGAGGAAGAUCUGAAGGUUCGUCCUAGAGAAUUUCACAAGGGGGAGCUAGUGUUGAAAAUGAUCAUUCCUAUACAAAAGGGAUUUUAGAGGAAGAUAGAUGCCAAAUUAGGAGGGUCCAUAUGUUGUAAAGAAAGUCUUUUCUAGGAAAACUUUGAUCCUGAGUGAGAUGGAUGGUAAAGAUUGUCCAAGCCCUGUAAACUCAGAUUCAGUUAAGAAGUACUUUUCCUAAAAAAGGGGACCAAGGUGAAAGCCUACAAAGGGCGCCUUGAGUAAAAAAAAAUAGAGAGGCCAAGGUGAAAACCCGCGAAGGGAGGCUUGAGACCAAAAGGAUUUUAGUUGAAAACCCAAAAAGGGCGGCUCAAAUGUUGAUCAAAAUGGCAUUUGAAAUUAUCAGAGCAGCUCAAAUACUGAUCAGAAUGGGGCAUGCAGUGGUCUUGCUAUACCUGAAUCAACAGGAAAGGGGUAGGCAACAUCUUGGGGCAUCGACAAAGCACUGUUGAUUUCCUAAACACAUGUUAAAAUCAGAAUGGUCUUCAGAAAGUUUGCACAGAGAAGUUCAGGCUGCGAUACCUGGGGCACCGAAUCCUUAUACUAUUUUUGUUAUACUUGGAACACUUCAUUCAUUUCCAAGACACGCAUUCUUAAAUUAAUUUCUUUAUUAUCUUUGACAAUUUAUUCAUUUCGAGCUAUGUUCAGAACCAACUCUAUUCUUAUCCAUGAUCUUUUUGCAAGCAUGUUGCAUUAGAAUAAUGAUUAAUGGACUAAUAAAACUUUCACAAAGGAAGUUUUGCAUAUUACUCUAGAAAUUUCUAAAUAAUAUAGGAACCUGAAACAGGACUAUUGUUUAGAACACACCAAGUUUAAAGGUUGGAAAUCUGAUAAGGAGGAGUCUAAAUUAAGACUAUCCUUUUAAAUUUUGUUGUCUAAAACAUUGUUUGAACAAAAUGAUAAGAUGUCAUAUUGGUGACAAAGCUUAGAUGAAAGAAAGUAAUGAUCACCGAAUAAUAAGAAGAAGUUGUUCUUGGAGAAUAAAAUUUUUCAUUUGUGCAUUGGCAUUUGGUAUGACACCCAUAGAAUGGUAAAAGACCAAAGAGCUUCACAUUCUACAUCCUUGAAUUGUGAUAGGAGAGGAUUGAGAAAAUGCCAGAUUUUUCUUGGGUUACAGCGGGAGAAAGAUGGUACAAAUGUUACAUCCUAGUGGAUUGAGCUUUGAAGUUCACAGUGGGGGCAAUCUGGUCAAGUGUUUCUUUGGAGACGUUAGCCAAGCAAAAGGUGCUAUAGCACAUUAGCGAUAAAAUUUUAAUAAACUUUGAGUAAUGAUAACCUAAGUGAUAAGGAGGAAUCAUUCUCGAAAAAUGACAUUCUGUAUUCAUUCAAAUGUCAUUCAUACAUGCCUAGUUAGGAGCAUUUGAUUCAUUCUGUUCAUGACAUCCUAAUCAUUAGGUAUAAUUAGGUUCAUAAAGUGAAUUAUACAGGUCAUGCUCCCUAGAGGACAGAUCAGAGAAAUCAUAAAGCCUUAUCUCCCUGAGCAACGGUGGAGCAGGUUGAAAAGCAGCAGAUCUUGUCUUCCCGUACUGGUGACGAAGUAGAUCGAAGAAAGCAGAUCUUGUCUUCAUGUAUUGGCGUGAAGUAGAUCGAAGAAAGAAGAUCUUGUCUUCCCAUACUGGUGGUGAAGUAGAUCGAAGAAAGCAGAUCUUGUCUUCAUGUAUUAGCGUGAAGCAGAUCGAAGAAAGCAGAUCCUGUCUUCCUAUAUUGGUAGCGAAGUGGAUCGAAGAUAGCAGAUCUUGUCUUCAUGUAUUGACGUGAAAUAGAUCAAAGAAAACAGAUCUUGUCUUCAUGUAUUGGCGUGAAAUAGAUCGAAGAAAGCAGAUCAUGUAUUGGCGUGAAAUAGAUCGAAGAAAGCAGAUCUUGUCUUCAUGUAUUGGCAUGAAGUAGAUCAAAGAUAGCAGAUCUUGUCUUUCCAUACUGGUGGCGAAGUAGAUCGAGGAAAGCAGAUCUUGUCUUCAUGUAUUGGCAUGAAGUAGAUCAAAGAGAGCAGAUCUUGUCUUCCCAUACUGGUGGCGAAGUAGAUCGAAGAUGACAGAUCUUGUCUUCAUGUAUUGGCAUGAAGUAGAUCAAAGGAUAGCAGAUCUUGUCUUCAUGUAUCAGCAGUGAAGUAGAUCGAAAAUACAAGUCUUAUCUCCCUGAAGUAGCAGUGGAGCUGACAGAAGUAACCAAUCCUAUCUCCUUGAAGUUGCAAUGGAGUGGAUUAAACCUGCAGAUCUCAUCUCUCUGAAGUUGCAGUAGAGCAGAUCGCAUCAGAUUUAUUUUUAAGUUGUAGCAGAACAAGUUGAAGCUAUAAGUCUUAUCUCCCUGAAGUUGUAGUGGAGCAGAUUAAAGAUAGCAAUUUUUGUUCUUUUAAAAAGCUACAGUGUACGAACCCUAUCUCCUUGACAUUGCAGUGGGGUAGAUUGAAACACUAGUUCCUAUACUUCAGAAGAUGUAGUAGGAAAGAAUGAGGUUACUUGAAGGAAAAAGAACUGAAUAAGUCGAGGCUCAGUAAGACCGGGCACAAUUGGGCUUUUAGUAUUUGCUCUGUUCCCGUUACAUGACAACGAGCAAAGAGGGGCAGCUAUAGGGCCCAAUUUUUUCCUGGCCCGUUACAGAAAUAAAAAACCAAACAAAAACCAAAAUGUUUCAGUCCAAUUUUGCUAAGCCCAAUAACCCAAUAGCACAACCCAAAUCAAUUUAUUUUAAAACUAACCUAGCUACAAUCACCGAAACCCUAAAAUCCCUUAGCUACUGCCUCCGGCAAGUGUCCAAUCGGCACACGUUUCGAAACCAGCCCUAUUCUCCGCGUCAUGCUCUCCACAACUACCUGCGAAAACGGACUAAAAGAGUCCCAAUAUUGUAAAAUAAAAAUACAAAGUAUUUUCUUAGGCUAUAAAAAGCCUAAGUUGUACACUGAUAAAAAAAAAGAACAGAGAACAAAAUAAAUAUUUUUACAAAAGUGAUUUUUUUUUGUUUUAUUUCGCAGUGACCAUUUUUUAUAUACAUACGUUUUAUUUUCUUUUAUUUUCAUUUAUUUCGUAUAAAAUAACAAAGAAAAAAGAAAAGGAAAACAUACCUUUUGUCGGAGUCGCCGGAUUGUUGCCAUCUCCAUCGCGGUCGGAGCGUCGGCAUGGGCGAACGGCGGCGCUAGGAGCUAGGGCUGAAAACCCUAGCAGAGGGCAUUUGGUUUUUUUUUCCUUUCAUUCUGUUGCAAAUUUUUUUUAGAGAAAAAAAAACUGUUUUAAAUAACAGAGCAAAACGACGCCGUUUUACCCAAGCAUGACCCGCGCGGUGACCCGACCCGGAGGGGAGGAUCCGCGCGUUCUGGCCGAAGGGAAAAUUUGCGCAAUUGGUCCCUCCCUUUUGCAAUGCGCUUCAAUUAAACCUGUUUUGUUUUUUUUAAUUUGGCCGCAUAUUUUAUUUUUGUUUCAAUUUGGUCCCUUAUUGCGCAGCGUUUUGGAGGGUGGGAUUAAUUUCCCUUCUAGUCCCCCAUUGUUGUUCGCGCGUUCAAGUUGGUCCUUUUUUAUUUAUUUUCGAAUCUACCCCAUCUUUUCAUUUUUAAGUUCAAUUUAGCCCAUUUUUUAGCUUUUUUUUUAAAUUCUUUUUUAUGUUUGUCAUUAUACCAUUAUUAUUAUUAUAUUAUUUGCUAUCAUUAUUGUUAUUGUAUUUUCUAUACAUAUAAAUACGCAUAUUUUUUAUAUUUAAUAUAUAAGCAUAUUUUUAAUAUAUAUAUUUAUAAGUACGCAUCUAUUUUAUACAUACAUACAUACUUUUUUUUAUUUUAUUUCCUAACCUUUAUGUACACGUAUAUAUACUUCUAUAUUUUUGUUUCAAAAUUUUUUAUACAUAUGCAUGUUCGUUUUUUUUAUAUAUAUUAUUUUUCAUAUUUUUUUACAAAACGUAUAUAUAUGUGUAUACAUACACAUUUUAAAAUACACACAUGUUUCCCAUAUUUUACAAUUCAAAAUACACAUUUUUUUUAUAUUAUAUAUAUACAUUCUUUAUAUUUUUGAGUUAUUAUAGACAUUUUUAUUAUUCUAUAUAUACUCCGUUAUUUAUGUACAUAUCAUACAUAUAUAUAAAUUUUUUAAUAUAUGUAUACAUAUUUUCAUGUUUUACCAAUACAUAUAUACUUAUACAUUUUUUAUUUCUGUAAAUAUAUACACAUAUACAUACUUUUAUAGUUUUAUUUUAUUUUCACGGUUUUCAAAUACACAUACGUGCAUUUUUUAUUAGUUUUUGAUUGAUAUAUUCCAUUCCAUUUUUUAUAUGUAUCCUUGUAUAUGUGUGUAAAAUAUAUGCGUGCACAUAUUUUCAAAUUUACUUGUAUAUUGUACUUGUAUGUAUAUAUUUUGUAAAUACAUAUUCAUAUAUGUUUUAAAUUAAUGUUUUGUUUCAUAUUGUACGUUAACUUUUAACAUACCUUUUGGGAAAUAUAUUUUGGUUUUGUCAGUAUAUCAAAAUCAUUUUCUCUUGAUUCAAAGUUUUUUGAAUAAAAGCAAUAUUCAAAGUUUGGAAUUUUUGAGGAAAAUUGAGCCCUAACGUAUUGGGUUCUGAUUUUCUUUGUUAAUCUUAAAUAACCAAGGAUAUUCUUUAUUCAAAAUGCAUGAGUAUAAAGAUCAUUUUCGGGAACUUAACUUGUUGUGUCCUAAUGUAUUGGGCGUGACAUAUUAUUUUCUCAAAAUGAAGAUUUUCGCAUAAAAUAAAAGUAAUAUUUAAAGUUCGGGGAUUUUGAGAAAUUGUACCCUAAUGUAUUGGGACUCGAUUUCUUUACAUGACUUGAACAAUUGAUUAUCCUUUUCAGAUUUCAUCAUUUGAGUUGUUUUAAAAAAAAUUUUUUAGCCCUCGACAUUAAGACAUUAAAUAAUCAAUUUUGUACCGAUUUUGGACGUCACAAGGGUGCUACCCUUCCUCGUGCGUAAUUGACUCCCGAACUCGUUUUCUCAAAUUUCGUAAACCAAAAUACGUUUUAAGGUGAACUGAUCACACCUCAAUAAAGGAUCGGUGGCGACUCCAAUUUUGUUUUUUUAAAAAGUCGACAACUAUAUUUUUUAUUUAAAAAUGGUUUCGACAAUAUGAAAUAAAAGAAAAAUAGAGAGUAGGGAGAGAAAUUUACCUAAAAGCUGAGACGUCGUUCGUCUGUCGUAAUCGAAGUCGGACGAGGAAUCGGGGCCUCCAAACGCUGGUUUGUUGAGCGGCGCACGGAGGAAAAGUUGCUUAGGGUUUGUAGAUCUAUUAAAAUGGCUUAAUGCCUUGGUUUUUUUAGGUUUCAUGCGUGCAACGAAAUGGCACCGUUUGAACCCCGUUCUAAUGGCUCCAAAGCGAUGUCGUAUUGAGGCUCGACCCGAUUCGAACUAGGUUCCAGAUCUGCGUGUUUUACCUCAUAGGGGAGAAUUUCGCGAAUAGUCCUCCGCUUUUAUAGAACCUUCAAAUUGAUCCUUUUAUUUCUUUUAAAUUUGGCUGCUCAUUUUGUGCUUCAUUUCAAUUAGGUCCGUGCAAGGAUGCUGCGUUUUGAGGGAAGGGAUAUUUUCCCAUUCAGUCCCCAAGUUAUUCGCGCGUUCCUUUGUGGCCCUUAAUGUUAUUUUAUUUUUAUUUUCUCUUUUAAUUUUGAAUUAAAUGCAGUUUAGCUUGUUUUUGUUUAAUUUAAUGUAUUCAAUUUUUAUUUUAUUUUUAAUAUUCAUCAUUCUUUUUUAAAAAAUAUUUAAUUUUACAUCUAGAUUAUUUUAUGUUUAAAUUUAGUAUAUUUUAAAUUUAUUAACAAUAUUAUUUUAAUAUUAUAACAUAUUAUUAUUCUAAAUGUAACAUUAACAUUAUUUUAAAUUUAUCAUGUACAAUCUUAUGCAUUCUUGUUGUAGUUUCAAUAUAAUUUAUAGAUUUUUUUACAUUUUUAUUUUAUAAUACAUUUUUUAACUUCACUUAUAUAGUUCUUUGCUUUAAGAUUUGUACAUUAAUAUUCUUACAUAAUAUUUUUCUAUACAUAUAUAUAAUUUGUGUUAAAUUAUUUUUUAUUAUAUAUAUAAUAUAUUACCGAUUUCAUAUUAUUACAUAUCUUUUUACAUAUUUUUAUAUAUACAUAAUUUAUUUCUUUUAAAACCCUACUUUAUUAUGUACUUUGUUUAUUUCAACUUUUUAUAAUAUUAUAUAUAUUAUUAUUAAACUUUUCAUUUCAUAUAUAUAUUACUUAUUUAGAUUAAUGUAUGUAUAUUAUUUGGUAUAUUACAUAUAUAUAUAUUGUAGCAACGUAAAAAUUUUAGCUUAGCUUGGUCGCUAAUUGUGGCGAUUUAUUGAAAUUUUUUUUGAAAUUUGACGUUUGAUUUUUGAAAUAAAUAGGGAGUUGCCACCGAUCCUUUUUCCUAGGUGUGAUCGGACACCUAUUAGAUCUUUUAUUAAAACAAAUAAAAGGCUAAGUUUAGGUCUACGUUAAAAUCCAGAAAAAAUUUAGGGUUCGGGAGUCGGUUAUGCACGAGGAAGGUAUUGGCACCCUCGCGACGCCCAAAAUUGGUAUCUUAUUAAACACAUGUUGUCUUGAUUUUCAAAAAUACGAAUUCAAUUUGACAUUUAAGUGUGAUCCGAUUGAAGGAAAUGAGAAGUUGCAAGUUUUUUUGUUUUUUAGAAGGACGUCCCGUUUUUAACACGAGCCGAUUAAUUUCACCCAACAUAGGAUGAAAUCAAUGACUUAAUGUUAAAAUCGGUACAUUGCCUUAUUCUUAAAAUUAAAAUGUAAAAAGUUUUUAAAAUGAUAGUAAAAAAAAAUCCAAGAAUAUUAUUGUCAAAAAAAUGCGAAUAAUGAUGUGAAUAAUAAAAUAUAUAAAAUAUAAAAUAUCAAAAUAUCAAAAUAUUAGAAUAAUAAUAAUUAAUAUUGAAAAAUAAAAAAUAAAAUAGAAAUAAAAAAAAUGUACAUAAUAUAUAUUAGAAAUAAUAAUGAUGUUUAAAAAUCAAUACUAUUAAUAAUACUACAUUAAUAUGUACAUAUAUAAAAAAAAUACGUGAUAAUAUUAAAAAUAUGUACAUAAUAUAGUGUUAAAAAUACAUACAUAAUAUAGUUAAGAUAUAUACAUAAGAUAACAUGUAAAAAAAAUAUAUAAAUAAUAUAAUAUUAAAGAUAUAUACAUAAAAUAGUAUAAAAUAUAUAUACGUAAUAUAGAAUUUAAAAUAUACCUAAUAUAUUAAAAGAAUAUAUAUAAUAUAAUAUUAAGAAAUAUAAUAAUAACAAAAAAGGAGAGAGAGGGAGAGGGUGGAUGAUUUUCGGCCACAAGGUCGGCCAUCGUCCGGUCACUGGACCGCCGCCGGCGCCACCGUACACGGCAGCCGGACCUCAAAAAAAACUUUUUCGGUAAAAAUGGGUAAGCUUCCUCCUUUUAUUUUUUUUCACUUUCGUAUAAAAGAAACAAAAUAAGAUUGAAAGGAAAACAAUAAGUAAACAAAGAACUUAAAAUGAGAAUAGACAAAGAAACCUCUUUUGCUUUGAUCUUUAAUUAAUCUUCAAAAAAACUAGCUUCUCCAAAAACUAGCCUUCACAAUAACUCUUCUCCUUAAUUACUUUAAAAAGAAACCUCUCCAAAAAUCCUUUACAAUAACUUUCUCUCCCAAAAACUUUCCAAAAAAAAAUCCCCCCCCUUUUACAAAAUAUGAUAAGGCUUAUAUAGCUAUUUACAAAAUAUUUUUUUAUUGUUUAUGUCUUCAUUUGUAGGUACAAGUGGUGGUGGAGCAAGUGUGGUUAGUGGAGUAGGUAAUGGAGCAAGUGUGGCUAGUGGAUUUGGUGGUGGAGAAGGUGUGGCUAGUGGAGUUGGUGGUGGAAAAGGAGUGGCUAGUGGAGUUGGUGGUGGAAAAGGUGUGGCUAGUGGAGUUGGUGGUGGAAAAGGUGUGGCUAGUUGAGAAAAGUUUAAGUUGUGGGCUAGGUUUUUUUAUUUUGAUUUGGGCUUAGGGUUUGGGCCAUUGGGGUUUUGAUGUAAAUUGGGCUUUGGGUAGUUAAGAUUUUGGGUUUUGGGUUUAAUUUUGGUGGGUUAGGUAAGGCUAAAUUGGGUUUUGAUGUAAAUGGGCUAAAAUUGGCCUACAACAGCUGCCCCUCUUUGCUUAUUAUCGUGUAACGAGAAUAGAGCAAAGAUAUAAAGAAAGGCCAAUUUUGCCCGGUCUUGCUAAGUAUGGACUUCUUUGGUGCUCUUCUCAUCCAGGUAGUCUCUUUCCAGUCCAUCGCAUCUUGUAGCUUUGGUUCAAUCCACUGCAAAUUCGGAGAUAUGCCUUAUAGCUUCAAUCUGUUCCAAUGUAAUUCAAUAUGCUCUUCUAUCGCUUCAGUGAGAUAAGGUUUUGGGUCUUCUCUUCUGCCACUUUAGAAAGGCAAGAUCUGAUAUCCUCGAUCAACUCCACUGCAACUUCAGGGAGACAAAAUCUGGUGUCUUCAAUCAGGUCUAAUAUUGAUUCUUUACUCGGCAUGUGAUCCUGAGCUCAACUCAUUUCUCGCAAUAUGAAUUGACUCUGUAAAACUAGACAUUAAAAACAGAAAUUGAAAAUAGCUCAGCACGUGAGCCAAGGCUCAACUCACCUCUCGCAAAAGUAGAUUUUGAAAAUACCUCGACAUGUAAACCCAAGGCUCAACUCACAUCUCGCAAUAUGAGUUGAUUUUUGAAAAGCAGAAAUUGAAAACGCCUCAGCGUGUGACCCGAGGCUCAACUCACCUAUCGCAAUAUGAGUUGAUUUUUUUGAAAAGCAGAAAUUGAAAAUAGCUCAGCACGUGAGCAAAGGCUCAACUCACCUCUCACAAUAUGAGUUGAUUCUUUUGAAAAGCAGAAAUUGAAAAUAGCUCAGCACGUGAGCAAAGGCUCAACUCACUUCUCGCAAAAGUAGAUUUUGAAAAUACCUCGACAUGUGAACCCAAGGCUCAACUCACAUCUCGCAAUAUGAGUUGAUUUUUGAAAAAUAUAAAUUGAAAAAAAUAGAAAUUGAAAAGCAGAAAUUAAAAAGACCUCAGCAUGUGAGCCGAGACUCAACUCACCUCUCGCAAUAUGAGUUAAUUUUUGACAAACAGAAAUUGAAAUUACCUCAGCGUGUCCUGAGGCUCAACUCACCUCUAGCAAUAUGAGUUGAUUUUGAAAAACAAAAAUUAAAAGUACCUCAACGUGUCUUGAGGCUCAACUCAUCUCUCGCAAUAUGAGUUGACUUUCCUUGAAAAGCAUGAAUUAAAAACAUCAAAAUACCCAAAACCUAUCCUUUGGUAGAACUCGGGUGUCUUUUCCUUUGAUUCAGUGCGACUCUCAUUCAAGAUUUCUUGCUCUACUGGAGUACCUGUAUAUGCUAUGUAUGAUGUUAUCAUGAUAUGCACAUGUUUGUCUUAAAUGCUUUUAUGCCUACAUGAUUAUGCAGUGCUCCUUAAGCAUGUUUGUCGUAUGUCCAUUUAGCCACGAUUGUUGAGGGUCUGUGUUCAUUGCUUUGAUUCUCGACUUUCUCCUCAGGCCUUAUACCUACCUUCAAGCUUCACGAGUAAUCGACGUUCCUCAGAUAUCACUCUUCUGCCCCCGAUUGAACUUUGUUCUUACUUUGAGACUCUUGUGCUUAUCAAAUUUUCAUCCAGGUAAUGCUUAACAUUUCUCUUGUUUAGAGUAUGUCAUUUCUCCAUUUAUCAUGUAAAUAAACACAUAAUGAGAUGCAUGAAAAAGGUCAGGUAGGGAAAAAUGAUAUUUCAUAUUCAUCUAUUUCAAAUGUGGCAAACAAAGCAAGUUAACCAAUUAGAGUAAAAAAUGUCAAAAAGAAAGAAAGGAUCGUAUUCAACGGAUGCAAAUACUUUAGAUAUUCGACACAUGAACUCUUCCACGUUCCUCAAUCAAGAAUCUUUUCGAGUCUGGCUCUUUGCGUAGAAGAUUUCGAGCUUUCAGAAAUGCUUCAAAUACUGUAGUCUCACUGUUUGACCCGCUGUUAAAACGCCACGCUCUUUAAGCCAGGUUUACCUCAUUAGGACGCCCUCUCGGGUUUUCAUCCUAAUCUUUUGUGCUAAUCAAGACGCCCUUUGCGGGUUUUCGCCUUGAUCCCUCUUUUUUUUUGGAUGCCCUUUUCAGGUUUUCAUCUCAAGCAUAAUAUUUCUUCACAGCAUCUGAGUUCACUGGAUUCGGUAACUUCUUUCCAUCCAUCUUGGUAAGGAUCAAAGCUCCUCCUGAAAAUGCCUUCUUUACGACGUAUGGUCCUUCCCAAUUUGGUGCCCAUUUUCCUCGCAGGUCCUUUUGUAUUGGGAGAAUCUUCCUCAGUACGAGUUCUCCUUCGUGGAAUUCUCUUGGCCAUACUUUCUUGUCAUGGGCCGCGAUCAUUCUCUUCUGGUACAUCUGCCCGUGACAAAUUGCUCUUAGACGUUUUUCUUCGAUGAGGUUCAACUGAUCAUAUCGAUCUCAAACCCAUUCUGCUUCUUCUAACUUUAAUUCCAUUAAGACUCGCAGGGAGGGGAUCUCAACCUCAAUAGGUAGCACAGCUUCCAUUCCGUAAGCCAGAGAGAAAGGAGUUGCUCCCGUAGAUGUUCGCACAGAUGUGCGAUAUGCAAACAAAGCAACUGGAAGCUUCUCGUGCCAAUCUUUAUAUGUUUCAGUCAUUUUCCCAAUGAUCUUCUUAAUAUUUUUAUUGGCUGCUUCAACAGCCCCGUUCAUCUUUGGGCGAUAGGGCGAGGAGUUAUGAUGCUUUAUUUGGAACUGCUCGCACACUUCUUUCAUCAUCUUAUUGUUCAGAUUCGUGGCAUUAUCUGAAAUGAUUCUUUCAGGCAAACCAUACCGGCAAAUGAUUUCCUUUUUCAAAAACCUGCAAACUGCAGUCCUCGUCACAUUGGCAAACGAAGCGGCUUCUAUCCAUUUUGUGAAGUAAUCGAUGACCACAAAAACGAAUCGAUGUCCAUUUGAUGCUUUUGGAGAAAUUGGCCCUAUGACAUCCAUGCCCCACAUAGAAAAAGGCCACGGAGAAGUCAUGACAUGAAGGGGUGAAGGGGCUACAUGAAUUUUAUCGCUGUAGAUUUGACAUUUGUGGCAUUUUCUGGCAAAAUUGAUGCAGUCAUUUUCCAUUGUCAGCCAAUAAUAACCGAGUCUCAUGAUCUUUCUGGCCAUAUUGAAACCAUUGGCAUGCAUUCCGUAAAUUCCCUCAUAGACCUCUUCAAGUAUUUUUCUGGCUUCAACAUCAUCCACACAUCUCAAAAGCAUCUGAUCCUUUCCUCUUUUAUAUAGGAUAUCCCCAUCAAUAACAAAUCCCGCUGCCAUUCUUCUAAUUGUUCUUUUAUCGUUCUCAUUCGCUUGUUCGGGAUACCUUUGAUUCUUGAUAUAUUCUAAGAUAUCAUGGAACCAAGGUCGUCCGUCUACUUCUUUCUCAAUGCUACAACUGUGUGCAGGGACCUCGUAUAUGCUCAUUUUGAGGGGCAUUAUUUCUACUUCUCUACUUGCUUUGAACAAUGAAGCCAAAGUGGCCAGGGUAUCAACCAGUUGGUUCUCUUCUCGUGGGAAGUAAUGAAAAGUUAUUUCUUUGAAUUCCUUGAUCAAUCCAGCUACUAAAUCGCUGUACUUAAUCAAUUUUGAGUCCCUCACUUCCCACUCUCCACGGAUUUGGUAAAUCACUAGGGCUGAGUCCCUGUACACCUCUAAGAUCUUGAUGUUUCGUUCGAUAGCUGCACGAAGCCCCAUGAUACAGGCCUCAUAUUCUGUGAUAUUAUUGGUACAGAAGAAGUUCAGUCUUGCGGUGAACGGAUAAUGAUUCCCGUCUGGUGAUACCAGGAUUGCUCCUAUUCCUUGUCCUAAAGCAUUUGACGCACCAUCAAAGCACAUCUUCCAUGACUUCUCUUUUGAUGACUCGGAUUCUAUUUCUGUGAUGCACAUUAAGUCUUCAUCUGGGAAAUCGAAUCUUAAAGGCUCAUAUUCCUCUGUCGUUCGAGUUGCUAAGAAGUCAGCUAUUGCGCUCCCUUUUAUCGACUUCUGACUUACAUAGGUAAUGUCAUAUUCCGAAAGGAGGAUCUGCCAUCGUGCCAUUCUUCCUGAUAGUACCGGUGAUUCCAUCAUGUAUUUUAUUAGGUCCAGUUUUGAAAUUAGCCAUGUCGUGUGAUACAACAUAUAUUGUCUGAGUCUCCGAGCUACCCAAACCAGAGCGCAACAAUAUUUCUCAAUGGACGAAUAUUUUACCUCAUAUUCAGAGAACUUUUUGCUGGGGUAGUAGAUCACUUUUUCUUUCUUUCCUGACUCGUCGUGUUGCCCUAGUACGCAACCCAUUGAACUUUCAAACACAUUCAAAUACAAUAUCAAUGGUCUUCCAGGAGUUGGCGGUACUAGCACUGGAGGACUGGACAAAUAUUGUUUUAUCUUAUCAAAGGCCACUUGGCAUUCCUCGUUCCAUUCUCCCGGGUUAUGUUUUCGAAGAAGCUGAAAGAUUGGGUCGCAUUGGUUGGUAAGUUGAGCGAUAAAUCGGGCGAUGUAGUUUAAUCUCCCUAAAAAUCCUCUAACUUCCUUUUGCGUGCGCGCAUGUGGUAAUUCUUGGAUGGCUUUUAUUUUAUCUGGAUCAACUUCGAUACCUCUUUCACUGACAAUGAAGCCUAGCAACUUUCCCGAGGUAGCCCCAAAUGUACAUUUGGCUGGAUUAAGCUUUAGCUAAAACUUUCUCAGCCUUUCGAACAACUUCUUGAGGUUCACUACAUGCUCUUCUUCCCCUCGCAAUUUAGCAAUCAUGUCGUCGACGUAGACCUCUAUUUCUUUAUGCAUCAUGUCAUGGAAUAACGUUACCAUAGCCCUCUGAUAUAUUGCCCCAGCAUUCUUUAACCCGAAUGGCAUCACCUUGUAGCAGAACGUUCCCCACAUCGUUAUGAAGGUAGUUUUCUCCAUAUCCUCAAGGGCCAUCUUGAUCUAAUUAUACCCCGAGAAUCCAUCUAUGAAAGAAAACAAUGAAUGUUUUGCUGUGUUGUCCACAAACGUGUCAAUAUGUGGCAAGGGAAAAUUAUCUUUUGGGCUUGCUCGAUUCAGGUCACGGUAAUCCACGGACAUUCGUACUUUGCCAUAUUUCUUUGGUACUGGGACUAUGUUAGCCACCCAUUCUAGAUAUUUGGAGGCUUGUAGGAAGCCAGCAUCAAAUUGCUUCUUGAUUUCUUCUUUUAUUUUCAACAGCAUUUUGGGUCUCAUCCGUCUUAAUUUUUGCUGGAUGGGCUUGCAUUCUGGCUUUAAUGGGAGCUUAUGGACCACUAAAUCUUCAUCUAGCCCUGGCAUGUCCUGGUAUGACCAUGCGAAAACAUCUUUGUAUUCGCGGAGUAAAAUGAUCAAACUAUGUCUAGUACUCUCUGAAAUAGAAGUCCCAAUCUUCACUUCUUGUUUCCUCUCUUCAAUGCCCAAAUUUAUUAUUUCCACAGAUUCUUCAUGAGGCAAAAUCUGUUUAUCCUCUUGUUCCACCAUUCUUAACAAUUCAGGAGACGAGACAUAAUCUUCAGCAUUUUCUUCGGCUUCAAAUUCUCCUAAGCAAACAGCCUUCUCAAAAUCAAUUUCAAGAUUCGUAACGGGCUUAUUCAUAUCGUCAAUAUCUGAGCACCUGAAAGUUGAAUGGAAAAGGAAGCUAUAGAGGGGCAUCCAAGUAUUGGAAUCAACAAAGAAAUGUCAUGUCAUGGCAAUGAGGCAAAUGUGAGUAUAGGCUAUGAAAUGAGAAAAUGAUUAUGAAAUUAGUGAUAAUGCGAAAAAUCGUGACAAAAUGCAUCUUCAUUGAUAUUCACUUAAAUGAUAAAGAGCGAAUGCAAGCUCCUACAAAAGAAUUCUAUUAUAUCUAAGGACACAAUAGAAUGUUAAUGUUUGAGCAUUACUCUGAAGACUUAUAAACUACAAGAAGGUCCUCGGCAGUCCAAUUGUUCAACAUGAAACCAGGGGGACAAAGGCGUAUCCUUGAGACAUCUUUACUUGUGUCAGCUCCUUUGUCAAUGACAUUUAUACUGAUGUUCUGAAAACCCUUUUCGAUCAUUAACAUUGUGCCUUGUGCAUUGUCCUGCCUCGGGUAUAUCAUUCCCACAGACGUAAAUGUUCUUGACAAAGGAGGGAAUUCCAUAGGCUCCCAUUCUGGUUCUCGGCCUAAGGUUCUCGCAAUCCUUCUUUCUUGAUCUUUCUUCCACUGUCUUCUUCUUUGACGCAUGUCUGGCUGGAACCCCAAACCGUAUCGGGCCUUAUGAUGCACUGGUUUUAGAGCCCUGACUAUUCCUUGUAGAUAUCUCCCUAAACCUCUUCUCACUCGAGCUCCCCUUCCUACAGUCAACUUGACACCCAUUCUAGUAUUUCUCGACAAUUUAGGCACGGGAAUUUUGUUUCCCUCAGUGAAGAAUGUGGCAUUGACGAAUUCAAGGGAUCGGAAGGAGCAUUCCACUACGUCCUUGCUCACUUCAAGGUAUGGCGCAUCAGCAGAGAUAGAUGCGACAAUGUCUUCUUCUCCCUCGACAGUGACCAAACAGCCAUCCAUGAUAAAUUUCACCUUUUGAUGGAGGGAUGAUGGGACCGCUCUAGCAGAAUGGAUCCAGGGUCUUCCCAAAAGGCAGUUAUAUGAGGAUGUAAUGUCCAUGACUUGGAACUCGACAUCAUAUAUGUAGGGACCCACUUCCAGAGGGAUCUCAAUUUUUUCCAUGACUUCAUGCCUUGUCCUGUCGAAUGCCCUUACCGUAGAAUGACAGGGCCUUAAAUGGGACAGAUCCAUCGAAAUUCUGGAAAGUGUGGCCAAAGGCAUAACGUUGAGUGCCGAACCAUUAUCGAUGAGCACGUUCGGUAUUAUGUAGCCCUUGCAACGGGUUGUGAUAUGCAAUGCUUUCACUGAGCCUCUACCAUUGGGCGGUAUUUCAUCAUCACUAAAAGAAAUGAAAUUAUCCGCAUUCAAGUUGUUCAUCCACCUAUCCAGUUUUUCAAUGGAUACAUUGUUUGCCACAUAAGCUUGAUUUAACACUUUCAGCAGAGCGUUUCGGUGUGGUUCUGAAUUCAACAGCAGAGAUAAUACCGAGAUUCGCGCUGGCUGCUUACUCAAUUGUUCUACCACGUUGUACUCACUGUGUUUGAUAAAUUUUAAGAAUUCCUGUGCUUCCUCCUCGUCCACAGGAUUUUUAGCUUCUUGUUCAGGCGCAGUUUCAUGCUCAUCAUCGGUCACAUGCAUCGGUGCUUUUCCUUUCCGUUUCAAGUCACUGUUCUUCUUUAUCUCCUUCGAAUAACAUCUUCCACUAUGAGUGAAAUGACCUAAUUCCCCGAUUCUUCCAGUCAUGGCUUUGGGUUUUUCAUCUUCAGGUGUGACGAUAUUAAUGUCAUAUUUCCAUGGUACUGCUUUAUUGUCCUUGUAAGGGAAAGAAGAUGGUACUUCAAUUAUCAUUUUUGGUUUCACCGGCUCUUUCAUCGCAUCGUAAUAAAUUACUAACGGUUGAUCAGCGCUAUAAGGGGGACCUGAUGACUGGCUAUCAGAGGCGCAUACUUCUCUUUCAUUGGUCUCUUCCCUUUUGUUAAGGAUCUUAAUCUCCUUAUUAUCCAUCCGGUCUUGAAGCAACCUUUUAAAUUCCUCACACGACUGAAUGUCGUGUCCCACAAUUCCAUGGAAAUUGCAAAAACUUUGACCUUCUUCUCCGAGAAUUCUAUCGGGGUGACAAAGCAAUCAUUUCUUAACCAGUACCUCCCAGAUUUUCUGCAAAGGCGUCCUUAUUUCCAAAACACAUCUUCUGACUUUCCAUUCGUCCACUUUCCCCACUAUACUCACAUCCCUUUCGAUAUGGUUAGGGAAUGGGUUCCCAGUUGCAUUACUGGCACUAUCGAAUCGUAGGAUACCUGCAUCAAUGAGUCCUUGAACUCUUCUCUUAAAGGCUAGGCAGUUUUUCGUGGAAUGUCCCUGGUUUCCCGUAUGGUAUGCACAACUAGCGAAUUGUAUGUUUUAACCUCAGCGAACGAGUAUGGAAUAUGCAAUGAAUGAAUGAAUGCAUGAAUGUCAAAUGACUGUUAGUCAUGAAAGAAAUGCAAGAAAUUGGUGUUAAUUUCAAGAUAGCCCCUAUUUAGGCAUUUCCUUAAUCAAAAGAGUCUAUUACACAACGUUUCGGUCACUCGUGUAAUUGACUCCUCUAUCAGAAACCCCUUUUUGGCAACCAAUCUCUAAUCAACCCUUUCCUAACAAGAUGUAUAUGAUGCAUGAUGAAAAAUAGAAAUACAGACAAACAACAUUGGUUAGCAAAACACAUAUGAUCAGAGAAAAAUUGUGGAAAAUCUAACAAAUUAAGCUACUUGGUCCAAUGGACUCGAUUCCCUUGCAUAGAAAGUGAAAGUGCAAAAGGUAAGAGGCGUUCCUCCCGUGCACUUAUUUUGGUGACUACUAAACGGACGGAGGUUCAGCAUGGCUCUAGUUAGGUGGCUCGUAUGGUUCAUUAUAUGCGGUUUUGGUUCUAGAUAGGUACUCGAAUUGCCCGUACUAUCAUCUACUAAGAUUAACACGGAGCCUCGGUCAUAGCCUAUCACAGGCUCACGAGUUCAAUUCGAGGGGUUACAUUUACUUAUGCCUAUGCGGAGGGACAAGUUAACUCACGAAAGCAUAAAUCAUAUGUAACCCGAAAGUAUUCACUAGCCUGUGCGGAGGGACGAGUUAACUCACGAAGGCGUAGUGUUUACUUUCACUUAAACGGACGGAGCCCGGGUAGAGAGCUCAUGUUAUGCGAAAAUGCAAGUGCACGGUGUGUGGGGAACAACUCAUAAACCUUUACGUUUCACUUAAAGAAACUAAACCAAAAUUAAAACCAUAAAAAUUAAAAACUGAAAAACAACCAAAUAAGCAAGUUAGAAGAAAUAUUUACAGCACGAUACAAAUGCAUGAAUUUUGAAAAUGAGAUUUUCGGAUCACGACCAAAUAUUUACUUUGAACAAGGAAAUUUGAAAAUUUUGACAAAACGUGUUUAAUUCCAGACACGACUCUCAAAAAGGCUUUCCCCAGCGGAGUCGCCAGCUGUAGCGACGUAAAAAUUUUAGCUUAGCUUGGUCGCUAAUUGUGGCGAUUUAUUGAAUUUUUUUUUGAAAUUUGACGUUUGAUUUUUGAAAUAAAUAGGGAGUCGCCACCGAUCCUUUUUCCUAGGUGUGAUCGGACACCUAUUAGAUCUUUUAUUAAAACAAAUAAAAGGCUAAGUUUAGGUCUACGUUAAAAUCCAGAAAAAAUUUAGGGUUCGGGAGUCGGUUACGCACGAGGAAGUUAUUGGCACCCUCGCGACGCCCAAAAUUGGUAUCUUAUUAAACACAUGUUGUCUUGAUUUUCAAAAAUACGAAUUCAAUUUGACAUUUAAGUGUGAUCCGAUUGAAGGAAAUGAGAAGUUGCAAGUUUUUUUGUUUUUUAGAAGGACGUCCCGUUUUUAACACGAGCCGAUUAAUUUCACCCAACAUAGCGAUGAAAUCAAUGACUUAAUGUUAAAAUUGGUACAUUGCCUUAUUCUUAAAAUUAAAAUGUAAAAAGUUUUUAAAAUGAUAGUAAAAAAAAUCCAAGAAUAUUAUUGUCAAAAAAUGCGAAUAAUGAUGUGAAUAAUAAAAUAUAUAAAAUAUAAAAUAUCAAAAUAUCAAAAUAUUAGAAUAAUAAUAAUUAAUAUUGACAAAUAAAAAAUAAAAUAGAAAUAAAAAAAAUGUACAUAAUAUAUAUAUUAGAAAUAAUAAUGAUGUUUAAAAAUCAAUACUAUUAAUAAUACUACAUCAAUAUGUACAUAUAUAAAAAAAAUACGUGAUAAUAUUAAAAAUAUGUACAUAAUAUAGUGUUAAAAAUACAUACAUAAUAUAGUUAAGAUAUAUGCAUAAGAUAACAUGUAAAAUAUAUAUAUAAAUAAUAUAAUAUUAAAGAUAUAUACAUAAAAUAGUAUAAAAUAUAUAUAUACGUAAUAUAGAAUUUAAAAUAUACCUAAUAUAUUAAAAGAAUAUAUAUAAUAUAAUAUUAAGAAAUAUAAUAAUAACAAAAAAGGAGAGAGAGGGAGAGGGUGGAUGAUUUUCGGCCACAAGGUCGGCCAUCGUCCGGUCACCGGACCGCCGCCGGCGCCACCGUACACGGCAGCCGGACCUCAAAAAAAACUUUUUCGGUAAAAAUGGGUAAGCUUCCUCCUUUUAUUUUUUUUUACUUUCGUAUAAAAGAAACAAAAUAAGAUUGAAAGGAAAACAAUAAGUAAACAAAGAACUUAAAAUGAGAAUAGACAAAGAAACCUCUUUUGCUUUGAUCUUUGAUUAAUCUUCAAAAAAACUAGCUUCUCCAAAAACUAGCCUUCACAAUAACUCUUCUCAUUAAUUACUUUAAAAAGAAACCUCUCCAAAAAUCCUUUACAAUAACUUUCUCUCCCAAAAACUCUCAAAAAAAAAAUCCCCCCCUUUUACAAAAUAUGGGAAGGCUUAUAUAGCUAUUUACAAAAUAUUUUUUUAUUGUUUAUGUCUUCAUUUGUAGGUACAAGUGGUGGUAGAGCAAGUGUGGUUAGUGGAGUAGGUAAUGGAGCAAGUGUGGCUAGUGGAUUUGGUGGUGGAGAAGGUGUGGCUAGUGGAGUUGGUGGUGGAAAAGGUGUGGCUAGUGGAGUUGGUGGUGGAAAAGGUGUGGCUAGUUGAGAAAAGUUUAAGUUGUGGGCUAGGUUUUUUUAUUUUGAUUUGGGCUUAGGGUUUGGGCCAUUGGGGUUUUGAUGUAAAUUGGGCUUUGGGUAGUAAGAUUUUGGGUUUUGGGUUUAAUUUUGGUGGGUUAGGUAAGGCUAAAUUGGGUUUUGAUGUAAAUGGGCUAAAAUUGGCCUACAACAUAUAUAUAUAUUUUAUUUACUUUAAAAUUCAUUGUGAUACUAUAAUUUCACAUAGUAAUUCUUUUUAUCUUCCUUUAAAUCUAUUUCAAACUCGUAUAUAUAUUGUUUAUGAUAAAUUUUAUGCAUGUAAUUUAUUUUAUAUUAAUAAUUUUCAAUUUCCUCCCUUGCAUGUUAUUCUUUUUUUUGUUUUCAUUUUUUAAGCUUGUUCGUGUUAAUUUACUUGAUAUUCCUUUUAAUUCUUUAGCUUUUAAUAUUAAUAUUUACCCAACAUAUAAUAUGAGAUUCUUACUAUUGUUAUAUUGUAUUGUUUAUUUAUAUUUAUUGAUUGUUUGACAUUCAUUAGUAUACGCUUUAUUUUAUGAAUCAUCAUCUCGCAUUGUAUAUUAUUAUUCAAUCGUUUUUAUUCGUUCAAAAGAUUACGUUUAAUAUCAUUUAAGUAUCGAAAUUGAUUUAUUCAAAAACUUUCAAGAUAGCGUAAUAUUCGGUAUUUGGGUUCUUUGAUAGAAUUGAGCCCUAACGUAUUGGGUUCCAAUUUUCCUUGUUGAAUCUAAAUAAUCGAGAAUAUUCUUCAAUCAAAAAUACAUAAAUAAAAAGCUCAUUCUCGGGAAUUCAAUACGUUGUGUCCUAACGCAUUGGAUAUGACACGUUGUUUUCUUGAGAUGAUGAUUUUUCUAAAUAAAAAUAAAGGCAAUAUUUGGUAUUUAGGAAUUUUGUGAAAUUGAACCCUAAUUUACUGGGUUUUGAUUUUUCAUUUGACCAAAUAAUCAGAUAUCCUUCUCAAAAUGCAUAGGUUUUAAAAAAAAUCAAAAGAUAAACUUAAUUUUGAAGAUAAAAAAUGUAGCGCCCUAACUUACUGGGUGUGACAUUUUAUUUCUUUAAAAUAAGAGUGUCUUAUUAUUUAAUUCAAUUUAUUCAAAGUUAAAAGGAUCGUAUUUUAAAACCUUUUCAAAUUUUUGACACUAAGACAUUAAACAAUCAAUUCGGUAACAAUUUUGGGCGUUACGAGGGUGCUAACCCUUCCUCGUGUGUAACUGACUCCCGAACCUGUUUUCUCAAAUUUUGCAGACCAAAAUCGUUUUUAAGGUGAGCCGAUCACACCCCAAUAAAUGAUCGGUAGCGACUCUCAUCUUUGUUUUUAAGUCGACUACUAAUUUUUGUUUUUAAAAAGUGGUUUCGACAUGUACAUUCAAUGUAGAGUCACAUACAGCCUGCGACAAAAAUAAUAAUUAUACACCGCUGUGUGGGGUGACCGAAAAUUCAUAUAUAGACUUAUUUCGAACGUUCUAAUUUUCCAUUCCGAAUGUUCUAAUUUUCCACCAAAAACAAAGUCGCUUUGGAAUUAAAAUUUUGGUCCUAAGGCCCGCUGGAUUUUUCACAACCACUAUCAUUAGACUAAAAUUAUCUCUCCACGUAUGAUCGGGUUUAAAAAAAUUUAUUAAAAUUAUUUAUUUAAUUUGUUAUUAUUGUUUAUAAUAGAAUAUAAAGUCUUAAAAUAUAAUGAUAUCAUCAUGGAGAAAAAUAUUUUAAUUUAAAAAUGUAUAAAUUUUAUAUAUUAUCUUUUAAAUAAUUUAAAUUAGGGAUAAAUCUCGAAAUCAUACAUGGAUUUGAUUUAAUGUGUAAUUGUAUACAUGAACUUUAAUUUGAUUUAAUAAUUUACAAGAAUUUGGUCAAAAAUAAAAUUUCAUGUAUAAAAUUCUACAAAAUCAAAGUUCAUAUAUAUAAUUGCACAUUAAACCAUAGUUCAUAUAUAGUUUUGAGAUUUAUCCUUUUAAAUUAUAAUGAUAAUUUUUAUAUAUUAAAAUUAAUAUAUUUAACCUUCCUUUAAAUGAAAGAAGCUACUUGUUGAGUUAUUAUAUUUAUUAUAUGUGAUUUAAUUUUAAAUUUUAUUUAUCAAUCUUCACAUAAUUAUUAGAUGCUUUGAGUAAUUUAAAAGAGAUAGACACGAACUGGAAUGAGGUGAAGGAAUUUAUGGCCAUAAAGAGUAAAGGUAUAUGUAUCAACUAAAAAAUAAAAAAUCAUUUAAAAAUAUAAAACUCUCACGGAAGGACAAUAUCUUUAGUUAUUGAAGGGAUCUGUUGAUUAUCAAAUGAAAGAUAUUUUAAAAACUUCUCUUAAAAAAGUCUGAUAAUCAACAAUGCUGAUAGACCAAUAAUUUGAAGCAGUCAAUGAACUUGUAGAAAGGGUAUAGCAAGAGGGAUGGAAGCUUGACGCCAAAAGUUAAGAGAUAUCUCCAUAAUGGUCACUUGUGUUGAGUGGUCUUGGGUGAUUGAAUUUUCUACAAAUGCCAUUAAAUUUCCCACAAGAAUUUUUCUACAAAUGCUUUUCAAUUUUGAAUCAAGUUGGUUUAUGAUUGGAAUUACUUGCUGUAAUAAGUUAGUUAUUUCAUUUUUUUUAUUUAAUACCAAAAUUAAAUAAAUUUUUAUUAUUAUUCUCAUUAAAAACCCAUUAAAGUUUCAGUUUUUCUAUUUAAUAUUGUAACUUUAAUUCUAUUGAAUGUUUAGGUUACUCUUUGUUUUUCAUUAAUACUUUUGGUUUUUUUUUACUAUAAAAAGCUAUUAUAUAUUAGAUAUUACUUAUUAAGAUAUCAACAUUGUUAGAGCAAAAAAAAAAUCUGUGUGAUGGUACAUAUGUUUUUUUUUUGGUGAAGUAAAAUAACAAGAUAAAAUCCGAACAAUUAACGCGACUCGAAUCCAGGUCACACUUGAGGUGUAAUUAGGUGAGAAAGACAUUUUAUAUAAUAAAAUACAUGUGAAAAAAAAUAUUGUUUCAUUAAUUAUUAAUAAAACAAAAAUAUGAUUCAUUUGCAUUUGGUAAAAUUAAAUUAAACAAUAAAAUGUUUUUUUUUUAAUUCUCGUAGAAGUAUAUUUCAUUGAAUAAUUCAAUUGCUUUUAUUGAAAUUAUCGUGGUAUAUACGAAUGUUGCUUAGAAGUUUUUUUGUAACAAAUAUUUUUCAUUGUCAUAUAUUGCAUAUGAUAUAAAGGCAAUAUUUGAAUGGAGCAUUGGUUAGUUUUUCACGGUGAAUCCUCCACAAUAUUCCUUUGUUUGAAGUUGCGGAAAUAUAUAUGUCUCAUGUUUUUAUAAGAUGCAUGUAUUUAAGUUGCGGAAAUUGAAAAGUCUUGACCUGAGUAGCAAUGGAAUUGUAGGUGUUGUGAAUAACCAAGGUUUGUUGCUUUUCAUCUCUGCAAUGAUUAAUCUCUGAAAUUUAAUUUAAGUUUUUAUAAUUAAUUCGUUUAUUUUACUUUUCUAUAUUAGAACAGUAACUUUCUCUUGCAUGCAGUCUCUUUAUCAUCUGCUUUCAACAACUUAGAAAUCCUUGACUUAUCCCACAAUAACUUCGAUGCCAGUAUCUUAUCAAGUAAGCUUCAUCUCUCAAUUUCUAUCUAUGUCUAGUAACUAAUUGUAAGUUUAUGCAAAAAUAAUAUAAAAAUACCUACAUAAUUAACGGGAGAUUUGAAAUGCAUUUUACUAGUUUUUUUUUUUUAAAUAGUUAAAGUUGAUAUUUAUGUAUAUGGGAUAAACCCAAAUUUACGACCAACAAGAAAGAAUAGAGAAGAUUAGGCAUAUAAAUUUAUGUGGGAAAACUCUUUCAAUCAACAGGAUAAAAAAGGAGACUUCAAUAAUGAGCAAACAAACGAAGAGAAUAAGAUGGAGAUAUUCAAAAACAAACCCUAACCCUAAAAACAAAGUUCUUUGGCUAAAAUACAAAAUUCCCUCAAAGCUCUCUCGAAUUUUUCUCUUAAUCUUCUCUCAAUCUUGAUGUUAUGUGUAGAGCCCAAUUCUUGCCCGGGCCUUAACACAAAAAAUAAACAAAAUAAACCAAAAAAAAAAGUCCGUUACAGCAGUGGCCCAAACCCACAAAAUUAACCCUAGCCCGAAGCCCAGUAGAGAAGCAAACCCUAAUUUCCCUAAGGGCGCGCCACACGCUCUGUCAGGCUCCCUCGCGCACGCCACCGCCACCGUCGUCGCUUCCCAUCGCCACCUUCCCAUGCGCGUCAGAACACCUACAAGAAAACUGUAACACCCCUUAACCUCAAACCGUCGCUGAAACUGGGUUACGAGGCACUACCAGACAUAUCAAACAAUUUACAAUUAAUUCCUAGAUAAAUAACUAACAUAUUAAAAUAAAACAUAAAUUCUUAUAAAUUUUAACAGUUGACUUCAUUCAUUUUUUUUUAUAAAUUUCGGCAGCAUUUCUGCUUAUUUUUACAUAAAACCCCUGCAAAUUUCAAGAUUAUAACCUGACCAAUUCCAAUGUUUCAACCAACAUUUAUAUCCUCAAGCAUAAUUAAAAUCAUACUUAACAUUUUAACUACUAUCAUAUAGAUUGCAUAAAAAGAUUAAUCAAAUAACAUAUAUUACAUCUAGACUAAAUACUUUGUAACAUAAUACAUCAAAAUUAAGUCUUCCAUACAUGCCAUAAUUUUCGAGUGAUGAUUACAAAAUACCAAAAGUUGUGGAUAGUGUAGAUGAGUUCCCGACGAUUUCCCGAAUUCCAAGCUGAACUGGUAACACUAUAAAACUGGGAAAAACAAAGAGAAAUAAGCAUAUAGCUUAGUAAGUAGACAUAUGACAAAUAAACAAAUUUUUAACAUGAUUCCAUAGAAACAUAAUUUUAUUCACACAUAAAUUUCCUUGCUUGUUCAAUUUCCAGCAAGCUGUUUUUCUGUGUCACGGUCACUAAUUUAUUUUUAUCUGGAGCUGCUGGGCUCCAAAUUAAGUUCCGUAAAUUUUCCUUGAAACUAUACUUACAUACCUUUCUAUCAUAAAAUUUUUAGAAUUUUCGGUUUAGCCAAUUAGUACAUUUUAUUCUUUAAACUUUCCCUGUUUCACUGCUCAAUAGCUCUGACCUCUCUUUACUUAAAUUUACUUAACUCUUUGUACAGAAUUCAAACAAUGUUCUUGUUUGUUUCUCUUGAAAAUAGACUCAUUGAUAAAUUCAAGCAUGUAAAUUACAAGCCAUAAUUAUUUUUGUACAAUUUUUUGUAAUUUUCCAAAUUUGGAACAGGGGAUUUCGAAAUCAAUUCAACCCUGUCUCACUAAAAUUCAAAUAUUUCAAAAUAUAUAAAAUCUUUUGCUUGCUCUGUUUCUUUCAUGUGAAAAUAGAAUCAUUUAGCUUCAAUUUCAUAUAUUAUUCAUUCUCUAAUUAAACUUCCACCAUUUAUGGUGAAUUUUCAAAGUCGCUCAACUGCUGUUGUUCAAAACUGUUUUAUUUCAAAAUUUACUCUUUUGUAGUUUUGAUAUCUCAUACCAUCUUAUACAUGGGUCGAUUAAGUAUCAAACUCACUAUUCCUCACAUUAUCUUGUCCAUUUCAUAUAUACAUUCACUUUUCCAAUUUCCCUGUUGAACACUCGGAAUAUUAUCCGUUACUCGGUGGAUUAAGCACUUAGCAACCACCUUAAAUUCAGUGAUACGUGGAAUCAGCACAUAGCAACCCCUUUCACAGUCAAGGAUACGGUGGAAUCAGCACUUAGCAACCACCUCUAUAUUCAGUGAUACGGGGAAUCAGCAUAUAGUAACCCCUUUCACAAUCAAAGAUACGGUGGAAUCAGCACUUAGCAACCACCUCUAUAUUCAGUGAUACGGGGAAUCAGCACAUAGCAACCCCUUUCACAAUCAAAGAUACGGUAGAAUCAGCACUUAGCAACCACCUUUGAAGUCAAUAAUUCAGGGAAUCAACACUUAGCAACCCCUUGGGAAAUCUGCACUUAGCGACCCCUUUUUAUUCAAUGUUUUCCGAUCUAUUCCGAGUGUUCAAUCGGAAACCUUGUUUUUCAACACUUUAUCACCUUUCUCAAACUUAACCACAUUUUUCUGAUCUACAUCAAAUAUUUAUUCUAUAUUCAAUCAAAUCUCAACAAUAUAUUGAAUAACAUUAAAAUAACGCAUUAAUUCACAUGCAUACUUACCUUGGUGUAAAAUAUUGUAAUUUUGCAAUUUACUUCACGAUCUUUUCUUUUCCCUGAUUGAGGUUGUCUUUUCGUCUUUCUUGAUCUAUAAUAGAAAUUUUAGUUUAUUUAAUAUUCACAUUUAUUACAACAGUCCUCGACUCAACUUUUUGCAAAAUUAUGAUUUUGUCCCUAAACUUAUCAUAUUUACAUUUUUCCCAAAGCUCGAAAAUUAAAUUUCACUCCUUAUUCUUAUGUUUUACAACAUGCUGAACACUUUUUCCUUCUAUGGAAACAUCAAAUUCUCACUCUAACACGUACUUAUGAACAUUAAAUAUUUUUACCGAUUAUGACAAUUUACCCGUUUUCACUUAAAAUCGCUUAGCAAAAGUUGUUUAACAUAAUUUCUAGCUUCAUAUUCUACCAUAAAACAGAAAAAUAAACACAUUUCACCUAUGGGUAUUUUUCCAAAUAUAAACCCUAGGUUAAAAUAACAGUAGAAAUAGGUAAACCGAGCUACGAGAAUCUUAAAAAUGCGAAGAACAUUAAAAACGGGCUAGGAUGCACUUACUAUGAGCUUGAGAAAGUGAAGAAACCCUAGCUAUGGCUUCCUUCAAAUUUCGGCAGCAACUAAUGAGGAUGAACACCAUUUUUUCAUCUUUUUCCCAUUUUAAUUCUAUUUAUUUACUAAAUGACUAAAAUGCCCUUACUUAAAAAAAUCUAUUUCACCCAUUUCUUAUGUCUAUUUUUUUCCAUCAAUUAGCUAAUGGUCUAAUUACCACAUAAGGACCCCCAAUUUAUAAUUUCAUAACCAAUUAACACCUUUAACACAUAAAAUUCAACUUUUGUAUUAUUUACAAUUUAGUCCUUUUGACCAAACUGAGUGCCCAAACGUCAAAAUUUUUGAAUGAAAUUUUUACGAAAUCUUUCCGUGAAAUUGUAGACCAUAAAAAUAUAAUAACAAUAAUACUUUCCCUCGUCGAAUUUGUGGUCCCGAAACCACUGUUCCAACUAGGCCCAAAAUCGGGCUGUUACAAAAACAACAAAACAGAAACGACAAACGUACAAUCCAAAGCACAAAAAGACAAAAGAAGAGAGAUGUAGUUUUUUUCCGGUUAUAAAAGGCCGAAUGGGGCGAUUGUAUUUCUUCUUCUGUCAUUUUUGUUACAGAUUAGAAAUAAAAAGGAAAACAAAGGUUGCCUUCUGGUUUCUCUGAUUUAUUCAUUUAUUUCUUUUAUUUAUUUUUAAUGAAUCAGUUUUUUUAAAAAAGAAAAAGAACUCUUAAAAAGUAAAAAAUGAAGAGGAAUACCUGGGGUUGCCUGCGAAAUCCAUCGUCGGAGCCAUUUCGUUUGCCGAAAUCGGACGAAAAGGGGGGCAUGGGGGCCUUUCCUUCUCUCGGUCUUAAGGCCCAAAAGGCUAAGCCUUUGGGCGUUUGAAAAAUGGGCCAAAAAUGCGAUCUCCGUGUCGCUCCGACCACCGCUUACGGUAGGGUCACGGCGGCACAAGCGACGGCCCUAUUGGCCGGAUUUGAGGGCUGCGUGGGAGAGAAUGUUUGAGCUUUCUAUUUUUUUUAAAUAAGGGUCAAACUAUUUUUUUUUAUUUUUAACAUUUAUAUUGGGAAUAAAACGACGCCGUUUUGGGUUUAGGCAACAAUGGCCAAAACGACGUCGUUUCACGCUUGACCCGAAUACUCAACCCGUUUAGCAGAGGAUCCGCGCGUUUUCAAGGCCGAAUGGGCUAUUUGCGCUAUGGGUCCCUCCGCUUUGAUGCUUGGCUUCAAUUCGGUUAUUUUGUCCCUUUUUAGCAUUUUUAAUCUGACCCCGUAGAUUUUGUACCAGUUUUGAUUUGGUCUAACGCGAAACGACGCACUUUAAGGGUUAGGGAUUAAUUUCCCAAUUGGCCCCUGCAUCUUUGUGCUUGCUCCAAUCGACUCCAAAUUAUUUUUUUAUAUUUCAAAUCUAACCCACUGAUUUUAUUUAAAUUCCAAUUCAAUCCUUAGUCAAUAAAAAUUCAAAUUUCACCCUUUUUUAAUAAAAAACGAAAAUGGUCAUUAAAUAUUUUAUUUAACAUCCGUUUAAUUAUUUAUUUUUAAUUGCUAACCAAACUUAUAUAUCUUUCAUUUCAUUUAUUAUUCAUUUUUAUGUGUAUUGAUUUGUAUGUAUUAUUUGUGCCUUUAUUUUCACUAUUUAUUUAUUCGUUAUUUUCAAAUAUUUUCAAAAUUUAGAUUCAUUAGUAUUAUGUUUAUUGUGAUUGUAUUAUUGUUAUUGUUACAUUAUUACUUGCAUUAUUAUUAUUCAUGUAUAUUAGCAUUAAGAUUUAUUAGUAUUAAUGUUAUAUGUGUAUUUUAUGAUGUAUAUUAUGUCAUAAUUAUUUCGAAUGUAUGUUGUAUUAUCGUUAUUAGUCGUGCACGACCCUUUUUCUGUUUUAAACAAUUUCUCCUUCAACACAAUCAAAAUUACACGAAUAUUAUCUUUAUAUAUUUUAUUAGUUCUUACUCAAAUUCAAAAAAAGGAAAAUUUUUAUAAAUAAGGCAAUAUUUUACGUUUGGAAAUUCGAGAAAACGUACUCUAACGUGCUAGGUUUCGAUUUCUCGUUUGACCAAAUAGCCAAGUAUCCUCUUAAAAUUUCAAAGUAUGGGUUUUGGAAACCAUAAGGUAAUUUUGGUUUCUAGGGUUUAAAGUAUCGUAUCCUAACGUGCUAGAUGUGAUAUUCUUUCGGAACAAGAGAAUCUUAAAUUCCAACCCAUAUUAUUUGAAAUUUUUUUUAGGAUUGUAAUUUUUAAAACUCUUCAAAGUUUUCAAUAUUCGACAUUAAGACACUAAUUAAUCAAUUAGGUAUCAAUUUUGGGCGUUACGAGGGUGCUAAUCCUUCCUUGUACAUAACCGACUCCCGAACCUGUUUUUCUGAAUUUCGUAGACCAAAAGCAUUGUUUUAAUAAAUCCAAACCAUUUAUUAAAAACAAUCGUUUUAUGAGGUGACCUGAUCACACCUCAUUAAAAAAGAUUGGUGGCGACUCCAAUGUUCGUUUUUACUUUCAAAUACCAAGUCGACCCCCUUUUAUAAAAAAAUGGUUUCGACAUUAUGAAUAUAUUUAUUCUAGGGUUACUAGUGCCCUUUUUAUAGGCUAAGAUUAGAGUUCUAAUAUUACUAAAAUAUCUAUAGAAUAAUCACAGUUUAACUAGGAAAAGUAACCCUCUUGAAAGUCUAAUAACACAGCUACUCUAAGUUAGAAUUUGUCGCGUUAUCACGACGUACCAAGCUCCCCGUUGUGACAUCGCCUCAGCUUUGCUCUUUUUCAAACAUUGUCGUGUCGUUGCGACAUCGCAUGAUUCCUCGUCGCAAUAUCACCCUUACUUUGACUCUGAUCCGACCCGAAAAUGUGAGACACAUUCCACAAUAUCUAAAUAUAUAUUGAAUUUAAAAAUAAUUGUACAAAGGAUAUGUAAUCCUUGAAGAUUAGAUACAAGUAAUUACCAUUUUAUAUUAAAAGUUAGAAAUAUAAAUUAAAUAUUCUAAACUUUUUUUUAUGUGAAUAAGUCAUGUGUUGAUAUAUUUUAUUGCUCUUGAAUAGAAUUGAAGAGUUUGAAAAACUUGAAGACGUUAGAUUUAAGCUUCAAUGGAAUCAGAAGCCUCCGGCACUUUCAAGGUAUAUCUAACUUUGAUAUUUUAUAUACAAUCAACUAAGUCCUAUAAAAAUAUAUUUAUGAACAAGUUAAAAUGAAUGCUUGAAACAAAUAAUUAUUAUUUGAUAUUAUACAAACAAAUUCUCCUUGAAAUUGUAUUACAUAAGUAUUUUACAGAUGAGAAAUUGCAACCCAUGAUGAGUUUGGAAGUGCUUGAUUUGGAUGGUAAUUUCUUGAAGAACAAUGAUUAUCAAGUUUAAAGUCUUUGAUUAUUAGCCAUAACGAAUUGGAAAUUUUCAUAAAAUAAAAAUAACAAGCUAUAUGUAAAUUACAAUUUCAUCAACCUUUUUUAACUGUUAAAAGAAUUAUAUCCAAAUAUAUUCGUUCUUUUGGUAUUUAGCUUUUUAGGUUGUAAACUAAAGUCAUAAUGAUUUUUUGUCCUCCAAUUUUAAAAACAAAAAAUCAUUUUACCUCUCAAUUUAAUUUUUCAUCUCUUCUAGUCAUUAAACUUCAAUUUUUUUUUGUCAAAUCACCCCAAAAUGAAAAGAAAAGUUAAUAUUUGUUAAUUUUGCUAAUGUGACAUAUAUGUGAAUUGUCAUAUAGAUGACAUAUCAACAUUUAAUUAAUUUUUAAAAUUUAAGUAUUUUUUAAAUAUUUUUUAUUUUUUGAAAUUUAUUUAAAAAAUUAAAUAUUGAUGGAUCAUCCACGUGACAAUCCACAUGUAUGCAAUAUCAACAAAAUUAAAAAAAAUUGUUAAAUUUUCUAUUCAUUUUAGGAUGACUUGAUGAACAUAAGUUUAAGAGAUUAAAAAUCAAAAAAUUAAAUGAAAACCUUUUUUAAGUUAAAAAGAGUUAAAUAAAUUAUUAAUAACUAAAAUAAAAUGUUUUUAAUAAUUUUUUUAUGGAGAAAAGUAGUUGAAUUGCAUGAACCAAAAUUACUGAUUUUUUGUGAUAUAACUUUGUUUGACUGACAAAAAGGGUAUUUGAUUUAUUUGAAUAGCAUUCAAUAAUCUCACAAAAUUGAAGAAGUUGGAUAUGAGUCGCAAUUAUGUUGAGAGACUUGGUAAGUGUCCAUAUAUUUUACUUUAUCAAAUUGCUACAUUUAUUAUACUAAUAUCUAAAUGCUUUGUAGAUGAGGAAAGGUAUAAUUUGACGAAUUUAGAAGUGCUUAAUUUGAAUUACAACUCUUUCGGAAAAAGCUCAUUGGCACAGCUUAGUGGGUUUUCCAAUCUAAAGGAAUUGAGUAUGCAACAAAACCAGGUGCAAUUAUUUAAUAUAUUUAAUUUUCCUUUAAACAAAAUUAACUAUUUAUUAAGUUAUAUUUAUUCUCUAUGAUUUACUUUUAAAUUUUAUUUGUCGACUUUUAGAGAUUGAACAAUUUAGAGAAGCUAAACAUUAGAUAUCUAAUGAACUGAUGUCAACCACUAAUUUGACUCUCAAAAAUGGAAGUUUAGAAAAGCAUUUUAGUAGUUCUUUUAAGAAAAAAAUUAUGUCUAAAUAUAUAAUGAGUUUAAAAAUAAUUGUAUUAAAAUCUGUAAUCGUUGAGGAUUAGAUACAAGUAAUUGCGACUUUAAUAUUAAAAGUUGGAAAUAUGUUGUUAUUUUAAAAUUAAAUGUCCUAUAUUAAUUAUUUUUAUAUGAAUAAGCCUUGUGUUGAUAUUUGAUAUAUUUCAUUGCUCUUGAAUAGAAUUGAAGAGUUUGACAAAGUUGAAGACGUUAGAUUUAAGUGGCAAUAGAAUUGAAAGCCUCAAGCACUUUCAAGGUAUACUUAAAUUUGAUUUUCUUUAUACAAUCAACUAAGUCUUUAAGGCGUUGACCUUAUAUAUUUAUAAACAAGUCAAAGAUGCAACUUUGAGAUAAAUAAUUAUUCAUUGAUAUUAUACAAAUAAUUUUUUUCUCGAAAUUGUAUCACAUAAAUCUUUUACAUUUAUUAAAAGAGAGAACCGAAACAAACUACUUGUUCAGUUAUUAUAUUUAUUUUAUGUGAUUUAAUUAUAAAUUUUAUUUUUCGAUAUUCACAUAAUUAUCAUAUGCUUUGAGUAAAUUAGAGUCAUUGAGAAAAAUAUUUUAAAUUUAAAAAAAAUGUAUAAAAUUUAUAUUUUAUCUCUUAAAUAAUUUAAAUAAUAAUAAUUUUUAUAGAUUAAAAUUAAUAUACUAUCUCUUUUGAAAUAAUAUAAAAAUUAUAUUAAUAUAUAAAAAAUAAAUUAUAAAUUGAAAACUUAUCUCUUAAAUAUAUAAAGUAAAAUAUAUGUACCAAAAUAAUAGGAUUUCAAUUUUAAUUUUUUUUCUAUGUGUUAUCAAUUCUUUAAAACAUUUGACUAUUAAGUUCAAAAAAUUUUAUUUUAAUUAAUACUUGUGCAUUUCACGGAAAAAAAACUAGUUAAUAUAUAUAACCAGCUUUGUAGAUGUGGAAUUACUUAUUUUACAUUCUAUAAAUAUAGCAGCACCUAUAUAAAGUAUACAGUACGCCUUUUAUUAAAUUAGUUCUUUAUAAUAAUUUGUUGUCUUAAAUUUUAGCCUAAUAAAUUCUAUUUCUAAGUGAAAUAAAAUUAAUAAAUUUUAAUUAAGAUAUUAUUUCAAUAAAAUAUUUAAAUUUCAUAUAAAAUAUAUUAAUUAUAUUUUAUUAAAUAAAAAUAGUUUUUAAUAAAUGAAGUUACAUUAGUAAAUUUUAUUAAAGAUACAAUUUAAAUCUCAUUAAUUAAUUUUUAUUAAUAUAUUUUAGUUUUUUUAAUUUAAAAAUUAAAAUAUGAUCUAAAUAUUAAAUGUUGUUAUAAGUGUAUAAUAAUUACUUAUCUAUAACAUCCAAUAGUGGCAAUAUAAAAGUUGAAUAUAAGUGAAUUUUUGUGACUAACAAAAAAUGUAUUGAAUUUAUUUGGAUAGUAUUGAAUAAUUUGACAAAGCUAAAGCAGUUGGAUUUGAGUGGCAAUAAAAUUGAGAGCCUCCAAUCUUCUCAUGGUAUGUGUUGAGAUGUUUUACUUUAUCAUAUUCUUACAUAUACAUACCACUAUCUUAUUUAAUAUUCCAUUAGUAAUAAAUUUGUUUAUCUCAAUGCUUUGUAGAUGGUGAGAGGCCACUUAAUUUAACCAAUUUAGAAGAGCUUAAUUUGGAUUUCAACUCCUUCACAAACAGCUUAUUGGCACAACUUAGUGGGUUUUCCAAUCUAAAGUCACUGAAUAUAAGGAAUAACCAGCUUAAAGGAUCAAUAAAUAUUAAAGGUGGAAUUACUUAAUAUAUUUAAUCUUCCUUUAAAUGAAAUAAACUACUUGUUGAGUUAUUGCAUUUAUUCUAUGUGAUUUAAUUUUAAAUUUUGUUUGUCAAUUUUUACAGAAUUAUUAGAUGCUUUAAGCAACUUAGAGGAGCUAGACAUGAGCGAGAAUGAGGUGAAGGAAAUUGUGCCCAUAAAGAAUAAAGGUUUAUGUAUCAACUAAAGGAAAUCUUACUAAUUGUUUUCCAUUAGAUAUCUAGUGAACUGAUGCCAACCACUAAUUUGACUCUUAGACAAUGGAAGUUUGAGAAAGCUAAAGGUUGCUUCAUUAAACCGUGUGUUCACCGAUGGAACUGCUUCUCUAAUACAGCUUCUAGAGACAUUCUCAUCUGUUAAUACAUUAUAUUUGAGUGGCAAUUACUUCAAAGACACAUUUUCUACUCAAGUUAUAAUAUAUAUGUAUGUGAAUAUAUAGUUUUAUAGUUUGGUCCCAUUUAAAAAUAUUAUUUACUUAACGUAAAUCAUCUAAAUAACGCUUAUAAAUUUGUAAAGAUCAACUGCAUGUAUCGAGCAAAAUAGAGGAAUUGGUGCUGGAUUAUUCAUCUCUCAGCAACAACAUUCUUCAAAGCUUUGGUGGACUGGCUUCUCUCAAAGCCUUGUAUUUAGGUUCCUGUGGGUUGUCUGGGACAUUACAUACCCAAGGUAUAUUAAUAAUUAUGACAUAAUUAUUUAGGCAGUCUCUUGAUUAAUUAUUUUUUUAUCCUCUUAGAAAAUUGGAGUAACUUGCACAAAUUUAUUUUAUAGGAUGGUGUGAUUUACGGAAGCUUGAGACGUUGGAUCUUAGUGAAAAUUCUCUUGGGGGAGCACUCCCUUCAUGUUUGGAAAACUUGUCAUCUCUUCGUUAUUUGGAUAUUUCCGGUAAUCAAUUCAUCGGAAAAGGUGCCUCCACCGCUCUAGCCAAUCUCACAUCGCUUAGAUUCAUGUUUCUUUCACGAAAUCUAUUCGAAGUUCCAUCAAUUUUCAUGUCAUUUGCCAACCACUUACACCUCAAAGUCCUCUUUAGCGAUCAAAACAAGUUAGUCAGAGAGCCUACCAUUCAAACAUGGGUCCCAAAGUUCCAACUAAAAGCCUUCCUUUUCUCGAAUUGCACAACAAAGGAACUCCACAUUGAAAUUCCAAAAUUCCUCUACUACCAAAAUGAUCUGAGUAUGGUUGAUCUUUCAUACAAUAAUUUUUUAGGGAAGUUUCCUUUUUGGUUGUUAGAGAACAAUACAAGAAUGGGAGCAUUUUUAAUGAAGGGUAACUCUUUUAUGGGCCAUCUCAAUCUUCCAUCUCAUCCGAAACCAAAAAUGUCCCUUGUUGAUAUAUCUGACAACAAACUAGAAGGUCCAAUUCUAGCAAGCAUUUGUUCAAUCUUUCCACAACUAAAUGGGUUAAACCUAUCAGACAAUUUCUUUCAAGGAAAUAUUCCUCCUUGUUUAGGUAGUUUGAACACUACAUAUUUAAUAUUAGAUCUGUCACAUAAUCAUCUAUCUGGCGGAAUACCAGAAAUGUUAGCUCAAAGUGACUCGUUGGAGCUUCUUAGGUUAUCAAAUAAUGAUCUAAGUGGGAAGAUAGCCCCAACGAUCUUUUGCUCAUCUUCAUUACAAUUUUUAUAUUUAGAUGGCAAUAAGUUUGAUGGAAAUAUACCUGACAUUGAUAUCUCAACUUGUCAUCCGUAUCCUCUUAGUGAUAUGGAUUUAAGUAACAACAAUUUGUCUGGAGAGCUCCCAAGAUGGAUAUGGAAUAUGUCAUCUUUAAAUGCAUUAUUAGUAUCCAACAAUCAGCUCAAGGGUCUUAUUCCGAAGGAAUUGUGCCAUUAUUCCCUUCAAAUUUUGGACCUUUCAAAAAACAAUUUUUUUGGCCCAAUACCAUCUUGCUUCAAUGUACACAGUAUCAAACAUCUCCAUUUGAGCAAAAAUAGGUUAAGUGGUACCUUGACAAAUGCAUUCUUUAAUAGCUCUUCCUUGGUGACUUUAGAUCUUAGUGAAAACCAGUUGACUGGUGAAAUUCCAUACUGGAUUGGAAAUCUUUCAACUUUGAGUGUUCUCCUUCUAAAAGCCAAUUAUUUUAUUGGAGAAAUUCCCAUUAAGAUAUGUAAAUUGUAUUCAUUAAGCAUCAUUGAUCUUUCUCAAAACAAGUUUUCUGGUCUGAUACCUUCGUGUUUGAGUCGUUUAACUCUUGAGCCAAAUGAUAAAAAUCUUCGACAAUAACCUAUGGGUUGGAUUUUGAUGGAAUCUUGGAGGGAGCUAAUUAUAUUGGAAUGACCAGAUUGGAUUUGUCCGAUUUUGGAUUCAAUCUACAUUUCUUUAUUGAGAAUCUAGAAGAAAAGGUGGAUUAUACAACAAAGGGAGCAUCUCGCACAUACAAAGGAAACAUUCUUGAGUACAUGUCUGGAAUUGAUUUAUCAUGUAAUAGAUUAACAGGUGAAAUUCCCAGAGAGAUUGGAAAUUUGAGUGAAAUCCGAUCACUAAACUUGUCGCACAACAAUUUGACUGGAUAUAUACCGUCAACGUUCUCAAAGCUCAAGCAAAUUGAGAGUUUGGACCUGUCUCACAACAACUUAAUUGGAAGAAUACCUGUUCAAUUGACGGAGUUGUACGCCUUAGCAAUCUUCAAUGUGUCAUACAACAACUUGUCAGGGAGUAUUCCGUCUCCGAAAUUUCAAUUUGGAACCUUCGACGAAAGCAGUUACGUGGCGAAUCCUUUCCUCUGCGGGUCUCCCCUGCAUAAAAAUUGUAGCAACCUUGAUUCACUCCCGACAGCAGCACCAAAGAGCUCAAACGAGGAAGAAGAAAGUGGUUUGAUGGACAAGUAUGUUUUCUGGGUGACCUUUUUUGUUUCUUACGUAAUUGUGUUACUGGUUAUUGUUCUCAUCCUGUACAUAAAUCCUUAUUGGCGACAAGCAUGGUUCUCUUUUGUUGAACACUGCAUCAAGACCUGCCAGUAUUUUAUUGAGGACAAUCUUCUAUGAUUUUCCAUCUUCAAAAGAAGCGGGUAGCCUUGUGCUUUGGUGGUUUACAUCUGUAUGUAAAUUUUUUCAUGUGUUUCUAUUUUUCAAAGUUUGAUUGGGUUAUCUGCUUUUAAGUUUUUAGAGGUAGAAUACAAUAGCUCUGUGAUGUAAUAAUUGCCAGUUUAGUAUAAGAAAACAAUAUAUAAAACUAUGCAUUUUCAGUUAAAACAUUUAAUAUUGCUUUAUAAAUUUUAGUGUUGUGAUAGUAUAAUGUUAAAUUCAAUAUAUGUUUCCUUUUCCAUGAUUACGUAAAAGCGAAAUAUACAAAUCAUAUUAUAUUAAUAUAAUCCACAUUCUUUAAAUCAUAUGCUCAAUUGAAACUUAUAUAUAUAUAUUAUCAAACAUGAAUGAUAUAAACAGUCUUCGAAAAAAGUAUGAUUUUCAUGUUUAGUUAUUAUUAUUUAAUAUUUAAUUGUUUUACUAUUAUUUGAUAUCAAUAAUAUUUAUAUGUUUGUGAAUGUUGUUUGUUAUUGUCUCGUGAAAUAUUAUGUUAAAGAUAAAAGAAGUACUAAGUAAUAGUUCUUUUUAGGUGAAAUUUUGACUCAAGUUUGAAUGGUGAGUUAUUUUAUCUAAUUACUUACGUUUGGAUAGCAUAAAGUAAUUAAAUGGCACUUUUGUAAUUACAAAGAUUGUACUUGAUAGAUGAAAGAACUAGGUAAAGGAAGAAAAUAACUAUCCAAACAGAAAGAAGCAGAGAGUGAAAUAAUAGAAUAAACUUCUUGUUGUUUAUUCAAAUUUGCCUACCUCUUAAUUCUUAAUGUACAGUAUAUAAAGACUUUCUGAAUUAAGUAACAACCUCACUAACUGACUAACUACUUCUAUUCUCUAAUAUUCAUCCAUAUUCUCUAUAGGCAAGACCCGUAGAAAACUCCAAAAACGAGUAAAACUCGAUGACGAAAUUGGCUUAGUGAGAACAUCAGCGACCUGAUCACACGCUGGAACUUCUCCAACAGCAACCGUGCCAUCAGCAACCUUUUCACGAACAAAAAAUAAAUCUAACUCAACAUGCUUAAACUUUGAAUGAAGAACAGGAUUUGCAGCAACUGCAACCGCCCCAGGACUGUCACACCAAAUUUGAGGAACACUAUUAGACUGAACAUGUAAUUCUUUAAGUAGCAACAAAAGCCACGUAACCUCACUAGUAACUGCAGCAAGACUUCGGUAUUCUGCCUCAGCAGUAGACCGAGCAACAACCUGUUGUUUCUUCGUACACCAUGACACAGGUGUAUGUCCGAAAUAAACACAGUAUCCAGUAGUAGACCUCCGGUCAUCAAAAUCUAAUCCCCAGUUGCAUCAGCAUAUCCAACUAAGGACAAACUAGUGGAUGGACGAAACACAAUUCCAAAAUCAAUCGUACCACCUAAAUACCUCAAAAUGCGCUUCAGGGCAGUCAUAUGAAUGGAAGUAGGACAAUGCAUAAAUUGACAUAUUCGAUUAACAGCAUAGGCAACAUCAGGCCGCGUAAGAGUGACAUACUGUAAUGCUCCUGCAAGACUCCUGUAUUCAGUCGGAUCCUGUAGCCGCUCACCACCAUCGCGAGUCAUAACAGAGGAACUAACCAUCGGUGUAUGAACACUCUUCGUAUUCUCCAUCGAACAACGUAUAAGAAUAUCACGUAUAUACUUCUUCUGACAAAGAUGAAGGCAACCUGACGAAGAACGAUUAACCUCUAUCCCAAGAAAAUAAUGAAGAUCACCCAUGUCCUUAAGCGAGAACUCACUAUUCAGCAAAUUAACAAACCACUCUAUGACAGAAGGCAUAUCUCCAGUAAUAAUAAUAUUAUCAACGUACACAAGCACAUAUAAUGUUGACGCUGGUACAACUCGAACAAACAAGGAAGCAUCAGACUUUGAAACUACAAACCCCACGGAGACUAGAAAUCCUUUUAGCCUUUCAAACCAGGCACGAGGAGCCUGACGAAGACCAUACAACGCUUUCUUCAAGCGACACACCAAAGGUCUGCCAUCUGAGCCAUAUUGAACAUAACCGGGAGGUUGAUGCAUAAAAACUUCAGUGUCAAGGUCACCAUUUAGAAACGCAUUAUUCACAUCCACUUGUCGAAGCGACCACCCCCUAGACACAGCAAUAGACAAAAUAACUCUGAUAGUAGCCGGUUUGACCACUGGACUAAACAUUUCCUUAAAAUCACAACCCGGAACUUGAGAGCAACCUUUUGUAACUAAUCGAGCCUUAUAUCGAGCAAUAGUGCCAUCAGAAUUCUUCUUGAUUCGGAACAACCAUUUGCACCCAAUGACCUUACGAUUAUAUGGAGCAGGAACGAGCUCCCAUGUGGAAUUACGCAUAAGAGCAUUAUACUCAUCUUGCGUAGCAGUGCGCCACUCAACAGUAGCCAGAGCUUCUUCAAUUGUAGUCGGUUCAACAGCUUCAACACUUAAAACCUUAGGCUUGUAAACCCCUGCUUUAGCGUGAGUAACCAUUGGGUGAGUAUUGCCCACAGCUGUCCUAUUAAUCUGACUAGACAGUCCCAUAUUAGACGAAGAGAGAGCAUUGGUAUCACUGGAGAAUCCUGAGCCAUGCUCUGAUGGAAGAUCACUCAACUCAGUUCCAUCAUUAGCUGAAUAAUCAUGAGCUGGAAGACUACCCAACCCAGUCCUAACAUCAGUUGAAGGAUCAUGAAACUGGGGCUGCUCCACACUAACAUCUAAUACAGGAUCAGUAGGCUGAGACGACACCCCUUGUACCGACGGUGUCAUCAUGCAUGGCUCAAGAGUCGAGGAUGAAGGUGGCCACACAAGAGGAACAACUGUCGAACUAGUCUGACCGGUUGUUGAUACAGACUUGUCUGAACUAGUCUCGGUAAACAAAAACCUCUGCUCAUCAAAGACCACAUGCCUUGAAAUUAUAACCUUACCAUCUGGUAAAAGACAUUGAUACCCCUUGUGACGAGGACUGUAGCCCAAAAAAGUUGACGGCUGAGACCGAAAUUCCAACUUACGACCUACAAACGGACGUAAGUAAGGAUAACAACAGCAACCAAACACUCGAAGAUGAUCAUAGGUCGGAUCACUUCCAUACAGUUCUUUAAACGGAGAACUAUCCUGAAGUACAACCGUGGGAAGUCGAUUUAUGAGAUGAACCGCACAACAAAACGCAUACCCCCAGUAUUCCAUAGGCAAAUUUGCAUGAGCCAACAACGUAAUCCCCAUUUCAACAAUGUGACGAUGUUUUCGCUCGGCUACUCCAUUUUGUUCUGAAGUAUACGGACAGGUCAGUCGAUGAAUGAUCCCCUGAGAUUCUAAGACAGACGUAAACCCACGAUAUUCACCUCCCCAAUCGCUCUGAAACUGCUUAAUAGACUUGCCAAACUGUGUCUUAAUCAACUGUUGAAACUGAGUAAAACAUUCAAGUGCUUGAGCUUUUUGACGUAAAAGAUAAACCCAAGUAAACCUGGUACACAUAUCAAUAAACGAAACAUAAUAUCUCUUAUCACCACAUGCAACAGGUGCAGGACCCCAAAGAUCAGACACAACCAAUUCAAAAGGACGAUAGCUAGUAGUCGAAUGGGAGAAAGGCAACUUAUGUGACCUGCCUUUUUGACACGCAGUACAUAUACCAUCCAGACCAAUUUUAUUUGAAACAACAUUACAUUUAUUUAGAAUAUUUUUGACCACAGAAGUCGACGGGUGGCCUAAACGAUUAUGCCAUAAAGUAAAUACAGAAGUAGUUGAAACUGUAUGUGGAACUUGAGAAUGAGCAACAAACGGAGUAGUCGUAGGCAACGUAGAAACCGCUGGGACAGAAAACUGAUAUAGACCAUCAUGAAUGCGGCCCGUCAGCAAUAUCUCCUGAGUCAUCGUAUCCUUAAUAACACAAUAGGUAGGGUGAAACUCAAAAAACACAUCAUUAUCACGAGCAAACUAUGAGACAGAUAAGAGAUUUUUCCGUAUACGUGGCACACAUAAAACAUUUGAUAACCGUAACGAUUUAUCUUGAGUAGGUAAAAUGGCCGUACCAAUUGAUGAAAUUAUCGUAGGAGUACCAUCACCCAUUAAAAGAGAUGACUUACCUGAGUAUGGCGUGACAUUACGUAAAGCUGACAUAUCACGACAGACAUGAUGACUCGCUCCCGAGUCAGGAUACCAAGACGUGGUGCCACUGCACACUGGAAUGUACGAAUCAUCAUUACCAGUACUAGAUGCAAGCUGAGCCGUAUUAACAUGAGAAUCUGAUACUGAAGGAUCAGAAUAAUUAGACGCAUGUAAAUCCCCUAGCCGUGGAAGCCCAAUACAUGGAUUAGAUUCGGUAUAGACCCGAGCACGCGGUUUAGUAAAUUUCAGAACCGGACCACCAACACCUAGUCCAUCACCAAUCGGUUCAGGCGAGCCGGGAUCAUCUUGAUCAAGUUGAACAAAAUUAGAGGAUGGUACAAUAUUCGGCCCAGCAUUAAACUGAACAUUCAGUCCAUGAGAAGAGUGUUGAACAUUCGGUCCAUCAUUAAACUGGACAUUUUGUCCAUGGGAUUUGUUUCCACUAGAACCGCGCCACUGUCCAUUUCCAGUAGUGAACCCGUGUAAAGUGUCUCCACUAUACCCUUGCCCAGCAUCAUGACCGAAUUUAGACAAGCUGGGCUUGUAGGCAUCAUUUUGUGCAUUGGACACAUGUGGCCCACGUGGUAAUGGCCUAUUUUGCAUGCCAGCACACACAUUUUGACUAACAUAUCUAUUUUGACCAGCAUGACUCCCUUGACCAUAAAAAAUUCUUUGACUAUUCUGAUGAGGAGCAACCAUCUGUUCAUCACCAUUUUGCACAAAAGUUCCAGAAUCACAACCUUCAACACCAGACAUUUCAUUUGAGUCUCGGUGAUACCGAUAAUAGCACUUUUGAGCCACAUGACCAAACCGACUACAGAUCUGGCAUUGAACACAAGAUCUGAUAAACCGGCCACGACCACGAACAGACGCACGACCUCCACGACCGGCCCCUUCUACCGAUGGCUCAUUUUCAACAAGAUUCGCGUUCAAACUGACCUCCUGCAACACUCGAUCUUGACGACUCUCACAAUCGACUAGCGCAUCCACCAGACGUUGCAACGGUAGAACUACAGGCGACAAACGAGUAGAGGAGAUAACCGCCUCAAACUCCGACGGCAAACCCGCAAGCACCACUUCGAUCUUUUCUUCAUCGGAGAUACGAGAGCCAGAAGCAUCUAGCAUACCACAUAAAUCUUUAAUCCGAGCAACAUAAGCCUUAAUCGAAAGAUUACCUUUCUUCAACGAGUGAAGUUCAUGCCGAAUCCUCGACUGCUUGGCGCCCGUAUCAACUGCAAAAAGAUUACCGACCAUGCUCCAUAUGUCGCACGCCGUGCAAGCAUCAUCAAAGGAGGAUUGAUGAGAGGAAGUUACAGUAGACAGAAGCCAGGACAUUAGCAGUUGAUCUUGCUGCGUAAAGACUUGAGCCGCCGGAUUUGGAGCACGAGAUCCACCGGGUAGAGCGAUGAAUCGCAACGGCGGAGCAACAGUGCCAUCUAAAAAACCUGCGAGUCCAUAGCCAUUAACAAUCAGCUUUACCUGUUUACGCCAUUGAAGGUAAGUACCUUCAUCGAGUUUGACCACUUCAUGUCGAGGAAAAACUGUUGUGACUCGAUCGGCAGCAAAUACACCGGAGCUAGGUUCACCAGACGCUGAAUCAGCGGAAGCCAUGAGAAGCAAUGACCAGAAUCACUUGGCGAAUGAUACCAUGAAAGAACUAGGUAAAGGAAGAAAAUAACUAUCCAAACAGAAAGAAGCAGAAAGUGAAAUAAUAGAAUAAACUUCUUGUUGUUUAUUCAAAUUUGCCUACCUCUUAAUUCUUAAUGUACAGUAUAUAAAGACUAUCUGAAUUGAGUAACAACCUCACUAACUGACUAACUACUUCUAUUCUCUAAUAAUAGACGUGUUUGAGUGACACAAUUCCCUAUGUCAUGUUUGUUAAUAUAAAUUGUAAUUACAUAGUUACAUUAUAAAAUUUUUGGUGUUAAAUUUCGCAAAAUUCUGAUAAAAUAGUGAGGUUAACUGAGAAGCGAAUUUAUUAUUUUUGGAGCUUGUUAUUAUUUUUGAAAUUUUUAGUUAUUAAUGGGUAAUGAUGUCGACUAAGAAUCGAAUUGGCCCAAGGGACUAAAUUGAAAGAGGAGUGAAAAGGGAAAGUUUUUAAGUACUAAUAAGCCCAAGGGCUUAAUGGCCAAUUGGCCAUAGUCUUUUAAAGCACUAAAAAUCACGUCCUUUCUAGCCCUUAUUUUCAACUUCUCUCUUUGGCCGUCUGUCUACACUUGCACCGUUGAAAUCCCUUCAAAUCCUCGCCACUUUGUGUCUAAAUACCAUCAUCGAUUGCCACCACUGAUAUCAGCUGCAAUUGCUCUAAUUCACUGCGGACAAUUGCCUUAAUUUGUAGAUGCUCAUUAUUCACAUUAAAGUUUAUUUCUCUAAUGGAAUUGAUGCUAUGGUUAGUCUUAUUUUCAAAGAUGAUUAAGUUUCAUUUGAUUAGAAUUAGUUGGAAUAUGUGCGGUUAACUUCUAAUUAAAAUUAUUUAGUUUAAGAUUCAUUAAUAAAUUAUUUUUACCGUGGUUUCUUUGAUUUAUUGCUGUAAUUUUUUGUUUACUUUUAUUUGUUGUCAAAGGGUAAAUUAUCUGAUACUUUUACAAUGAACUUAGAAUUAUUUUUGAUGAAUUCGAAGCGAAAAACUAGAUAAUUCGAUGAAAGUGAAGCUGGUUGUGAAUUAAUUGCUCCUAAGCUACAAACACUAAGAAAUUCAGUUUGUUACCUUUACGUUUUAAAAUAUCUUAAUGUUGUUAAAUUAUUAGCUUUGUUGUGAUUCUUGCAUGUAAAAUUUUACUUGUGUAGUUGUUUAUUAAAUUGUUUUUAAUGAUGGCUCCUAUUGUUAAAUUGAUAUUCUUUAUUAAUUGAUUAUUUUCCGAAAAUUAUUGUUAAAAGUACGAAUUUAAUAAUUGACUAAAUACUUGAUAAAGUUAGUUGGAAAUUCUUCGGAUAUAAUUAGCAUGUUGUAGAGUGUAGAGGUCUCCAUCAUUGUUUGUUGUUCAUUGUGUGGAUUGCCUUAAGCAUAUGGGAGUAUUGUCAUUGUUGCCUCUUUGCGCAUAUAGUGUGAUGGUAGGUCAUUGAUUAAGUUGCAUUUAUUACGCAAUGCAGUACUGUCAUUGUUGACGCUUGUGCCAUUUUCAUUGACCGUUUGGUGUUUGGUUGGACACUCUUUUGUCCGAAUGUCUUUCCUUCUUGUGUUACUUAGGCAAAAUAAUUAAAUGAACUUAAACAUUAAAUUGAAACACUAUCAUUAUUUAUUGAAUGUAUUGCUAAUGUUUCAUUGUUAUUUUAAAUUGCUACCUUGUGACUGACUUGUGAUUGUAUUGUGUCUUUGAAAAUUAUUUUAAUUAUACACUUUGGUAGUUUAAAAUGUAUUGGAUUACUACUAAGCUGUAAAAAGGCAUAGCACUUGGGUUUUUAAUUUCUUGUGCAAGUAAUAUUUGGAUCGCAUAGUUUGUGAUAUCGUGAUCGAGCAACAUCACCAAAGAGUUUAGCAUGUACUUAGGUGUUGUUAAAUUGGUCAACUUGUUUACUUUAGUUUUAUUUUAGAGCUUAUUGAUUGAUUGAGCAUUGUUAAAUUAUUUUAUUAUUUGACUUUACACUAAUGUUUAAAUUUUAUGAUUUUAUGUGAAAAUGAUUGAAUGAUUGAUUAUUUGGGUCGCUCAGGUGACCGUUGUGACACUUUCGAUCCAAUUGAACUUUUGAGUCGGGUUUGAGGUGUUACAAACAUAAUUUAUAUUUUUUAAAAAAUAUUAAUUAGUAUAAAAAUUAUUAGUAUGAUCAAAAAUAAUUUCUAAACAAAUUGUCAAAACCAUUUUUUUGUAAAACGGGGGUCGACUUUUAUUUUGAAAACGAAAACGAACACAGGAGUCGCCACCAAUCCUUUUUGAUGAGGUGUGAUCGGGUCACCUCGAAAAGUUUUUAAUAAACGAUUUGCUUUUAUUAAAAUAACGAUUUUUGGUCCACGAAAUAAAAAAAAAACGGGUUCGGGAGUCGGUUACGUACGAGGAAGGAUUAACACCCUCGUAAUGCCCAUAAUUGGUACCUAGUUGAUUAAUUAGUGUCUUAGUGUCGAAGAUUGAAAACUUUGAAGAGUUUUUAAAAAUACGAUCCUUAAAAAAAUCGAAUAACAUGGGUUGGAAUUUAGGAUUCUCUUGUUCCGAAGGAAUAUCACAUCCAGCACGUUAGGAUACAACACUUUAAACCCUCGAAACCAAGAUUACCUUAUGGUGUCCAAAACCCAUACUUUGAAAUUUUAAGAGGAUAUUUGACUAUUUGGUCGAACGAGAAAUCGAAAUCCAGCACGUUAGGGCACGUUUUCUCGAAUUUCCAAACGCAAAAUAUUGCCUUAUUUUUAAAAUUUUCUUUUUUACAAAUUUGGGUAAAAUUAAUGUAAUAGUUAAUAAGAUGUACUUUUAAUAUAUGCGAACAUGGUGUGAAGGUGAAAAAUUUUUUUUACGCAAUAUAUAGUACAAUAAUAAUGAAAUAACAUAAAAUAACCAUAUUAGUAGAAUAUUUAAAAAGUAAAUAAUAAAUAAUGGAAUACAAUAAUAAUGACGUAAUUAUAAUAAUAACACCAAAUAAUAAUAACAAUAAUCAUAUUAGUUACUAUUCUAAUACUAAAAAAAUAUAAAAAUGAAAUAAACACUAAUAAUGAUGAUGAUAAUAAUAAUAGUGAUAAUGAUAAUGAAAUGUAUAAAUAAAGGAAUAAAUAACAAUAUAAAUACUAAAUCAAGAAUAGUAAGGAAAUGGAUAAAUGAAUAUGUAUAAAUAAAUAAAACUGAACGAAAAAGAAUAAAUAAAUAAAUAAAAGCUUGAAAUUAAGCGAAUAAAGGAAUAAAUUGAGGUUAAAAUAAAAUUUUAAGUCUAGAUUAUAAUAAAAUGGAUGGAUAAACGUAAAAGGGACUGGAUCAAAUUUUGAAUGGAAUUUAAAGGUAUAAAUCGGAAUAAAAAAAUGACGUAAAGGACCACAUUGAAAAGCGCGAAUAACAUAGAGGGGCCAAAUGGGAAAAUAUUCCCGCCCUUCAAAACGCAUCACUUUACACGGGGCUAAAAUGCAAUAAAAGCAAAAUUCUAGGGCAAGAUCAAAAAAAGAACACAAAAAAAUUCAAAUUGAAGCGGGCCGAGGAAGCGGAAAGACUGAACAAGUAAAUAUCCCUUCCACUUAAAAAAACACGCGGAUCCUUAUCCUGGAGCGGGUUGGGUCAACCCAUUUCGCAUCAAAACGACGCCGUUUUGAUAAGUUAUAUAAACCAAAUUUUUACCAAAAGUUUUAUUUUGCCCAUUAUUUUAAAAAAAACUUUAAAAAUCUUUCAAAAUUUCUCUCAAGCCUUCCCGCGUCUGGCCAUAACUCCGACCAGUCGUCACCGUACCGUAACCUUAUCCUUUCGACCCUCCUAAAUCCAAAUCUGGGUUCAAAAUUCCCAAAAUAUUAACAAAAAUACCUCAAAAGCUCAAGAAACCUUUCGAUUUUCGGUCACCUAUCCUCAGAGGUGACUUCCUCAGCCAUCCACGGUGUUGAAAAACUCGAAUACAGGUUAGUUUGUUACUCCCUUUUCAUUUUGUUUUACUUUCGUAUGUGUAAAUAUGAUAAAAAUAAAAUAACAGUAGACCAAAAAUGAAACGAAGAUUUAGAAAAUAGCAGUAGAUGUAAACCUUUCGGGAUUUUUCUAAUUAUUUUGAGUUUUUCGAGUAUUCGAUCCCUUUUUUUAUUACAUUGAUUGAUGGGGCCUUUUAUAGCCGAUUUACAUGCUAUUUUUUGUUUGCUUUCGCUUUUGUUCUUGUUGAUUCUGUGUCUGUCUCUUUUUUGUUCUGUUUGCAGGUCUUGGCAAGGUCAACAGAUGUUGAAGGGAUAACCCCUGCCAUUUUCGUACAAGGCUGUAGACGCCUGUCAGGCUUCGGGCGACGAGUGCGCUAUAGGGGCACGAAGAGGGAGUGCGGCACACAUGGAGCACUAGGGUUUCUGUUUUCCUCUGAAAGCAGUUAGGUUGUGGGCUGAAUUGGGUUAGGUUUUCUUUUUUAUUUUGGGCCAUACCAGGCCUGGCAUGUAAUUAGGGUUUGGGUUUGUUAUUUGAGUUUUGGGCCCGGUCAAAAAUGGCCUAUUACAGCUGCCUAUCUUUGCUUAUUGUCGUGUAACGGGAAUGAAACAAAGACUUUAAAAGGGCCAAUUUUGCCCGGUCUUGCCGAGUCUUGACUCCUUUUAGUGUUUCUCUUUUCAAGUAGCUUCACUCUAUUCCACUGUGUCUUGUUGCUUCAAUACACUCCACUGUAACUUCAAAAAGAGAUACGACUUGUAGCUUCAAUCUACUCUGCCAUAAUUUCAGAAGGAUGAGAUUUAUGGUUUUAGUCUGCUCCACUAUAACGUCAGGGAGAUAAGACUUGUUGCUUCAACCUACUCUACUGCGACUUCAAGGAGAUAAGGUCUGUUAUGGUAGACUUAAUCUGACCUACUGCAACUUCAGAGGUAUAUGAUUCAUCGUUUUAAUCCGCUCCACUUCAACUUCAGGGAGAUAGGAUUAAUAGCUUCAAUCUACUCCACUACAACUUCAGAGAGAUAAGAUUUGUGGCUUUAAUCUGCUCCACUGCUCUACUGCAACUUCAGGGAGAUAAGGUUUGAUGUGAUCUGCUCUACUGCAACUUCAGGUUUCAAUCUGUUCCACUGCAGCUUUAAGGAAAUGAGAUUUAUAGUUUGUCUUCAAUCUACUCCACUACAACUUCAGGGAGAUAAGAUUGGUUUAUUUUUUAACCUGCUCCACUGCAACUUCAAGGAGAUAAGGUUUGAUGUGAUCUGCUCUACUGCAACUGCUCCACUACAACUUCAGGGAGAUAAGGUUUGAUGUGAUCUACUCUACUGCAACUUCAAAGAGAUAAGAUCUGUAAUUUAUAGCUUAAAUCUGUUCCACUACAACUUCAGGGAAAUGAGAUUUAUAGCCUGUCUUCAAUUUUCUCCUCUACAACUUUAGGGAGAUAAGAUUGGUUUAUUUUUUAACCUACUCCACUGCAACUUCAGAGAGAUAAGGUUUGUCAAGAUCUUCAAUCCAUCCCACUGCAACUUCAGAGGCAUAAAAUUUGCCGCUUCACUAAUCUAUUAUGCGGUGAACUUGACCUGUGGAAUCCAUUUCAUAGACCUAUUUAUGCCUAGUGAUUAGGAUGUCAUAAAUCAGAAUGAAUCAAAUGCUCCUAACUAGGUGUGUAUGAAUGAUAUUUGCAUGAAUGCAGAACAUCAUUUUUUGAGAAUAAUCCCUCUUUAAUGUUUGGGUUAUCAUUGCUCAUUGUUCAUCAAGGUUUUAUCGUUAAUGCAUUACCCUACCUUCUUGUUCAACUGGUGUCUUUAACAGAAAAUCCAAAGAAAUAGUCACAAUUUAGACUAUUCUUUUUCAAAUGUUUCCAACCCUCAGGUUUGGUUAGUUCUAAACAAUAAUCCUGUUUCGAGUCCUCGUAUCAUUUAGAAGCUUUCAGAGUAAUAUGCAGAACUUCUUUUGCUUGAAUAUUAUUGAUCCAUUAAUUAUUAUUUCAAUGAAAAAUGCUUGGAAAGAAUUAUCACAAUGGACAAGAUGGAAUUUCAUUAGGAGCAAAGCUCGAACUGAAUGAAUUAAUCAAGAUAACAAGUUUUUUCCAAAAUUACAAAAUGAGAAUCAAGACAACGUAUUUUGCCAAAAUAAAAAAUGAAUGAAAUGGAAUAGGUGCCUUAGAUAUCGUAGUAUGAACUUCUCUGCACAAAGCCUUUGGAGGACCACUUUAAACUUGAUAGAUGUCCAGGAGGUCCGCAGUAUUUCGUUGAUGUCCCAAGACGCAUAAUCUCUCUUUCUUGUUAAUUCAAGCAUAGUAAAAAUUGUCGCAUGCCCCACCUUUGAUCACAAUUUGAAUUGCCCUUUUUCCCCAGGUUUUCAAUUCAAAACCCCUUUGGUCUCAAAGUGCCCUUCAUGGGUUUUCGCCUUGGCCUCUCCUCUUUUGUUUUAGGCGAGGUACUUUUUCAUUGAAUUCGAAUUCACAGGAUUAGGCAGGAUUUUUCCAUCCAUCUCAGUCAAAAUUAACGCUCCUCCAGAAAAGGCCUUCUUUACUACAUAAAGUCCCUCACAGUUUGGCAUCCACUUUCCUCUAAAGUCUUUUUGUAUGGGAAGGAUCUUCUUCAGUACCAAAUCCCCUUCAUGAAAUUCCCUAGGACGAACCUUCUUAUUGUAAGCUCGUAUCAUUUGCUUCUGGUACAUUUGACCAUGACGGAUAGCUCUCAACCUCUUUUCUUCGAUCAAGUUUAGCUGAUCAUAUCAAGAUUGGAUCCAUUAUGCUUCGUCUAACAUUAGUUCUGAAAAAACUCGGAGAGAGGGAAUUUCAACCUCAAUUGGCAGUACUGCCUCCAUUCCAUAAACCAAAGAGAAAGGCGUUGUCUCGGUAGAGGUCCUGACAGAUGUUCGAUAAGCAUAGAGGGCAAAUGGUAACUUCUCAUGCCAAUCUCUAUAAGUCUCAGUCAUUUUUCCCACAAUCUUCUUGAUGUUUUUAUUGGCUGCCUCCACUGCGCCAUUCAUUUUCAAGCGAUAUGGCGAUGAAUUGUGGUGCUUGAUCUUGAAUUGACUACAGACCUCCGCUAUCGUGUUGUUGUUCAAAUUCAAAGCGUUGUCAGAUUUAAUCCUUUCGGGUAUCCCAUACCGACAUAUGAUCUCCUUUUUUAGAAAUUUACUGACGGUCGAUUUUGUGAUGUUGGCGUAAGAAGUAGCUUCUACCCACUUAGUAAAGUAGUCAAUUACUACGAAGAUGAAUCGAUGCAUGUUUGAAGCUUUUGGUGAUAUUGGUCCAAUGACGUCCAUGCCCCACAUGGAAAAAGGCCAUGGAGAAGUCAUGACAUGAAGAGGUGAAUGAGGCACAUGAAUUUUGUCCCCAUAAAUCUGGCAUUUAUGGCAUUUCUUAGCAUACUUGAUGCAGUCCCUUUUCAUGGUGGACCAAUAAUAUUCGAAUCUCAUGAUUUGCCUGGUCAUUGUAAAACCAUUAACGUGUGUUCCAUAGACACCAUCAUGAACCUCUUCUAAGAUUUGCUUAGCCUCAAUAGCGUCCACGCAUCUUAGCAACACUUGAUCAUUUCCUCUUUUAUAUAGGAUCUCUCCAUCCAAGACGUAGUCAUUAACCUGCCUUCUUAACGUCCCCUUGUCAUCCUCGCUUUCUUGGUUUGGGUAUUCCUGACUCUUCAUGUAUUGUAAUAUAUCGCGAUACCAAGGGUGAUCACCCUUUUCCUCUUCUUUGUCGACAUUGCAACAGUGGGCUGGUGCUUCAUAAAUGCUCAUUCUGAUGGGCCUCACAUCCUUUGUUUAUUUACUUUGAUCAUAGAAACCAAAGUAGCCAAAGCGUCGGCCAUCUGGUUUUCUUCUAGCGAAAGGUAAGAGAAGGUGAUGUCAUCAAACUCGUCAAUUAGCCCUAUAACCAGCUUUCGGUAAUUGACUAAUUUGCGAUAUCUUAUCUCCCACUCCCCUUUGAGCUGAAAAACCACCAGUACAGAGUCCCCAUAUACCUCUAACACUUUAAUCUUAUGUUCCAUGGCUGUACGAAUCCCCAUAAUACAUGCUUCGUACUCGGCCAUAUUAUUUGUGCAAUCAAAACCCAAUUUACAGGUGAAUGGAUAAUGAUCUCCGCUUAGGGAUACCAAAACUGCCCUAAUUCCGUUGCCUACAGCAUUUGAAGCCCCGUCGAAGUUUAAUUUCCAAGCACCGCUUUCUUGAGUGUAUUUUUCAACAGUUCCCACAUACAUCAGAUCCUUAUUUAGGAGAUCAAAGUUCAAAGGCUCAUAGUCUUCUAGAGCUCGACUAGCUAGAAAAUCUACUAUCGCGCUUCCUUUUAUAGCUUUUUGAUUCACAUAGACUAUGUCAAAUUCAGACAGUAGAAUUUGCCAUCUGGUCAUCCUUCCAUUUAGAGCGGUUUACUCCAUCAUGUAUUUCAGAGGGUCUAGUUUCAAGAUUAACCAAGUCGUAUGGUACAACAUGUAUUGUCGCAACCUCCGAGUAGUCCAGAUUAAGGCGCAACAUAAUUUUUUGAUUGGGGAGUAUCUUGUCUCACAUUCGGUGAACUUCUUACUGAGAUAGUAUAUUGCUUUUUCUUUUCUUCCCAACUCAUCAUGUUGGCCGAGCACGAAUCCGAUGGAGUUUUCAAAUACUGUUAAAUAUAGUAUCAGGGGCUUGUCUGGGCAAGGCGGUGUUAGUACUGGAGCGUUGGACAAGUAAUACUUGAUCUUGUCAAAGGUUUUCUGGCACUCCUCGUCCCAUAUGCCCGGAUUAUGUUUCUUAAAGAGACGGAAGAUAGGGUCACAUUUUUCAGUUAACUGUGAAAUAAACCGAGCAAUGUAGUUUAGUCUUCUUAGAAAACCCCGGACUUCUUUCUGAGUGCGUGGUGAAGGCAAUUCUUGUAUGGCCUUGACUUUGUCUGGGUCAAUCUCAAUUCCCCUUUCACUGACUAAAAGUCCUAGCAACUUUCCUGAUCUAGCCCCGAAAGUGCAUUUGGCUGGGUUAAGUUUUAGCUGGAACUUCAUUAACCUUAGGAACAGUUUUCUCAAUACUUGCACAUGUUCUCCUUCUGUCCUAAACUUUACAAUCAUGUCAUCAACACAGACUUCUAUCUCUUUAUGCAUUAUAUCAUAGAACAAAGUUACCAUGGCUCUUUGGUACGUUGCCCCUGCAUUCUUUAAUCCGAAUGGCAUCACCUUAUAGCAAAAUGUUCUCCACAUAGUUACAAAUGUGGUCUUAUCCAUGUCUUCAGGAUGCAUUUUUAUCUGAUUAUACCCCGAGAAGCCAUCCAUGAAGGAGAAAAGUGAGUAACCUGCUAUGUUGUCCACCAGAGUGUCGAUAUGGGGUAACGGAAUAUUGUCUUUUGGACUAGCUUUGUUCAAAUCUCUAUAAUCUACGCACAUCCGUACCUUCCCAUCUUUCUUAGGGACAGAGACUAUGUUGGCUACCCAAUCCGAGUACUUGACCACUUGUAAGAACCCCGAGUCGAACUGCUUCUUGACCUCUUCUUUUAUUUUUAACAAAACAUCAGGCCUUAUUCUUCGUAGCUUCUGUUGCACCAGUUUACAUUCUUCUUUUAUGGGCUGUCGGUGUACUACAAUAUCAGUACUUAGGCCAGGAAUGUCUUGAUAGGUCCAUGCAAAGACAUCUUUAAACUCUUGAAGUAAUCCAACGAGGUCUCGUUUUGUUUCCUCAGUAACGCAAGCGCCAAACUUUACUUCUUUCUCUUCUUCUAAACCCACUACUUCCACGGAUUCCUUAUAAGGUAAGAUUUGUUUCUCUUCUUGCUCCACCAUUCUUAACAAAUCAGGAGAUAAUACGCUGUCUUGGUCAUCUUCAAAACCCUGACGAUCAUCCGUACUCAUGUCUUGUUCAAAUAGGGACUUUGAGUCAGUAACAGCGUCGCUCACAUCAUUGAUAUCUGAAGACCUGUUAUUGGGAGAAAGGAAGGUCCAAAGAAAGAAGAAUCUAAGCAUAAUUGUUUACACAGUAUGAUUAUAAAUUGAAUGAAAAGAAUAGAAGAAUAUUUGCUCAAAAUGAGACUGAAUGAUGUGUUUUCAUUGAAAUAAGAUUUUGGACAUGUGUCUUUUACAAAAUAUUCUUAUUGCCCCCAGGCUUAGGGCAACAAGUGUUCUAGAUAUUACUCUGAAUUAGUUCUAAAUGUUAUAGGGAUCUCUUCUGCAGUCUAGUUGUCUAGAACACUUCCAGGUUCGUAAGGGCGGAUGCCUGAUACACUUCCUUCUUCGAGUUCUUUUUUGAAUAUGGCAUUGAUGUUCAGGUUUUCUAACAUUUCCUCCGUAGUAUCCCUUCUUGGUGUCCUUCGUUCAGGAUAAAUAGUUCCCCCUGAUAUAAAGGUCCUAGAUAUGUGGGGGAAGGUCAUAGGUUCCCAAUCGACUUCUUUUCCACUCAAACGCGCCUUCCUCUUCUCUUGUCUUUUUUCUAACUCUUUCCUUCUUUACUUCGCAUUUGGCUUAGAUCCUAAACCAAAGCGGUCUCGUUUAUCUUUUAUCAUUGGUACCUCUAUCCUUCAUUGAAGACAUCUUCCGAAUCCUCUCCCAGACACUGCUCCUUUUCCAAUCGUCAUUUGCAGUCCCAUCCUCGUAGUUUUGGAUAUGCUAGGCAUCGUGAUCUUAUUCCCCUCAACAACAAAAGUUGCGUUCACGAAUUCUAAGGAUCAAAAGGAACAUUCAAUCGCCUCAUCAUUCGUUUCUAAAUAUGGUGUGUCGCUGGUUACCGAUGCAAUAAUGUCUUCUUUAGCGCUUAUAGUAACUAGUCGGCCUUCUAUUACCAAUUUCAACUUCUGGUGCGAUGAUGAAGGCACUGCUCUAGCUGAAUGAAUCCAAGCUCUUCCCAACAAGUAAUUAUACGAAGGUUUGAUAUCCGUCACUAGGAAAUCUACCUUGUAUGUAUUCGGGCCAAUCAAGAGAGGUAUUUCUAUUCUUCUCGUUACUUUUCUUUCAGUGCCAUCAAAUGCUCUCACUAUAUUCUGGCAUGAUUUCAUGUGAGAGUUAUGCAUCGGUAACCUGUUUAAGGUGGAUAAGGGUAAGACAUUCAAGGCCGAUCCAUUAUCAAUUAACACCACCGGAAACGUGUAUCCCUUGCAGCGAGUGGUGAUAUUUAGGGCUUUGGUGGCUCCUCUCCCCCCCCCCCGAUGAUAUUUCAUUAUCAUUAAAGAAGAUGAAGUUGUCGGCACUUAUAUUGUUAACCAAGCAGUCUAACUUGUUCACCGAGAUAUCGUUAGCGACAUAAGUUUCAUUUAGUACUUUUAUCAACGCAUUACGAUGUGUCUCUGAACUUAGAAGCAACUUAAGCACCAAGAUGCAAGCUGGUUGCUUAUGUAGUUGUUCCACCACGCUAUACUCACUGUGCUUUAAGAAUUUUAGAAAUUCUCUAGCCUCAUUUUUAGUUACCGGCUUGUUAACAUGCGAUUCAAUUCUAAUCGUUUUUGCUUCCCCUCGCUCAACCGCUAAGGUUUUUCCUUUUGUGGUUUCCACUCUUGCAUUUGUCGAAUCGUAGCAUUUUUCGCUUCGUGUAUAGAAGCCUAUAUCAUCACCCUUUUUUGAAGUAUUUAUUGGGUUCUCUUCUCCCGGGAUCGUCACGUUGCACUCGUAAUUCCAAGAAACCCAUUUGCUAUUCUUAUAAAGAAAUUAUAUGGGUUUUUAGAUUAUGACCCUUGGCGCUAUUUCUAUUCCAGAUUCUGUGCUCCUUGGCCUUGAAAUAAUCACCACUGAGUGAUUAACCCUUUGGGCUUCCCCGUAGAUUCUUCCUCCGAGGUGUAAAUUUCCCCUUCUUCUAAUCCUUCAACCUUUUCAUAAAACUUCAACUCUUUGUUAUCCAUUAAGUUUUGCAUCAUGGUUCUGAACUCGGUGCAUUUUUAAGUGUCAUGGCCCUCUUCAGCAUGGAACUCGCAAUACUUCAUCGUCCCUUUGGGCCUCUCCGUUGAAUCUUGCUUGAUAAAACCUCCCUCUAUCAUUCGUUUCCAAACCCAUUUCAACGGGGUUUUUAUCUCUGCUACGUCAGCUUUAACUCUCCUUCCCCACUCUCGAUUAUUGCGUUUACCUCUUUAUCAGAAUGAUUGGUUAACGGAUUCCCUGCUACAUUUGGUUCUGGUGGGUCGUCAAACUUUACAAUCCCCAUCUUAAUGAAUCUUUCCACCAUCUUCUUAAACGCAGUGCAGUUCUCAAUCGAGUGUCCCGUUAUCCCUGCUUAGUAUUCACAUUGGGUAUUCACGUCGUACCAUUUAGGGUAUGAAGGUUGCAUGGGUUUCAGAUAAAAUGGAGACACGACGUGUGCAUCGAAUAGAUUCUAAUACAGUUCUCUAUACGUCAUUGAGAUACGUGUGAAUUGGGGUCUUUCUACAUUCGACCUUGGAUGGGAUUCCUGCCUUAAAAAGCCUUGAUGGCUAGUGGUUAUUGCUCUUGCUUGUCCCACCGUGAUUGGUUUAGAAUAGCCUUUGUUAAACAUACUUGCAUUGUUUAUCUCGUGCUCUUUCUUUCUUGGGGCUGACCUCUUGGCACUUUCCCCCGCUUCUAUCUUGCCGCAUAUUAUUGUAUUCUCUAUCAUUUCUCCAGACAUCACUAUGUCUGAAAAGCUUUUAGUGGCGCUGUCUAACAUGUGAUUGAUGAACAGAGCCUUCAAAGUAUUGAUGAAAAGCAUGGUUGUCUCUUUCUCCAGAAGUGGUGGUUAGACUUGCAUUGCUAUUUCUCUCCAUCUUUGGGCGUACUGUCUGAAGCUCUCACUAGGCUUCUUUUCCAUGUUCUGUAAUGUAAUUCGACCGGGUGCUAUAUCCUUCACAUGACUGUACUGCUUCAUAAAAGUCUGUGCCAAGUCCUUCCAUAAAUUGACUUUAGUCUGGCUCAAUUGGUUGUACCAUUUAGCCGCCGACCCGAUCAAGCUGUCUUGGAAAUAGUGCAUCAAUGUUGAUCAUUAUUGAUGUAUCCUGUUAUCCUUCGACAGAACAUAGUGAUAUGAGCUUCAGGACAGCUAGUCCCGUUAUACUUUUUAAACUUUGGCAUUUUGAACUUAGGUGGAAGCACCAGAUCAGGAACCAAACUCAAGCCUUUGGCGUCAAUUCCACAAUGGUAGUCGGCGUUCUCCAUGGCUCUAAAUUUCUCCUCUAUCCAUCUACACGAUCCUCAAGUUGUUUUGGCAAGUCCAUUCUUACCUUUUCUAUUUCUGCCACGUCAUCGAGAUCAGGGACCACGGGAUUGGUAGGGUUAUCCCCGGGAUUAGAACCCGAGCUUAUUGGAAAGUUCAUUGACACUAGGGCCCCAACCUGAUAUUGGGAUCUGAUAGUGACAGGUACCCUUCAUGGGUACACGUCCGGUUGCGCUUAGAUGUUAGUUAGGGUAAAACCUGGAGGAUAGGCAGGGUCUUCAUGAUCAUCCCCAGAAUUGACCACAGGGCUCUUCCCUUUAUCAUUUUCUCCAGCCAUUAACUGUGUUAACUAGCUCAAUAAAUUUCUUUGGGAUUCUUACAUGUCUUGUUGCAUUUUAGCUAGUUUUUCCUGCAUCUGAACUUGCAUCUCUUUUCACAAUUGUUCCAAUCUUUCUAAUAUCUGAUCCAUUACUUUUGUCUUGCGGCGGGUACCGUAGUGAUAUAUAGUUGGCUGAUUUUUGUUGGUUUCCAAGGUAACUGUCAUAAUUUUAAUUAAUUAGGGCUCUUUUUUGAAACUUUAAUGCAUAUGAUGAGAUGUAAUGCAAAUGAAUCAAAGCAAAAAGAGGCAUUGAUUCUAAUUCAAUUUCAUUAGAAAAACUCGAUUAGAAAACAAAUUUCUUUACAUAAAAUGGAUUACAUAUAUGGCUUCGCCUUUAUACUCAAAGCCUUAACCCUCUUAAGGAGCCAAGCUAACUCUCAACCUCGGCUUGAUUCUGAUUCAUAUUUUAAACUCAAUACAUCAGCCUGAACUGCUAAGGUUUGCAGAUGAUCAGCUACUUCCUGCACUUAAGUUACAACUUCACCCAUAAUGUAAUCUUUAUCUCUAAUCUGACUUUGGGAAUGAUGGAGCUGUUCUUGCCACUGUUCGUUACGCCUCUCAAGAAGUUCCACUCGUAAUUCAGAGUUUUGCAAUGCGUCUUCGAGCUUUUCUAUUUUCCCCUUCAAUUUUUCGAUCUUUCCUAAACUUGCUCUUAACUUGAUCAUUGAGUUGCGACUACGGUACAGGUGAAGCGACUUUUCUAACUAUACUACCCGAGCUUUUAAUCUCGCUUCUUCAUUUCAACAUUCUAACAAGUUUUUCUCUAAAGCUCUCUCUCGAGCUUGGGCGUCUUAAAAUUUCUUUUCCCACUGAUCAGCCAUGGUCUUUUCUUCCUUGAUCUCCUGUCGCCAUUACUCCGACGUUUUACCUAAACCGACAGUUCUUAUUGACAAACGCAGCUUCUUAUAAUCUAUUUUUAGACUAUCUAAAUCCUCUUCAGCCUUGUUCUUCCCUUUCCUUAAUUUUUCGAUUUUUAACUUGUGGAUAUCGACAUCUAGUCCCAAACGCAUCUUUUCCUCUUCUAGCUGCUCUAUCUUCUUUCCUAACUCUGAACUUCUUUUUUCAAAGUCCUGUUUGAUGAUCUCUAAUUCUGAUGGAACUUCUUGUAGAUGGUCCUCUAUAGAUCGAAUGCAUUCUUUUCUCGACCCGGAGAUGUUGUUAUUGACCCUCUUACUCCAACACCCAUAAUAUUCGAAAGUUGUCAUUGCUCUUACGGUAAAUCUUUUCAUCCGGUGAACUUGUUUCCAAGCGCUAAACAUUUCUCGAAUCUUUCUCUUGUAGUUAUCACCCUUAUAAGAAAACUCACACUGAGUCAGCCCUUAUGUUGUCGGUAUGAACUAUCUUGAUUUAUAUUGUCUUAAUACGAGCAAAGGGGUAUAUUCGACAGCUCUCCAAAUUCUAAGUAAAAGGACCAAGUCGAAGUUUUCACAUCGAUAUAGGAUAUCGUCGGGCACCAUCCAAUGAGCUUUCCAUUCAACAUCUUUCUCUUGAAGAGUUUGGAGAAUCACCAUCCAUUUCUCUUCUGUGAUGUCGUUUCAUCUUGGUGUAGCCACUAGUUCCUUUAAUGGGGAGUAGUUUUCUAAGAAUACCCAAUAGGAGACCUUUUUCCACUUUCCAAAAGUGUCUAUGGAACCACACCAAUAAUAGUUGCGCGCAUCCGAUGAACCUUCCUUCACCCGCUCUUCGACACGCAUUUAGAGAUCUAAAAGUUUCAGCCAAUAUUGCUGAGACCGGUGUGACCCCCUUGUCAAGCCUAUCAAACAGAUCUGAAACUGCUUCAUCCACAUGCCCUAAUGCCUUGGGGAAAAUAACUAAACCAUAAAUGCUCAAGACAAAGAUAUCAACUCACUUGGUGCAAAAAUCAUGAAAAACCAGCUUGAAUAAACCCUUAGGACGUUUUUGGCUGAUGAGAAUGCAGAAAAAUAAAGAGAAAUCUAGAUAAUUCCACUUUAGUCCUAACUUUUAAAGUAAAUUUUUGCAAUAUUCUAAUUUUACCCUUAAUUCUCCAAUUCUCCUUAUUUUUCUCAGCUUGUGCCGCCCAAAAUAUCUUCUUUUGGGCUUAUUUACAAUUUAUGUCCCUCCUUAUUUAACAAUGGAGCUAUUUAAUCCUUCUAGUAACUUUUACACCUUUUUUAAUUUAGUCCUUUUCACUUAAUUGACUGCCCAAACAUUAAAAUUUUCUAACGAAAUUUUAAUACCAUAUUACUAACAUUUCAUAAAUAUUUAUAAAAAUAUUUUUGACUUGGUUUUAUGAGAUCGAUGUCUCGAUACCUUGUUUUUACCCAAUUUCUUCAAUAAUUUCUUUUUCUAACUAACCACUAAAUCGGUAAAAUUUUUCUAUCGAUAUUUUCAUACGAUUUUCUAUCAUAUCAAUAUUCAUGCAAAAAUAUUAAAAUAAAUUUCUUUUAAAAUCGGAUUUUUGGUUAUGAAACCACUGUUUCGAUAACCUUGAAUUUAGGCCAUUACAACUCUCCCCCCUUAGGGAUUUUCGUCCUCAAAAAUCUUACCAGUAAAGAGGUUCGGGUAUUGUUUCCUCAUUGCCUCCUCUGAUUCCCAUGUCGCUUCCUUAAUCCCGUGCUUUUUCCAUAAUACUUUCACCAAAUUUAUCUUUUUAUUUCUAAGCUCAUUUAUUUCCCGUGCUAAUAUCUUAACCGGUUCUUCACUAUAAGUCAUAUCCGGCUGAAUCUCCACUUCUGUCAGAGAAAUAACAUGUGAAGGAUCUGAUCGAUACCGUCGUAGCAUAGACACAUGAAAAACAUUAUGAAUUCUAUCGAGUUCCGGUGGUAAUGCCAAUCGAUAAGCGACCGCGAGUUCCGGUGGUAAUGCCAAUCGAUAAGCGACCGGUCUAAUUCUUUCUAUAAUUUCAUAUGGCCCAAUAAAUCUUGGACUCAACUUACCCUUUUGACCGAAUUGGAGAACUUUUUUCCAAGGAGACACUUUUUUGGAAUACCUUAUCACCCACCUAAAAUUCAAUCUCUUUUCGUUUAAGAUCAGCAUAUGGCUUUUGACGAUCGAAAGCUGCUUUUAGACUAUCUCGAAUCAUCUUGACUUUUUCUUCUAUUUCCCGGAUCAAAUCAACCCCAUGUAUCUUCUUUUCACUAAGCUCUGUCCAAUAUAAUGGUGUUCUACAUUUUCUACCAUACAAAGCUUCAUACGGAGCCAUUUUAAUACUGGACUAAUAACUGUUAUUAUAAGCAAAUUCAAUCAAAGGUAGAUACCUCUCCCAAUUACCUUCUAACUCUAAUAUACAACAUCGGAGCAUAUCUUCCAAUACCUGAAUUACACGCUCAGAUUGGCCAUCUGUCUGAGGAUGAAAUGCAGUGCUGAAAUACAAUUGAGUACCCAAGGCUUCUUGCAAUUUGUCCCAGAAACGAGAUGUAAAUCGGGGAUCUAUAUCUGAUAUAAUAGAUAUUGGCACUCCAUGUAGCUUGACAAUCUCAGAUAUAUACAGUUCAGCCAAUUUAUCUAAAAAAUAAUCCAUAAGUACUGGGAUAAAAUGUGCUGAUUUUGUUAAUCGAUCAACGAUCACCCAAAUGGCAUCUUUCUUAUUCGGUGACAAUGGUAACCCAAAUACAAAAUUCAUAGUAAUUCUUUCCCACUUUUAUUCCGGUAUAGUGAUUGGCUGAAGUAACCCCGAAGGUACCUGAUGUUCAACUUUAACCUGCUGACAUAUUAGGCACUUUGAUACAAACUCAGAAAUAUCACGUUUCAUACCUGGCCACCAGUACAUCUUCUUCAAAUCAUUAUACAUUUUAUUACCUCCCAGAUGUACGGACAUAAUACCACUGUGUGCCUCGUGUAAAAUCUUCUGUACAAGCUCUGAAUUCUUCGGUACACAUACUCUGCCUCUGAAUAAUAAACAACCAUCAGUCCCAAUUUGAAAUUCUGAAUCAUUACCUGACUCACAUUGUACCCAUUUAGCCUGUAGCUUUUCAUCAUUUUUCCGAGCUUCAUAUAUUUGUUGUAGAAAUGUCGUUUAACUCUCAACUCAGCUAUGACUGAACCAUUAUCAACCAAAGACAAUCGGGUAUUCAUAGCUCGCAAAGCAAACAAAGAUUUUUGACUCAGAGCAUCAGCUACAACAUUAGCCUUACCCAGAUGGUAAUCAAUAACCAAAUCAUAGUCUUUUAUCAGUUCAAGCCACCUGCGCUGUCUCAAAUUCAAAUCUUUCUGUGUCAUCAAAUAUUUCAGGCUUUUAUGAUCAGUAUAAAUAUGACAUUUUUCACCAUACAAAUAAUACCGCCAUAUUUUCAAUGCAAAUACAAUAGCAGCAACUUAGAGAUCAUGUACCGGGUAAUUUCUUUCAUGUGGCUUAAGUUGUCUUGAAGCAUAGGCUAUUACUUUACCUUCUUGCAUCAAGACACAGCCUAAACCAUUUAAUGAUGCAUCACUAUAAAUAAUAAAUUCUUUACUCGGUUCAGGUUGUACCAACACAGGUGUUUUCGUCAACAAAUCUUUCAAUCGGUCAAAACUCUGCUGGCAUUUAUCAGUCCACUCAAAUUUAACAUCUUUCUGUAAUAAACGAGUUAUCGAAGAAGCUAUCAUAGAGAACCCCUGUACAAAUCUCCGAUAAUAACUGGCUAAACCCAAGAAACUUCUAACUUCAGAUACAUUCUUCGGUGGACUCCAAUUGACAAUAGCUGAGAUUUUACUCAAAUCUACCUUGAUGCCUUCUGCGGAUACAAUAUGUCCAAGAAAACCCACUUCUCGAAGCCAAAAUUCACAUUUACUGAAUUUAGCAUAUAGCUACUUCUCUCGCAGAAUUUGCAACACAAUUCUCAAAUGUUCUGCAUGCUCAUUUUCAUCUUGGGAAUAGACCAAGAUAUCAUCAAUAAAAACUACCACAAACCUGUCUAAGUACGGUCUAAAUAUCCGAUUCAUCAGGUCCAUAAAUACUGCAGGUGCAUUAGUCAGCCCAAACGGCAUAACAAGAAACUCAUAAUGCCCGUACCUGAUUCUAAAAGUUGUUUUCGAUACAUCUAACUCCUUUACCCGUAACUGAUAGUAGCCCAAUCGGAGAUCAAUCUUUAAAAAUACAGUGGCACCCUUCAACUGGUCAAACAGAUCGUCAAUCCGAGGCAAUGGGUACUUAUUCUUUAUAGUGACUUUAUUAAGUUGUCAGUAAUCAAUACAUAAUCUUAAGGACAUGUCCUUCUUUUUCAUAAAUAAAACUGGAGCACCCUAAAGUGAAUGACUUGGUCAGACAAAACCCCUGUCAACAAGUUCUUGCAACUGUGUCUUUAACUCCUUUAAUUCUGUAAGAGCCAUACGAUACGGAGCUAUAGAGAUUGGAGUAGUUCCCGGAAUCAGAUCUAUAGAAAAUUCCACUUCUCUUUCUGGUGGCAACCCUAGUAAUUCCUCUAGAAACACAUCAAAAAAUUCACAUACAAUUGGCACUGCCUGUAUAUUUAAUUGGCACUGCCUGUAUCUUUAACUCAGAUACCUUAGUGUUUAACACAUAUGCCAAAUAAGCAUCAUACCCUUUUCUGACACACCUCUGAGCUGUCAUAACCGAAAUCACAUUAGAUAAUUCUUCUGUCUGAUCAAAUUUAACCCGAAGUAAUUCUCUAUUCUAACACUUCAGCAUAAUAUAUUUCUGUCUACAAUUUACUACUGCAUCAUGCUGAGUUAGCCAAUCCAUACCCAAUAUCACAUUGAACUCAUCAAAAGGCAAUAACAUCAAGUCAACAGGAAAACAAAUACCUUUUACCAUCAGUGGACAAUUUUUACAAACUUUAUCCACCAUCAUAAACUGGCCCAGUAGGUUCGAGACUUUAACCACAAAUUCAGUAAGUUCAACAGAUAAAUUUUUAACAAAUACUAAUUUUGUGCAUAUGUAUGAAUGUGUAGAGCCAGGAUCAAUUAAUACAGUAAUAUCAGUAUCAAGUAAAGAAAAUGUACCAGUAAUAACAUCGGGUGCUGAGGCAUCUUCUCUAGCACGGAUGGCAUAUGUCCUAACAGGUGCUCGUGCCUCAGACCUGCCUGCAGUCUCUUUCGUAACUCCUCAGCUACCACUAACAUUACCAGAUGGUCGAGGUGGUCUACCCCUCGAAACUGGAUUACUCGGCUUCGAUGUAUGUUUAGCUUCUUUUUCACCCCUUUCUAGACAAUCUCUGAGGAAAUGAUCGGAAGAACCACAUCGAUAACAAGCCCCACUCUUUAAUCGACAUUCACCAAAAUGAGUUUUAUUACAGUACUGACAUCUCGGCUUAGGGGUACCAACACUACCAGCACUGGUCACUGAUGGAGUGGAAGGUCUUGGAUUAGUGCGUUGAAAACCUCGCUCUCUAAUCGAAUACCCACUGGCUGAGGUUGAACGAUCCUGGUAUUUCUUCAAUUUCUUUAAAGUAAAAAACUGGGAUUUUUCCAUAGAUGUUUUACUGAAAACCCGAGCUUCUCUUUCAGCUUGUUUCUUUUCUUUGCUCAAUUUUUUUGCUUUAUAAGCUCACUCUGCAAGGGUAGUAAACUCUCGAAUUUCAAGAAUUCCGAUCAAUAGCUUAAUUUUUUCAUCCAACCCUUCUUCAAAUCUUUUGCAUAUUCCAGCUUCUGAUUGUACCCAUUCCCAAGCAUAUUUACUCAAUCGGACAAAUUCUCUUUCAUACUCAGAUACUGAUCUGUUAUCCUGUUUCAGCUAAAAAAAUUCUUUUCUCUUCCGAUCGAGGAACCUCUGACUGAUAUAUUUCUUUCUGAACUCGGUCUAAAAGAAUUCUCAUUUAAUUUCUUCUUUUGGAACCACCGAAGCUUUAGUGUUUCACCAAUGAUAAGCUGUGUCUUUUAACAAUGAUACUGCACAUUUCAGACACUCUUCUGGCGUGCAAGAUAAUUCCUCCAAAACCCGAGUAGUAUUCUCUAACCAAAACUCAGCCCGUUUGGGAUCAUCAUCAACUGCAGCUCUGAAUUCUUCUGCCACAUAUUUUCUGAUUUUAUCAACCGGAGCUUUCCCUUUUUUGCUAGGUUCAAUACCUGUACCCUGUGAAAUCUCGGGAAUCGGUGGAGGAGGAGGAGGAGGAGGAGGAGCUUGAGCUUGCUGCACUAUAGGGUUAGUUUUUAUAUAUUGAGUAAAUCAUUCAUUCAUCAUUUGAUAGAAGGCAAUUUUAGCCUCUUCACUUUGGUCCCUUAUCUCGGACCUUCUACUACUAGUAGCUUCAACUUCUCUUUGUUCUGAAGCCGGAGCAUGACUCUCGGCUUCCUUGGGUUGAACUUGGUCGGCAGACAUUUACUAUAAGAAAAUCACAUUUCAAAUGGUCAGGAGAUAUCACACUAUCAAUAAGAAUUUAAAUCCCAUGUAUAGCUAAUCCAGUAUUUUCUACAUCGGUCCGAGAACUGACUAAAUCGUAGCUCUGAUACCAACAAAAUGUAACACCCCUUAACCAUAUCCGUCGUUGAAAUAGGGUACGAAGCAUUAUCAGAUUUUAUCGAAUUAAUUUUCUAUUAUUACGAGUUAAAUACUAUUCAUUUAUCGAAACAUGUCAUGACGUCCCUUGAAUGGGCCUCCGAAGCCCAAAACAUACAUCGAGACCAAACCGGGAUUAAAUCGAAACCAUAAGAAAUUUUUCGCAAAAUCCCAAAGUUUUUUUUUUAAAACUCAAUACAACCCCUUUAUAAAUAUCUAAUCUUCCCUGCAAUUUUAAACCAAGACCAAUCCAACACAACCAAUCCAUUUCAACAUACUUUCAAAAUAGAUUUAACAUAUUCAUAAGAUAACCUCAUCACAUACCAAAACCAAAAUUUGUUAGCCAUACCAAUGGCUAACCAUUCAUUCAUUUCACAUUAACAUUUACUUUACUAGCUUAUACAUGCCAUUGAUUUCUAAAAUAAAGUUUCUUUAUAUACCGAGAUCUUGAGGUUGAUAGUGUGAUGCGUCUCCGACCAAAUCCGACCUCCGAGCUCUUAACACUACAAAACAGGGGAAAAGGAAACAGGGUAAGCACUUUGUGCUUAGUAAGCUCAUGUAAUAAGAAUUAUACUUACCUAAUAUUUUCAAUACAAUACAAUACAAUACAAUAAACAUUCAUACAUCCAUUCAAUGCAUUAUUCCCCUAACAUGCACGAACUCAACAUUCAAGUUAGUUCAGUAAUUUCCAUGUAUCAAUAAUAUAUAUAUCACGAUUGAUAAGCUCAUCAAUUCCAUGAUUUCCAUUCCCUUGUUAUUUUUCCAUAUUUAUCCCGUUGAACUACUUGGAAUUUCGAUGGAUUUUCAGGGGUACACCUAAGUGUACAAAUCUGGGUUCGUCAAUUCAUAUUCAUGUGCGCACAUUUUCAUUUCAGAGAGCACACUCCCGUGAACCUCAUCCUUACAGCGGGAUUACCAGUCCAGGCUAAAUCCCCUGUAAUAUAAACUCAUAGAAUAUUGUCGGGAUUACCAGUCCAGGCUAAAUCCCCUGCAACGACAAUUACUCUAAUGAGCUUGGAUUUGAAUUACCAGUCCAAGCUAAAUUUAGACCCUAAUUUGGAAUACCCGUCCGGGCUAAAUUCAUUUUCCACAUAUUCUUUGAGAGGGCUGUAUCAGAAUAGGAUCACCCAUCCGGGCUAGAUCCUUUUUACCGUCAAUUCCUUUUCAGAGAUCCAUCGAAUUUUCCUUUCAUUCAACCGGGAUUUAUUUUCUCUUUUCAUCAAGAAUAUCAAUACUUCUUCAAUUAUCAUACAAUAAACAUCCAAAUCAUAUUCACAUCAAGAAAAAUAUAUUUCAAGCAUUUAAGAAUAUAAUUCAAGUUACACGAACUUACCUCGAUACUUGUUCGUAAAUAAAAAUCUACUAAUUCCAAACUUUUUCUUUUCCUCGAUCUAGCUUUGUAUUUGAAUUUUCUAGAUCUAAAUAAAUAAAUUUAAUCAUUAAUCUAAUACAUUUCAUGUUCAUAUGUAACAUUCUCUAUAAUUCCAUUAUUAUUUAUAGUUCAUUCAAAGCUGUCUCAUUGAGUCAUAGUCGCUAAAUUAUUUAUAUCUUGAGCUACGGAAUUCCAAAUUAAGAUCUGCUAAUUUUUCCCAAAACUAGACUCACAUAUCUUCUUACCAUAAAAUUUUCAGAAUUUUUAGUUCAGCCAAUAAGUACAGUUUAUUCUUUAAAGUUUCCCUUGUUUCACAGUUCAACAGUUUCGCCCCCUCUUCACUAAAAAUUAAUUAUCUCAUUGUACAGAAUUUGGAUGAUGUUUCCAUUUAUUUAUUCUAAAAAUAGACUCAUUAAGGAUUCUAAGCAUAUAAAUUAUAACUCAUAAUAAUUUUUUUACAAUUUUUAAUGAUUUUCCAAAGUCAGAACAGGGGAACCCGAAUUCAUUCUGACCUUGUCUCACAAAACCUAUUAUAUCUCAUUAUUUACAAUUCCAUUGACUACACUAUUUCUUCUAUAAGAAACUAGACUCAAUAAGCUUUAAUUCUAUAUUUUUUUCAUCCUCUAAUUCAAUUUACAAAAUUUAUGGUGAUUUUUCAAAGUUAACCUACGCAGCUGUCCAAACUGUUUUAAUGCAUGAUAUUAAUUACCAUUUUCCCCUAAGCUUUCAAUAAAUGAUAAUUUCAUCCUUACUCAAUUAACCUCUCAAUUGAGCUGAUUUUUCUCAAUUAACACAUUAUUCCAUCACUUUAAAGUACUUUAUAACCUUUGGAAAUCAGAAUUUUAGCACUAGACUUUAAUUCCAAACUUUUUCACAAUUAGGUCCUACAAAUCAAUUUUUAUUGAAAUUACCUAAUAAAAUCAUCUCAUAAACAAAUUAAAGCUUUAAUUUCAUGCUAUAUCAUCAUAUAUUUCCAGCACAUAUUCAUAGCAACUUUCAAUUUAGUAAUAGGACCUAGUUGUAAAAGUCUUAGGAACAUAAAAAUUACAAGAAAAAAAGCAAGGAUUAACUCACUUGGUGAAAAAAUCAUGAAAAACCAGCUUGAAUAAACCCUUAGGACAUUUUUGGCUGAUGAGAAUGCAGAAAAAUAAAGAGAAAUCUAGAUAAUUCCACUUUAGUCCUAACUUUUAAAGUGAAUUUUUGCAAUAUUCCAAUUUUACCCUUAAUUCUCCAAUUCUCCUGAUUUUUCUCAGCUUGUGCCGCCCAAAAUAUCUUCUUUUGGGCUUAUUUCAAUUUAUGUCCCUCCUCAUUUAACAAUUGAGCUAUUUAAUCCUUCUAGUAACUUUUACACCUUUUUCAAUUUAGUCCUUUUCACUUAAUUGACUGCCCAAACAUUAAAAUUUUCUAACAAAAUUUUAAUAUCAUAUUAAUAACAUUUCAUAAAUAUUUAUAAAAAUAUUUUUGACUCAGUUUUACGAGAUUGAGGUCUCGAUACCUUAUUUUUACCCAAUUUCUUCAAUAAUUUCUUUUUCUAACUAACCACUAAAUCGGUAAAAUUUUUCUAUCGAUAUUUUCAUACGAUUUUUCUAUCAUAUCAAUAUUCAUGCAAAAAUAUUAAAAUAAAUUUCUCUUUAAAUCAGAUUUGUGGUUACGAAACCACUGUUCCGAUAACCUUGAAUUUAGGCCAUUACAACUCCGACCAGUCGUCACCGCGCCGGCCGCCGGUCACCAAUGACGGCGCCGCCGUAUUCGGUGGCUGAAAAAAGGUAAAACCUCCAACCCUAUCCUUUCGACCCUCCUAAAUCCAAAUCUGGGUUCAAAAUUCCCAAAAUAUUAACAAAAACGCCCCAAAAGCUCAAGAAACCUUUCAGUUUUCGGCCACCUAUCCUCGAAGGUGACUUCCUCAGCCGUCCACGGCGUUGAAAAACCCAAAUACAGGUUAGUUUGUUACUCCAUUUUUCCUUUUGUUUUACUUUCGUAUGUGUAAAUAUGAUAAAAAUAAAAUAACAGUAGACCAAAAAUGAAACGAAGAUUUAGAAAAUAGCAGUAGAUGUAAACCUUUCGAGAUUUUUCUAUUGAUUUUGAGUUCUCUGAGUAUUCAAUCCCUUUUUUUAUUACAUUUAUUGAUGGGGCCUUUUAUAGCCGAUUUACAUGUUUUUUUUUCUUUCGCUUCUGUUCUUGUUGCUUCUGUGUUUGUCUAUUUUCUGUCCUGUUUGCAGGUCUUGGCAAGGUCAACAGACAUUGAAGGGAUAACCCCUGCCAUUUUGGUGCAAGGCCGUAGACGCCUGUCAGGCUUUGGGCGAUGAGUGCGCUGCAGGGGCACGAAGAGGGAGUGCGGCGCACAUGGAGCACUAGGGUUUCAGUUUUCCCCUGAAAGCAGUUUGGUUGUGGGCUGAAUUGGGUUAGGUUUUUUUAUUUUGGGCCAUACCAGGCUUGGCAUGUAAUUGGGGUUUGGGUUUGUUAUUGAGUUUUGGGCCCGGGCAAAAAUGGCCUAUUACACAAAUAAUAAAAAUUAAAAUCAAAUCAUCAUAUUUAUUAUAUUAGUCUAAAAAGCAACUGAUAAUAUAAUUGCUAAUAAAAGCUAAAAGAAAAAUCAACAUUGUAUGCAAUUUUAUCUAAUUAUUCUAGUGCAUAUUUGUUGCUUUAUUCCCUCUUCAAAAUUUAACAUAUGCUCCUUAUUAUCGUCUGUUGGUUUUUGAUCAAAUUCGUCAUCACCAAAAUUUGAAUUUGUAUCAUUAAGAUUAUCAAGAUUUCCUUCUUUCAUGUACUCUUUGAAGUAUGGAUCAUCUUGAUUCUACUUAUAAUUCAAGUUAUGAAAUAUGCAAUAUGCUAGUGUCAUGGGGUUAGACCUUUCAUCUCGCAAAUUGUGUGGCCUUAGACAAUUUCUUCGCUUCAAAUGUGUCUAAGUCAGCCUAACUUUCGCAAAGUGAGAAUUCUCGCAGAAUUCCUCUCUAAGGCAUUGAAAAUAUAGUGGAAGCAAUCUCAAAGACAAAAGAAAGCUAAAAAAAAACAUAAUAGCCACAAAAAAAGUAAAAGUACACCAAGUUAAAUGUUCUCAAUUAGUAUUUACUAAUAAAAAAAUGAAAUACAAUGGAUGAUUACAAAUUAGGGGAGGCUCUCUAUUUAUAGUUGAGUUCUCCCAAAACGGAAGAUAUAGAUUGAGUUACAUCGACGGAUGAGAUCGAAGCAUAUCUACAAUUAAGAGAUAAUCCCCAAGAUUACAAAAUUAAAUCUUAUCAUAUUACAAAUCUUCUAAGAUUUAUUUCCCUAUUUACCAAGGUAACCCUAAUUUUCCAUAAGUGCUUUGUUAGGCCACCAAGGCUUUAAGUAGAUGGGUUUCGUCACUUGUUCUUCAAAUUGGACCAAUUCAAGUGGGUUAAAUGAGGCCUAUUUUAUAUGUAGACCUCAAUAGGAUGCUCUUUGUGCCUUGGUCACGAGCUUUGAACCGUGGCCUGUGACACUAGUAUGAUCCAAUCUUUUUUUUUUAAAUGUUAUAUAAAUAUGAAAAAUAUUUUUUUUAGAAUAACAAAUGUCUUCUCAACUAAAAUUUGAAGUAGUGGUGGAUCCUAGGACAAAGUUUUGGGGUCAAAAAGAUCUUAGGAGUUUAAUAAGGAUUUUUUUUAAAAAAAUUUGGGAACUAAUUAAAUUUUUUUGAGAUUGAUGAGAAUUUUCAAAAUUUUGAGGGGGUGUGAUUAAAAUUUUCUAACAAUUUCAAGAGAGAAAUGAACAAAAAAAAAAAAUUUCUUCCUUUUCUUCUAUGUUGCAUCCAUUGAAAUGAGCAAAAAGGAAUAAAUCAAUUUUGAUUUUAGGGUUCCAAAUCUUAAAUGAAAGUAAGAGUUUGAAAACACAAAAUAUUAAUUUCCUUACUACAGGUUGAAAUUACGUGGAAUUAUUAUAAUUAGGUACCAAAAUGAAAAAGAAACCAUACCAAUAUUUCGUUAACAAAUUAAUAAAGAGUGGUUAAAAGAUAACCAAAUGAUAAUAUUAAUGAUGAAAGUGAAAGUUUUUUCGUAGUUCGAUGAUCAAAAUAAGAAAUGCUAAUAAUUAAGUUUGGAAGUAAUAAUAUUUAUAUGAUAAUAAUAAAUUUCAAAAGAAAAUUAUUUUUAAAAAAAUUGUAAUUAUAACAAUUUAAAUAUAUAUAAAAAAAGCAUCCAACAAAUAUAUCGAAAUAUUGCAAUAAAAGGAUGAAGAAAUCAUAAUAUAACCAUACAUGAAUUAGAAAUCAUUUUAUUUCAAAUAUAAAUGAAAUUUGAUAAUGAAAUAAAUUAAAUUAAACAAAUUAUAAAGUAAGAUAUGAAUAUAUAUAUAUAUAAGUUGUGAAAAAUUUUAAAAUAAAAUAAAAAAUUGUUCUAGAAAUCAUUGACUCUCACGUUCCACCCUCUUUUAUUUAUUAAUUAAUUAUAUUUUUUACUCUUCCACGGUCCUUUAUUUUUUGAAAGGAAAUCUCAUUUGGCUUGACACAAAAGUCAUACAUAAUAUUUGUUGUAUAUAGACUUAUUUCAAAUGUUUGAAUUUUCCAAAAACACACACACACAAAGUCGAUGUGGAAUUAAAAUUUUGGUGCCAAGGUCCACUACAUUUUCCACAACCACUAUAAUUAGACUAGAAUUAUCUCUCCGCGUACACUUGGGUUUAAAAUUUUUAAUUAAAAUUUAUUAUAAUCUUAACAUAGAAAUUAAAUUUGUGAUUAUUUUUAUAAUAGAAUAUAAAGUCUUAAAUUAUAAUGACAACAUAGUUGAGAAAAAUAUUUUAAUUUUAAAAAUGUAUAAAAACUGUUAAUUUUUUUAUUUAUUUUGGGACUAUUUGACAAAAAAACGUAAAUUUAAGGGCUAAAAAAGGUAAAAUAAAUAAAAAUAUAUGGAGACCUAAAAUGAUUUUUUUUAAAAAUAAAACUUUCAUAUUGUUAGUUUAAUGACUAAUGUUAUAAUUUAACCUUUAUUUUUGAAAGGGAAUCUCACUUAAAACGAUCCCACCACUUAGACUACAGUGGCGAAACUAGGACUGGUAAGGGCCCCUUAAAAUGAAAAUUUUUUCAUAUAGUCCCUUUAAAAUUUUUAAAAUUUUAAAUUAGUAAAGGUAAAAUUGUACUUUGGUCUCAUUUAAAAAUAUAAAAAUUUGAUUAAUAAACCUUUAUAUUAAUAUGUACAAAUAAUUUAUAAAUUAAAAAAUUAUCUUUUUAAAUAUAUAAAGUAAAUUUAUAAAUUAAAAAAUUUAUAAAAGAUGGAAUUACUUAAUAUAUUUAAUUUUCCUUUAAAUGAAACAAAUUAUUUGUUGACUUAUUACAUUUAUUCCGUAUGAUUUAAUUUUAAAUUUUAUUUUUUAAUCUUCACAGAAUUAUUAGAUACUUUAAGCAACUUAGAGAAGCUUGACACGAAUCGUAAUGAGGUGAAGGAAUUUGUGCCCAUAAAGAAUAAAAAUAUAUGCAUCAACUAAAUAAUAUAAAUUAUUUAAAAAUAAAACACUUUUCAUUAUUUGAUAGAUUCAUUGAUUACCAAAUAUACGAUAUUUCAAAAAAAAAACAAUUAAAGAAAUCCAGCACUUGAAAGUGCUGAUAGAGCAAUAAUUUGAAGCAGUUAAGAAACUUGUAGGAAGGGUAUAGAAAGAAGGUUGGAGGCUUGACGCCAAAAGUCACCAUAGUGGUCUGCUUAGAUCGUUUGGGGCGACUGAAUUUUCCACAUUGAAAACGAAGCCACUAUUGCUACGAAGACCCUUGAAUUUUCCACAAAGAAUUUAUCCCAUAAAUAGAAUUUAUCAUUACAUUAUAUCAAAUUAUGAAUAAUUCAGAGAUUUGCACAUGUACCUUUUUAUUUUAUUUUAUUUUUUCUUUUUUAUUAUUAAAUUCUUUUGAAGCAAAUAAAGAUAAAUUUAUUAUUUUAAAAUUAAUUAAUUAAAAUACUCAUAUUUUUAAAAUGUUAUCAUGGAAGGAGACUCUUUCAUUGUCAAAAUCCAAACAAAAGGAGGAAGAUUUCAUAGAUGGACAACUAGAACUAAACCUGUUUAAUUAUAAGUCGGAUCAGGCCUGCUCAAAAAGUGAGAGGGUUUGAGUAAAAUUAUAACCUUAAAAAAUGGGUUUAGACAAAAAAAUAAUGUCUGUUUAAAAACGGAUCAGACUUCAGGUAAGGCAUUUUUCACCCGAGUCCAAUCCGAAUUCACAAAAUGACAAAAAAAUCUACUAUUUUUUGUUAUUUUAAUUCUAUUUUCUUGUUAUUUUCUUCUUAUUUUGUUACCAUUUCACUAUUAUGUUAUUACUAUUUUGUUGUUAUUGUUUGGAUAUUAUAUAACACUUGUUUUAUUGUUAAUUUUGUUAUUCUUUUAGAGGCAUUUGUUUGUUAAGUUGCAUCUAUCUUAGUGUUAUUUAAGUAUACGUAUUUUUUAAAAUUUAUUUUUACUUUGUUGGAAAAUAUUUAAUUUAAUGUUUUUAGUAUUUUUGAUGUAUUAUAUAUAUUUAAAAAUUAUAUAAAAAUAAUAUAAAAAAUUAAUAUGGGCAGGUUGGGCCCGGGCCUAAAUUUUUGUUUGGGCCCAGUCGAACCCAACCCAUGAGCAUCUCUAUGGAGAAGCAAGAAAUGAAACUUUAUUGAUAAGUGUCAAAAGUAACAUAUUUUAGUCUCAUCCUUAAUAUUUUUUUUAGGUGAUUAUGUGACAUUAAUUGUGAAAUAUAUAUUUCUAAUCUUUUAUAUUCAUGUUUUGAUACUUAAUAAGGCGCUUGAAAAUAAUAUGAGUGAUAAAUAGUGGAAAUUAGAACUUUGAAGUAUUCCAGACGCUACGCACAUGCAUCAAAUUUUCACACAAACAAUUUAUGAUUUUUAAGUUUUUUUAGCAUUCUAACAACAUAUAAAUAAGGAAAUAAGAAGGGAGGAAGACAACCACGAAAUUACCUUCAGAACAUUAUUAAAGCCUAUUAAAUUAAAUUUUCUAACUCCUUUUGAAUUUGUAUUAGCAAAUUCAAAUAUAUUUACUCCAAAAUUAAAUUCGUCGUUUUUCUCUUCUAUUUUAUUUUAAUUUCUAACAUCUUAUUAAGUCUUUACAAUCUUGUUAUUAUUUUUCAAUCCAUAAUUUGUUAUUGAUGGGUGUCGAUUCCACCAAUAUAAACCUACGCCUAAUUUGCAAAUUUAAGCAGUAUAGGAAGUAGAGUUGAUCCCUUAGAGACUGGGUUUACUGCAAAUUAUUGCUCUCUUGACCAGAUUUAUAUCGGGGCAGUUGUCGUGCUCAAGAAGUUCGGGGGGAUAAAAUUUGAAACCUGAAAUAAAUAAAUAAAAUGCGUAAAAAGUAAAAGUUGAAAAUAAAAUAAUAAAAAGCAGUUAAAUAAAUCUGAAGAAAAAUGAAUUAAACUAAGCUCAGCUUUAGGCACGGGUUUUUCUCGUCUUUGAACUGAUCCUCGAAAUUAGAUGAACUCCUCUUUUCCAAUAAACUAGUUAUAGCUACCAAGGACGCCUCGGACACCAACUCUUCCUUGUGUAAAUUAGUUAAGAAACGUCCAAUAACUAACCCUUACCGAUCGAACAACCAACGAAAUGUUCAUGAUUUAGAACUCCGGCAGCUUUGCGUUCUAGAAGAUUCUAGCUCGAACCAAUGCCCUCAACCGCGUGGGACAUUUAAAUCUGGUUACUACUUCCCUUAACGGAACCAAACAGCAAUCCCCACUUGGCACGCCAAUGUGUUCACAGAAAACCGAUUAGACAAUCGAUCCUUUCGAAAUUCCAACUGUACGUCUAACCACACUAACUCAAACGACGUCUUUUUUGACUUAGUGUUGAUUUGACUUUGUGAGUUGACGAAGUCAUACUCUUAAUCCGGAGAAAUAAUAAGUACUGGAAUUUAGGAGUCAAAUUGCUCGGGUUCGUAACUCACGGAUCUUAACGAAGUUAACACCGGCCUAAAGCUGAAAUGGAUACUUAAUAAAAAAAUUGGUAAUUAAAAACUUGAUUAAUGACUUGAUUCAAGACUUGAUUCCUAAAUGAACAAUGUAGCCCCCUAUUUAUACUAGUGGCUUUGCUAAAUUAAGAGCCACUAGCCAUAGAGAAUCAAGGAAAUAAAAUAUUCCAUCAUAUAAAAAUCCCUACAUAAUCUCCCACUAAUUAAGUCAACAAAAAUUUCAGCUAAUUAUAUCUUGGAAAAUUUUUGCUUUGGCCCGCCUUCUUUGCUCUUUUCUUCAAUCUAGCCCAAUUGCUUCUCCUUUUUCUCUUUUGACCCCAAAUUGUACACCUGUGUAAAAUUUAAGUUAAACAUGGAAAAAUUAGUGGUGCACUCUCGUAAAUUAACCAAUUUAAUUACAUAAAAUAUGUAAUUUUAGCAUUUAAUCAAAUCCCUCUACUUAUUUAAUGCUAGUCCUCGAGCAUUAUGCAUGUAUCUACAAAAGGAAAAAUUUCUUCUAAAAUAGGACUUGACUCCCAUGGUUUGCACAAUUCAACAAUUUAAUCCUAGCACAUUAACAUCUCAAAUAACCUAGCCUAAGAAGGAAGUAAAUAUAUUUCAGAAUUUAUUAGAGCUUGAUAGACUUACCUUUCAUUUUAUUAUUUUUGUACUUGGGACAUUUUCGAAUUUUUUGACGCGAGACAUGAUGACAACCCAAGCACCAUGUUCCGGUUACUUGAUUCGGAUGUCUCUAAGCGGGAUAUUUCACCCUACUCGUGAUAGCUUGUUAGCGGAGUGAGUGCAAAGAAAUUGGACAGCCACAUGAACCUUUUUACGUGAGAUGUGAUGACAACCCAAGCACCACGUUCCGGUUACUUAGCCCGAUGUACAACCCCAAUUUUUCACUCUUAACAUUCGUAUCAGAGGAGUAUUAUUAUUCAUUUUUUCUUUUUUUUUUCCUUUUUUUUAAGACAAGAAGACAGAAAAUUGACAUGUGAUAUAAGGUAGGCAGUCAAGCAAACUCAUAAUUCGUAAAAAUUUCUUACCCACUAAGUCUAGGUUAUUGAAAAGUUUAUGUGUAAAGAACUAAAUGGCUAAAUAGGUCAAACCAUAAGUGUUCCAUCCCAAUUUAUCAAAAGAAAAAAUUUUACCUUUCACGGAAAACAUGCAAAAACAGCGACAAUGGAUAAGCAAAAUAGAACCAAUAUAUGUUCCUUUCCCCCUACUUGUUUUACAUUGUCCCUAAUGUAAUUUGAAUUGAAUUAAAUGAUAAAAAGUAAAGGUAAGUAGGGAAAGGAAAAAGAAACUCCCCAUGUAUUUCAACGUCAUGGAGGGUUGCCUCGUAGGUGUGUCCACGGUGUUAAAUAGUGGGUAGGUGGAUUGGGCCUUGGCUGAAAUUAAAAGAAUUUUAUGGGCUGACAUGGGAGAUUUAAUUUUGUCUUGGAAUGUCUCCCAAGUCUUCCCUUAGACAGAACUGAUCCUCGACAUGCAUUUUCAUUUUCCGUUUACCAAAAAUUUUAUUUGCAUAAAGGGAAAAAUUUGGGUUGCCUCCCAACAGCGCUUUGUUUAACGUCGUUAGCUCGCCGAUCUGUUAUUCAAAUUCUGGGCUCCCCAAGAACAAUUGUAAGUGUUGCCAGUCCCCAGCAACAGCGCCAAAACUGAUGGGUGUCGAUUCCACCAAUAUAAUCCUACGCGUAAUUUGCAAAUUUAAGCAGUAUAGGGACUAGGGUCGAUCCCUCAGAGACUGAGUUUACUGCAAAUUGUUGCUCUCUUGACCAGAUUUAUGUCAGGGCAGUUGUCGUGCCCAAGAAGUUCGGGGGGAUAAAAUUUGAAACCUGAAAUAAAUAAAUAAAAUGCGUAAAAAGUAAAAGCUGAAAAUAAAAUAAUAAAAAGCUGUAACACCCCUUACCCGAGACUGUUGCUGGAGUCGAGCACGAGGCAUUACCUGACUUACUUACUAAUUCGGAGCAUAAAAUUUGCUUUUAAAAUUAAUUCAUUCACAAUCAAUCCAUAUGUCCCUAAAAGAACUCUCGAGACCCCAAAAUCAUGUAAUAAAAAUGGUUCGGGUCCAAACCGGGAACAUUUAUAAUUUUCCGAAUACUUAAUCAAAUUAAAACAAUUUAUUUCACUAUUCACAAUAAAACUGUCCACCUGCGCAGCAGUCACUUAUUUAAUUAUAACUCGAGUUACGAAACUCAAAAUUUAGAUUCGUAAAUUUUCCCUGAAACUAGAAUCAUAUAUCUUUUUCACUGUCCAGCCAAUUAGUACAGUUUAUUCUUUAAAUUCUCCCCUGUUUCACUGCUCGACAGCUCUGACCCCUCUUCACUAAAAAUUAAUUAUCUUAUUGUACAGAAUUCAGAUAAUAUUAUCGUUUGUUUCUAUUGAAAAUAAAAUCACUAAGGAAUCUAGGCAUAUAAAUUAUAACUCAUAAUUCCUUCUAUACAAUUUUUAAUGAAUUUUUAAAGUCAGAACAGGGGACUUCAGAAACCAUUCUGACCCUGUCUCACUAAAAUUCAAAUAUCUCAUAAUAUAUAACACUUUUUCUACUCUAUUUCUUUCAUGUGAAAAUAGACUCAUUCAGAUUUAAUUUCCUAUCUCACUCAGGUUCUAAUUCAAUUUAUUCUAUUUUUGGUGAUUUUUCAAAAUCACGUCACUGCUGCUGUCUAAAAACUGUUUCAUUGCAAAUUUUUACUCUCUUUUUUGGUGAUUUUUCAAAAUCUGAAGAAAAAUGAAUUAAACUAAGCUCAGCUUUAGGCACGGGUUUUUCUCGUCUUUGAACCGAUCCUCGAAAUUAGAUGAACUCCUCUUUUCCAAUAAGCUAGUUAUAGCUACCAAGGACUCCUCGGACACCAACUCUUCCUUGUGUAAAUUAGUUAUGGAACGUCCAAUAACUAACACUUACCGGUCGAACAACCAACGAAACGUUCGUGAUUUAGAACUCCGGCAGCUUUGCAUUCUAGAAGAGUCUAGCUCGAACCAAUGCCCUCAACCGCGUGGGACAUUUAAAUCCGGUUACUACUUCCCUUGACGGAACCAAACAGCAAUCCCCACUUGGCACACCAAUGUGUUCACAGAAAACCGAUUAGACAAUCGAUCCUUUCAAAAUUCCAACUAUACGUGUAACCACACUAACUCAAACGACGUUUUUUUUUACUUAGUGUUGAUUUGACUUUGUGAGUUGACGAAGUCAUACUCUUAAUCUGGAGAAAUAAUAAGUACUGGAAUUUAGGAGUCAAAUUGCUCGGGUUCGUAACUCACGGAUCUUGACGAAGUUAACACCGGCCUAAAGCUGAAAUGGAUACUUAAUAAAAAAGAUUGGUAAUUAAAAACUUGAUUAAUGACUUGAUUCAAGACUUGAUUCCUAAAUGAACAAUGUAGCCCCCUAUUUAUACUAGUGGCUUUGCUAAAUUAAGAGCCACUAGCCAUAGAGAAUCAAGGAAAUAAAAUAUCCGAUCAUAUAAAAAUCCCUACAUAAUCUCCCACUAAUUAAGUCAACAAAAAUUUUAGCUAAUUAUAUCUUGGAAAAUUCUGCUUUGGCCUGCCUUCUUUGCUCCUUUCUUUCUUCAAUCUAACCCAAUUGCUUCUCCUUUUUCUCUUUUGACCCCAAAUUGUACACCUGUGUAAAAUUUAAGUUAAACAUGGAAAAAUCAGUGGUGCACUCUCGUAAAUUAACCAAUUUAAUUACAUAAAAUAUGUAAUUUUAGCAUUUAAUUAGUUAUUUAUUAGUUUAGAUUUUUUUCUAUGUUGAAUAUAUUUUAGUAAAUAAUAUUUCAUAUUUAACUCUAAAUUUGUUUUUUUAAUAAUAUACACUAGUUAUUCAAUAUAAAUUAAUGUAUCUAAUAAAAUAUAUUUUAAAAUCUAUAUUUUAAAUAUUUUAAGAUUAGAAACCUAAUUUAAAUUUAUUCAAAAGGACAUUUUAAUUAUUAAGUAAUUUAAUUUUAUAAAUAAUUAUAUAUAUCUAUUUGAACAACAAAUACAUAGUAUAUUUAAAAUAUAAUUAAUUAAUUAAAAAUAUUAUUUUCUAUCAUUGUUUUUAUGUAUCUACUUAAAUUUAAAACUAAAAGGAUGUAUGAUAAUGAAUAAGAAAAAUAAUCAAUUAUUUUAUUGAAAAUAAUUCAACUCUAAUUUAAGAUUAAAUAAAGACAGAUGAAGGCUAUUAUAUUAGAAUUAACUUUUUUUUAGUUUUUAUAUAAUUGGAAUUUACUAAUAUGAAGUAAAAAAAAUGCAUUUUAAUAUUGUAACAUUCAUUUACUUUAUAUCAACAAAAUGUUCAACCUUGAAAACAUUAGUUAUGAUUUUUUUUUUGAUAUAUUUACUCAAAUGAUAAAAAUAUUAAUUGAUGUAAAUAAAUAAAAAAUGAUGCAUUUGCAUUUGGUAAGAUUUAAUUAAACAAUAAAAUGUUUUUUUUAUUCUCAUUGAAUAAUUUACUUAUAAAAAUAAUUGUUUCAAAACAUGAAUAUCAGAUCAUAUCUAAUUACCUACAAUAUGAAAUGAGAAAAUUCAUAAAUUUAUUUACUUCAAUUGAAUAAAUUCAAAAAAAAAAUAAACUAAAUAUUCUUAUAUAAAACAUUUACUUUAUAAUUUUUUAAUAAAUUUCAUAUAAUUAUUUGUAAUUAAAUCUAAUAUAAAUAAAAAGACAAACCCGCAGAGCGGGGUUAUAUCCCUAGUAUAGUAAUAAAAUCAAUGCAAUGGGACCCAACUUUUGGAAGAAGAGAGGAUUUCAAGUUGUCUAUAUAGGCUUUGGUUGAUUGAAAUGCAGGAAGGUAUCAAGUGAGUGGUUUGUUGAUUUAGAGAAGAUGGAGGCUAAAUCGUUGUGGGUACUACUCGCUACACUUGUGUUUAUCAUACAAGGGUGGCCACAGACUGAGGGGUGCUUGGAGCUGGAGAGAAUUGCUCUCUUCCAACUCAAAUCUAAUUUCUUCAAUCACCCUUCAUAUUUGAAGGACUGGGUAGAUGUGAAGGGUUCGAAUUGUUGUCAGUGGGAAAGAAUUGAGUGCAACAUCACCAGUAACCGAGUAAUUGGUCUCUAUCUUUAUUCUGUACGUCAAAGUGAUACAUAUGGGUAUCUCAAUAUCUCUUUAUUUCUUCCAUUUGAAGAAUUAAAGAAUCUUUAUUUGAGUGACAAUAAAAUUACAGGUCUUGUGAAUAACCAAGGUUUAUUGCUUUUCUUCUCUCCAAUGACUGAUUCAUCUUUAAAAUUUGAUUUAAUGUUUUCUAAUUAAUUCGUUUAUUUUACAGAUGAGAAAGUGCAAUCGAUGAUGAAUCUGGAAGUGCUUGAUUUGUCUCGUAAUCUCUUGAAGAACAAUGAUGUGGCAUUUCUUAAGGGGUUAGCUAGUUUAAAGUCCUUGAAUAUGGGAGGAAACCAAUUGGAAGGGUCAAUAGGUAUUACAGGUAUGUAAAAUUUCGUAAAAUAAAAAUAACAAGCUAUACGUAAAUUACAAUUUCAUGAAUCUUUUUAACUAUUAAAAAAUUAUAUCCAAAUAUAUUUCCUUCAUAUAGGUAGUAAAAUAAAGGCAUAAUGAUUUUUUUGACCUUCCAACUUUAUAAAAAAAAAUCAUUUUUAGUCCUUAAUUAAAUUUUUUGUCUAUUUUAGUCUUUACACAUGUUUUUUUUUUCAAAUCACGCCAAAAUAGAUGGUUGGUAAUGUGGCAAACAUGUGGAUUUCCAUGUAACUGACAGAUCAUUUAAUUAAAUUUUUUUAAAAUUUAAGUUUUUUUAAAUUUCUAUUUUUUAAUAGUUUUAAUGAUGUUUAAUUUUUAAAAAUACUUUUUAUAUUUUUUUGAAUUUUUCAGUUUAAAAAAAAAUUAAAUGCUGACGUGUUAUCCACAUGACAAUCCAUGUGUAUGUAAUGUCAACAAAGUUUUAAAAUGUUAAUUUUUUUAUUCACUUUAAGAUAAUUUGACAAAAAAAUACAAGUUUAAGGAUUAAAAACAUGAAAAAUUAAAUGGAAGCAUAAAAUAAUUUUUUUUUAUAAAGUUGAAAGGUUAAAUAAGUUAUUAUGCUUAAAAUAGAAUGUAUUUGAUGACUUUUUUUUAUCAAGGAAAGUAGUUGGAUUUCAUGAACCAAAAUUACUUAAUCUUUGUCAUAUGACUUUGUUUGAGUGACAAAAAAGAUAUUUGAUUGAUUUGAAUAGUAUUGAAUAACUUGACAAAGCUAAAGGAGUUGGAUUUGAGUGGCAAUAAAAUUGAGAGCCUGAAAUCUCCUCACGGUAUGUGUUGAUUUACUUUACUUUCUCAUAUUCUCGCAUAUACAUUCCAAUAUCUCAUUUAAAAUUCUAUUAGUAAUAAAUUUGCUUAUCUAAAUGCUUUGUAGAGGGGCUAGUUAAUUUGACUAAUUUAGAAGAACUUAAUAUGGAUUACAACUACUUCAAAAACAACUCAUUGGCAUAGCUUAGUGGGUUUUCCAAUCUAAAGUUAUUGAGUAUAAGCGAAAACCAGCUUAAAGGAUCAAUAAAUAUUAAAUGUGGAAUUACUUAAUAUAUUUAAUCUUCCUUUAAACAAAGCAAACUAUUUGUUGAAUUAUUGUCUUUAUUAUGUGUGAUUUAAUUUUAAAUUUAAUUUGUCUAUUUUUAUAGAAUUAUUAGAUGCUCUGAGCAAUUUAGAGUCACUGAGAAAAAUAUUUUAAUUUUAAAAAAUGUAUAAAAUUUAUAUAUUAUCUCUUGAAUAAUUUAAAUUAUAAUGAUAUUUUUAAUAUAUUAAAAUUAAUAUAUUAUCACUUUUACUAUUAUAUAAAAAAUUAUAUUAACAUAUAAAAAUCAUUUAUAAAUUAAAAAUUUAUCUCUCUAAUAUAUUAAGUAAUUUAUAAAUUAAAAAAUUUAUAAAAAUUUUGAUGUUGAGAGACUUGGUAAGUGUCCAUAUAUUUUACUUUAUCAAAUUGCUACAUUUAUUAUACUAAUAUCUAAAUGCUUUGUAGAUACAAUUUAAAUCUCAUUAAUUAAUUUUUUAUUAAUAUAUUAUAGUUUUUUAAUUUAAAAAUUCAAUCUAAAUAUUAAAUGUUGUUAUAAGUGUAUAACAAUCACUUAUCUAUAACAUCCAAUAGUGGUUAUACAAAAGUUGACUAUAAGUGAAUUUUUGUGACUAACAAAAAAUGUAUUGAAUUUAUUUGGAUAGUAUUGAAUAAUCUGACAAAGCUAAAGCAGUUGGAUUUGAGUGACAAUAAAAUUUGAGAGCCUCCAAUCAUCUCAUGGUAUGUGUUGAUAUAUUUUACUUUAUCAUAUUCUUACAUAUACAUACCAAUAUCUUAUUUAAUAUUCCAUUAGUAAUAAAUUUGUUUAUCUCAAUGCUUUGUAGAUGGUGAGAGGCCACUUAAUGUAACCAAUUUAGAAGAGCUUAAUUUGGAUUCCAACUCCUUCACAAACAGCUUAUUGGCACAGCUUAGUGGGUUUUCCAAUUUAAAGUCACUAGAUAUAGGGUAUAACCAGCUUAAAGGAUCAAUAAAUAUUAAAGGUGGAAUUACUUAAUAUAUUUAAUCUUCCUUUAAAUGAAAUAAACUACUUGUUGAGUUAUUGCAUUUAUUCUAUGUGAUUUAAUUUUAAAUUUUGUUUGUCAAUUUUUACAGAAUUAUUAGAUGCUUUAGGAAACUUAGAGGAGUUAGACAUGAGCGGGAAUGAGGUGAAGGAAAUUGUGCCCAUAAAGAAUAAAGGUAUAUGUAUCAACUAAAGGAAAUCUUACUAAUUGUUUUCCAUUAGAUAUCAAGUGAACUGAUUCCAACCACUAAUUUGACUCUUAGACAAUGGAAGUUUGGGAAAGCUAAAGGUUGCUACAUUAAACCGUGUGUUCACCGAUGGAACUGCUUCUCUAAUACAACUUCUAGAGACAUUCUCAUCUGUUAAUACAUUAUAUUUGAGUGACAAUUACUUCAACGACACCUUUUCUACUCAAGGUAUAAUAUAUAUGUAUGUGAAUAUAUAGUUUUAUAGUUUGGUUCCAUUUAAAAAUAUUAUUUACUUAACGUCAAUCAUCUAAAUAACUCUUAUAAAUUUGUAAAGAUAAAUUGCAUGUGUCGAGCAAAAUUGAGGAAUUAGUACUAGAUCAAUCAUCUCUCAACAACAACAUUCUUCAAAGUAUUGGUGCAUUGGCUUCUCUUAAAAUUGUCUUUGAGUGGUUGUGGGCUGUCUGGGACAUUACCUACCCAAGGUAAAUUAAUAAUUAUGACAUAAUUAUUUAGACAAGCUCUUGAUUAAUUAUUUUUUAUCCUCCUAGAAUAUUUAAAUAAUUUGUACAAAUUUAUUUUACAGGAUGGUGUGAUUUACGGAAAUUUGAGGUGUUGGAUCUUAGUGAAAAUGCUCUUAAAGGAACCCUCCCUUCAUGUUUGGCUAACUUGUCAUCACUUCAUUAUUUGGAUAUUUCCGGUAAUCAAUUCGUCGGGAAAGGUGCCUCCACUGCCUUAGCCAAUCUCAAUUUGCUUAAAUUCAUUUCUCUUUCACGAAACCUUUUCGAAGUUCCUUCCAUUUUCAUAUCUUUUGCCAACCAUUCACACCUCAAAGUACUCUCCAGCAAUCAAAACAAGUUAGUCGAAGAGCCUACCAUUCCAACAUGGGUCCCAAAGUUCCAACUAAAAGCCUUCCGUUUGUCAAAUUGCACAACAAAGGAACUCCACAUUGAACUUUCGAAAUUCCUCUAUUACCAAAAUAACCUGAGUAUUAUUGAUCUUUCAUAUAAUAAUUUUGAAGGAAAGGUUCCUUUUUGGUUGUUAGAGAACAAUACAAGAAUGGAAGCAUUUUUAAUGACGGGUAACUCUUUUAUGAGUCAUCUCAAUCUUCCAUCUCAUCCGAAUCCAAACAU
rnacentral:lncRNA from 1 species